CUCUUUUAAAAUUCAGCUAUGAUAGUUUGCAGAAUGAUACGGUUAGAUCUUGUUUCUUGUAUUGUUGUUUAUAUCCUGAAGAUUAUGGCAUUCUUAAACGGGACUUGAUUGACUGUUGGAUUGGUGAGGGAUUUUUGGGGGAAUCUGACAGGUUUGGUGCAGAAAACCGAGGAUAUGACAUUUUGGACACUCUUGUUCGUGCAUGUUUAUUAGAAGAGUUAGAAGAUGAUAAAGUAAAAAUGCAUGACGUUAUUCGUGAUAUGGCUAUAUGGAUAACCUGUGAAAUUGAGAAGGAGAAGAGAAAAUUUUUGGUUUGUGCAGGUGCUGGAUUAAAAGAGGCACCGGAUGUUAAAGGAUGGGAAAAUGUGAGAAGAUUGUCAUUGAUGCAAAACCAAAUUGAAACUCUGUCAGAGAUUCCUACAUGCCCUCAUCUCCUCACUUUAUUUCUUGACUUUAAUGAGAAGUUGGAGAUGAUCGCGGAUGGCUUCUUCCAAUUUAUGCCUUCUCUCAAAGUGUUGAGGAUAUCACACUGUGGGCAAUUAGAAGGUUUUCAAUUACCUAUUGGGAUGUCAGAGUUGGGUUCGUCACUAGAACUUCUUGAUAUUUCAUAUACCAGCAUAAGAGAGUUACCAGAAGAGUUAAAGUUGUUGGUAAAUCUGAAAUGUUUGAAUUUGAGUUGGGCACAUAGGUUAUAUAAAAUUCCACGGCAACUAAUAUCAAAUUCUUCAAGGUUACGUGUGUUGAGAAUGUUCGCUACUGGCUAUGUGUGUCUUCAUGAAGCAUCAGAAGACAGCGUUUUAUUUGGUGGGGGUGAAGUUUUAGUACAGGAAUUGCUCGGUUUGAAAUAUUUAGAGGUAUUGGAGUUGACCUUGGGAAGUUAUCAUGCUCUCCAAAUUCUUUUGAGCUCAAAUAAGUUGAAAAGUUGUAUUCGAUCUCUUUUCCUACAGUUGUUCAGAGAUACAACGUCGAUUAUUGAUGCUACGGCUUUCGCAGAUCUAAACCACCUCAAUGAAUUAUGGAUUUAUAGAGGUAGUGAGUUGGAAGAAUUGAAGAUUGAUUAUACGGAGAUAGUACAAAAAAGGAGGGAACCUUUUGUUUUCCGCAGCCUUCACCAUGUUACCAUAUAUAGUUGCACUAAAUUGAAAGAUUCGACAUUCCUCGUUUUUGCUCCAAACCUCAAGUCUCUUCAGCUACUCGAUUGCUAUGCUAUGGAAGAAAUAAUCAGCGUCGGAAAAAUUGCUGAGACUCCUGAGAUGAUGGGACAUAUAAGCCCUUUUGAAAAUCUCCAAAGUCUUUAUUUAAAUGAUUUGCCAAUUUUGAAGAGCAUCUACUGGAAGCCAUUGCCUUUCGCUCAUCUAAAAGAAAUGACGGUGCAUCGGUGCGAUCAGCUUGAAAAGCUUCCACUCGAUUCCAACAGUGCAAAGGAGCGUAAAUUUGUAAUUCGUGGAGAAGAAGACUGGUGGAACCGACUUCAAUGGGAGGAUGAAGCCACUCAAAUUGCUUUUCGUUCCUGUUUCCAACCUCGUUCCUGAGCGGUGGUCGCAAAAUUUGAUUUCUGGUGAGUGCGUUUGUCUUUUAAAAGAAGAAUUUAAAAGAAAUUUAUUCUUGUCGAUUGUUUUCUUCUCUGUUUUUAUUUGAUUUCUGGUGAGUGCGUUUGUCUUUUAAAAGAUGAAUUUAAAAGAAAUUUAUUCUUGUCGAUUGUUUUCUUCUCUGUUUUUAUUUGAUUUCUGGUGAGUGCGUUUGUCUUUUAAAAGAAGAAUUUAAAAGAAAUUUAUUCUUGUCGUUUGUUUUCUUCUCUGUUUUUAUUUGAUUUCUGUUUUUAAUGGAAUUAAUGCUUCAUAAAUUUGCCGGCACUGCCAUUACUUUUUUUUUUAAUACAAAUUGAUACUUUAUUUAUAUCUUCUUAGCGAUUUAAUUUCCUGUCAAUAGACGAACGAGAAGAACAUAUGACUUAAACCAAUGCUCGCAUAAACUUGCUGUAAAAAGAUAUAAUCUCACUGAAAUGCACACGUCUAGAAUGAAUAGAAUUAAAACAGGGAAAAUCAAUCAAUUCCACCUUUUGCAAUUUCUUCUGUUCUAACAAAAACCAAUUUCUUUGUUCAAGUAUUUUCGUUUGGGUAUUAAUAAUUCUCCACCGAAAGAGUGAACUCUUGCUCAAGGGAUCUCUAAUCAAUUGCCGGAAGGGCGCCGAGACCUGAUCGGACCUAGGCCCAAGUUUGGUCUUAAAGCCUGGGCUUGAGCCUGGCAAUUAAAUUAAAACAUUAAUUGAUUUCUUGGUUGAUUUGUCGUGUAAUUGAUUUAUGGGGGAUGACACAUCAACAUACUUGAAAAUACACUAAUCUCAGCAUCAUCGGUUAAUAACUUUUAGAUUUAUGCGUAAUCAAUAGUUAAGAUUAGUUGUCAUUAAUACUAAAUAUUUUUUACUUUUUUUGUCUCUUCUAGAAAAAUGCAUCCACAAUUAAAUUUAAUACUUUACAUAAUAAACAAAGCAUAAAUGUUAAAUUUAAGAAACUGCAUUGUAUUUCAGCUGAAGUUGACUUUAAUAUUUAGGGUAGAAAAAAAUUAAAUCCUUAAUGUGUUUAAUUUGUAUCACUUGUGUCAUUAAAAUUUUCUAGUCACCCUAACCAAUUACAUCUCAACCCACUUUGUUUUUGGAUGAUUUUAUUUUUAGACUAUUAUUUUCAUCAUUUUUUUUCCUUUUAACACCAACAUUAGUGUAUGUUACGUAACAUAAUUCAUAUUUGGAUCAUUUGAAAUUUGCUUGUGUUUUAUCUAAAAAUAGAGCUUCAAUCAAAUUGUACCUCAUAAAUUCACAAUAUCUAUGAGGGCUAAUGAGACCAAACUCUGGCAUAUUGUCAAAUGUGCUUAUCCUUUUGCUUGACAUGUCAUUUUAAAAUUGUCAUUCAAUGCCAAAAAAUCACAUCAACUGAUGGCCGACUACUUUAAUUUGAAAGCAUGCAUGCGAUCGCCAAUAAUUAUAACUUAAUUGUUAUUUUGAAAUUUUUUUCUUUAUAAUUUUUAAGUUUAAUACUACUACAUGUGCAGCACAUAAGUUGGAAAAUAUAACAUAAAAUUUGAAAAAUGUGUAGCUUUCGUUCCUUUUUUUUCUUAAAAAUGGGAAAAAAGAAUGUAGUUUUGUUUAAAUUACUGUUGUGAUUACAAUUAUUAUUUUAUUGAUUAAUUGGCAGAGAAUCGUAAUGGUUUUGCAUGGUUGUUAAAACAUUGGAAAAUCCACUACAUCAUCCGUUAAUAACUUUCAGAUUUAUGAUUAAUCAAUAGUUGAGAUUUGUUAUCAUUAAUGCUAAAUAUUUUUUUAAUAUUUUCUCUCUCUCUUAGAGGAUCAUCCAAAGUAAAAAUUUAAUAUUAUAAAUAGUAAACAAAGUAUCAACGUUAAAUCGAAGAAACUGCAUUGCAUUUCAACUGAAGCUAACUUUAAUAUUUAAUGGAGAAAAGUAAUUAAGUCCUUAAUGUGCUUUAUUUACCCAUAUAUAUGGCUAAUUUUUCAAGAUAAAGGGGAAGGAUGAUGCUCAAAAAUAUAAAUUAUAGAAUUAAUUGAACUCUCAAGUAAGUUUAAAGUUCAUUAUUUUUAAUUACUUGUUUAUAAUUUAUUUUUAUUUCGUAUUAAUCUAUGGAUCUAAAUCCCCUUUGGAUUCAUAUACAUAUAUAGACAUAAUGUGUAUGUUAAUCUAUAGGUCUGAAUUCACUUUAGGUCUAUAUAGGUAUUUUGACAAAUGUACUCCAAUCAUGCAUAUUGGCAAGUUCUAACUACUCUAUUGAUAUAUCAAUAUUAUUUCUAACUGCACUAUAGGUCCAAAAAUAAGUUAGAAAUACAAAUUAACAUAAAAUAAAAAUAAUUGGUAGAAAAUACAAAUUAUAAACAUAUAAUUGAAAACGAUAAACUUUAAAUUUACUUAAGAGAGUAAUUAAUUUCAUAGUUAAAAUCUUUAAAUUUUACCCCUCAUCUUAACUUAAGAAAAUUAAUCACUUAUUUUAUUUAAUAAAGAAGAGAUUUUUUUCCCCUAUAUUUCCCAAUUAUUUCUCUCCCUCUCGCUCCCGUAAGUUAUACAACUUGAAGUGAAAUAUGAGUGGUCUGAUUCUAGCUUAAAUAAUUUAUUGUGACAUGCUAUCUAAGGACAAUACAUUACCUAGCUCUACAUAUUUUAUUUAACCUCCGGCCCACCCUGUGCAAACUUGCCUUUCCCCUGCAAGACAAGAUUAAUCAAUGUAUCAAGUCUCAAAUUCAAUUUCGAAUAUGACCAUCGUACGCUCUUGUUCUUCCCUCUUUACGAGUGCAUUCCCCCCAACCUCAAGCUCCCUCUCUCGUCUUCAAUGUCACUGCUUAUAUCCUUAUGUUGUUCUAGUUUGAAAUAGUGGCUUCCACUAUUUCAGGGCCCCCAAAAAUCCAGAAACAUACUAUUCAUCACGAUGACAAAAUUUUUGGCAGGCAGGUGCUUCCUGACUUUCACACGGUAAUUCUCAAAUUCUGAUUUCACCAUAUUUUAAUUACUGAUUAGCAUAUAUUCAAGUGCUCUCCAUUAUAACGGAAGCCGCCGCCUCACUCGUGAUUCCAAACUUUUAUCUUUUUUUCCUUUUUUAAAUUAAUGCAAGUAGCCGCUGUCCUUUUUAUUAAUUAAUUAGUUCGGCCGCCCACAUUUCUUUUCCUAAUGUCUUCUACUGUCGAUUUUCUUUUAUUUUCUCUUUUUUCUUAAAAUAUACUUAUAAUAAUAAAAUAUAAAAAUAAAAAUUAACAUAUCAAAAUAUAAUUUAAUAGAAAAUUAAGAUAAAAAAUAAAAAAAUUAUGAGCAUAUCAAUCAAUAAAUGAAAAAUAAUAAUUUUUAUUUUUAUUAAAUAUAUAUUUUUUAAAAUUAAUCAAUUAUCUGAAUAAAUCAAAUCAUUUAAAAAUAAAUAAAUAAAUUAUUCUUAAAUAAAAAAAAGAAACUUUUUAUAACACUCACUAUGCUGGUUGUAGGGUAGACGCUUUGGGGACUGAAGCUGGUAACUUCUACAAGUAGUCUUAAGUUGACUGGCAACAACUAUAUUGGCAUUUAGACAUAAUGUACUGCAACCAUAUUGGUAUGUUCAAAUGUUCUUACUAUUGUAUUGGUGUAUCAAUAUUAUCUCUAACUGCCUUAUAGAUUAAAAAAAAUCUAAAUUUACAAUUUAACAUAAAUAAAAUAAUUGGUAAAAAAACAAUUAUGGUUUAUUUACUUAUCAGUAAUCAGAAUAGACUGAAAUCGAAAUGAGCUGUAUUACCGUUAAUGUGUUUAUGUUGUCCUUGAAUCGGAAUGAAUUAUUUUAAGUUACUAAAAUAUCAUUGGUUUGUUAUUCUAAUUAUUAUUAUUUAAUAUUUAUUAUAAUAUUUGUCAUAUCAUUAAAAAGAAAUAAUAAUGAUGAUAAUAUUAUCAUUAUUGUUUGUUACAUUAUUAUUAUUCAAAAAAAUUAUUGUUAAUAACAAUAAUUACUUUAUUUCAAUAAUAAUAAUGAUGAAAUUAAUAAUAACAAACAUGACAACAACAAUAAUUAUUUAUUAUGCCAAAAAUAACAAUAAUAAUAAGAAUAAUAAUCAUCAUCAUUUUUUUCCCAAAGAAGCAUUAUCAUCAUCAUUUAAAAAAAAAAUCAUCAUCAUCAUUUUUGUAGUUACUGUUUCAAUUUAGGAAGAAGCUGUUUCGUUGUGCUAACGAUGGGAGAUGUUGUGGCUGCGAUUCGGGGAGCUACUAGUUUAUUGCACUAAUGACGACAGGUGCGGCUGCUUGAUGCGAGGUCCAUGGCCAGUUGUCAGCAGUUCGACUUUGGUAUGGGCGUUGCUGGUUCGAUUUUAGGUGUUGUCUAAUUUCAUUUUCAGGAUUUUAAUUUUAAUUUUUUUUUAUAUUUUCAUUAAUUAAUCAGUGCAAAGUUUGAUUUUAGAAUUUGGAAUGAAGGUAAUUUUGUUAAUCAUGGAAAUGAGAUUCUGAUUGUCGAGAAUGAACUUACAAAAUUGCUGCAAAUUAAGUGAAAACAAAACGCUUUUUCUCUUUGUGUGAUUAAAACAUGAAAUGUACCAUAAAUAAAUAGGUAAAAAAUAAAUCAACACAAUUCAAAAUAGUAAACCAAUUACAAGAGGCACAAAUUUUUAUGUGAAAUACCGAAAAUGAAAAAAAACUAUAGCAUCCUAGUCUAAUAUAAUCUUCUACUAUAUUAAUGGGAUUACAGCACAAAUUCUUCCCUAUCUAACACUAGAGAUUAACAAUAUCAAAAAUCUCAAUAAUCUUAACUUACAAUACAACCUAAUAUAUGUCUCUCUAAUAAGUAGAUAUCUAAAAUAACAGUCUCUAAUAAGUAGGUAUCUCAAAUAAUAGUUAAUAAGAGGAUAAAACAAAAAUUAAGAUUAGUAGAAUGUGUAUAAGGCGAUGCUAUCAACUUAUCUUCUAAAUUUGAGAAAAAUAGUUAAAUUCACUUUUUCGAUUGUACGACCAAAGAUGGAAACCCUUGCCCCAAAACCAAAGGAAUCACCAUUGUGUUUUUUUUCUCUCUUUCUCUUUCUCGUUCUUCUCUUCUACUUUUCUUAAUGUUAGCCGCCACUUGCUUUUAUUCUUUAUAGCAUUUAAAAAGCUACUUUUAAUGGUAAAUUCAUCUAAGUCCAAAACUUAGUGAUAAUUGCACACCAAACAAUCCUUUUUGGACUAUGGACUUUUGGGCCUCCAAAUGAGAUGAAUACAACAAAUCUCCCCCUUCAGAUUAUGUGGGGGGCACUACAAGCCCGCUCUCUGCAUAUAGCUUUUCAGCUUCUCCUUGAAUAAUGACUUUGUCAUCAUACAUAACCCAUUCUUCGUUGUGUAAAUCUUCUCAAGCUAUAACUGUUCUUUCUCAAGCACGUCUCAUAUCUAAUGAUAUCUCACAUCAAUUUACUUAGAUUUCGAAUGGUAUAUCAAAUUCUUUGAACGGCACUCUGACUGUCGCAGUACAUAACAUAGUUGUCUCAUUUUAUAUCCAGCUCUUGUAGGAAAUUCUUCGUCCACAAUAUUUUUUUGCAACCUUCAAUAAUUGUAAUAUCAUUUGCUUUAGUGGUAGAAAAGGCAACUUAUUACUAAAGUUUAGAUUGCGAUGAGCUCCCCCUGCAAAAGUGAGCAAACAUCCUAGUACGAAUUUUUCGGAAUCAACAUCUCCUGCCAUAUCUAUACACUUGUAACACAGGUUUGUCACCACCAAAAUAUAAACAUGCUCUGGAAAUGCCUUUAAGAUAUCUGAGAAAUUUUCACUGUUGUCCAGUGCUCUUUACCGGGAUUGAAGAGAAACCACUGACUACACUAGCUGUAUAAGCAAUAUCUGGUCUUGUACAAAUUAUGGCGUACAAUAAACUGCCAACUGCUGAAGCAUAAGGAACUCCUCUCAUGGAGAAAUGGGUUUUGCUCUUGAGAAUUUUGGGAACAUAAAGAAUAAAGAUGUAAUUUCUUGGACUGCCAUUGUUUCGAGGUAUAUAAACAGAAGACAAGUCGAUAUAGCUUGACAAUGUUUUGAUCAGAUGCCAGAACGAGAUUAUGUCUUAUGGACUGCCAUGAUUGAUGGGUACCUUCGAGUGAAUAGGUUCAAAGAGGCUUUGACGCUUUUUCAGGAGAUGCAAACUUCAAAUAUAAUGGGAGACAAGUUUACCAUUGUUAGCAUUCUUACAGCUCGUGCCAAUCUGGGGGCACUAGAUCUGGGAGAAUGGAUAAAGACUUAUAUUGACAAAAACAAAGUCAAGAAUGAUAUAUUUGCGGGGAAUGCUUUGAUAGACAUGUACUGUAAAAGAGGAGAUGUUGAGAAAGCUCAAAAGGUAUUCAGGAAGAUGCUUUGAAAGGACAAAUUCUCAUGGACGACCAUGACUGUUGGCCUUGCCAUCAGUGGCAAUGGUGAUAAAGCUCUUGAUAUGUUUUCCCAAAUGCUUAGGGCUUCGAUCAAACCGGAUGAGGUAGCUUAUGUUGGUGUUCUGUCUGCCUGUUCUCACAAUGGUAACGAAACUUUUGUGAUAAAUAGUUGCAACUUAAGGUGAGAAUUGGAGGAAAGGAAAUAGACUGAAGUUGUUCAAUCAUCAGUGGUUGCUAUUUGGUUUUAAGUUGUUCAAUUAUCGGUCGUCUCUAUUUGGUUUUCUCCAAUAUCUCAUCUUCAGUUUUGACUCAGAUUCUAUCUUACCACUAUUGUUCUGUUCAUUCUAUUUGUUUCCUACAAAAUAUUUCUCCUGCCUAAAAUUUUUUGAAUCAGUAAGUUUUUAUCUUAUGCAAGAAUUGUGCUGAGAGUAAUUCCAUUUCUCAGUCUCGUUAUGUUUCAAUGAAGACGUAAAACUUGUGUUCUAGUGCACCAAUGUUUAUGCUUCUUACAAUUUGACUUUAAUUUACUUUGUAAAAUUUUUGUCAAAAAGUACUAAAAAGUAGUGCACCAAACACCAACUUUAUUAUAGAGAGGACUUUAGUUAAAUUUUAAGAAAACACUCAAAAGAAAGAGUUAUAAUUUAUUAUAGAAAUAUUUCACAUAAAUAAAAGCCAUCCCAUGCUGCAAAGAUCUUGCUAUAAUCACCAAAAACUAUCGGGAGCUUUUAGGGUUUCCAUAAAAAUGUCAUUUCGUUCCAAAAGUCAAUGGUGGGUAGAAAGUGGUGCAAAUGAGACUCAUUCUUAAUGGUAUAAGUUUUUGCUUAAUUAUGUCUUCCCCAAGAUGAUGAUUUAAUUUCCAUUCUCAAUUAAUUUUCAAGUUUCAACACUUUUCUAUGUAGCAUGACAUUGGAAAGAUCUUGUACAGUUGUACUACUAAAAGCUAGCAUCACACGUUAGUUAUUGUUAAGUUCUGUUUCAACGUGAAAUAAAGGAAGUAGUCCUUCAUUAAAACCAUUAUAGCCAAAUUUCACCUAAUUGGACACUUACAGACUUUCAUUUCAAGUUGGAUUUUGGUCCAACGUUUCAAAGUUUGGCCCAAUUAUUUUUGUCCGGUCAAGUCCUACGCAGCUAAGCCUCUCAAUGAAUGAGGGUGAGAUUGCUAAAAAUUACGACAGGUGAUAUUUUAUUAUUAUUAUUAUUAUUAUUUUUGGGGGAUAAAUCCUCACCAAAGUGAGGAGAUUUUAUCCAAAUCAAAAUAAAAAUAUAACAAGAACUGAAAGUCGGGCAGCCUAAAAGCUAGAUGAACUAAAAGUCAGGCGCCUAAAAACAACCUUAUGCAAAAGAGAAGCAAUAUGAGACCGAUCAAGUAAAAGAAUCCACCGCAACACCUAAAUUGGCCAAAUUAUCUGUUGGUAUUACAAGUUUCUUGUUAUAAAAGUGUAGAAUGAAGUAGGUGACGUAGUUUUAAGUUACAGCUGCAUGCCCAAUCGCAAUAUCAAAUAAUGCUUAAAUAUCAAAUAAUGCUUAAAGUAGUUGCCUAGGCCCGCCACAACUUAUAUUAACUCUUAAAUUUAUAAAUAAUUAAAUUUUUAAAAGUUUGGAUUUAUAUUAAAAAAUCUUCAUAUAAAUAAAUAAUAUAUGCACUUUUACAACAGUCUUUAAAUUUAAAUUUUUCAAAAAAAAUCUUCUGUAUAUCUUUUCUAUUAAAAAAAUUUCCAUAUAAAUAAAUAAUAUACCUAAUUUAAUUGGACCGAGCACAACGCACAUGCAUAGAACACAUUCCGAAAAGCCAUGCUAUUCAGAAAUUGACGAAUGAAAAGUGAGGAGGCAGCAGUCAAUGCUAUUUCGGCUUGGCCCAAAAUUGAUUUAUCAGUUUGACGUGUGCCAGGAAUGAAGAACUGGAAUAUCACCGUCAAGCAGCACCCUGUGGAGCAAUACCAUAGAAUGCACAAUCUGGCUUUGCCAGGUGACACUGGAGGCUUUUUGAAAAGUGCUUCAAAAAGCCUUUUCUGAUCGAGUCUGAGCACUCAAAUUUUGGUCCUCAGAUGGAGCUACAGCUUUCUCUCCAAUAACCAACAAUUUUCUAAACUCAGCUCCUAGUGUGAUGAGAGUUGUUGAUAUUUGUAAAUGGAGAUCCCCGUAUUUGCAAAUGGAGACAUUUACCAAAUCACCAACAUGCUUCAUCCAGUCUACGAAAUUCUGCAGCUGAUUCAAAUCCGGAACCUGAACCAGAGUCGGAGGUAAAUCUUGAGCCAUAUCUAAAGCAGUCUGAAGUUCAAGUACUUGAGCCCUUGACAAUGGUUUUGAAAUUGGAACAUCUUGGAUUACUGCAGACUUGUACCCCUUGGUUUCAAAGGUAAGGAAAGGCAUUGCUUGAGUACAAUUUGGAGGCAGCUUCUUCACCAAUUUUAUUUGGAGGCAAUUGGCAGCGGAUCCAGCUGCACCAAUUUCAGAGCAAAUACUGACACUACUUCAAACAGCACGCUGAAGAAGAGAUAUGUCUAUGGCAAAGACAAUGCAGUCCUCAUUUUGACUUGAGAUGCGGUAAUCAUCAAAGAGAGUUUCCUUGUGAAACUGGGCAACACAUUGAAUCCCUUCACCACUGAGAAGGUUGUGGAGGAAGCAAGCUUUCUCUCUAGUAAGGAAGAGGUGGCAUACCUUCCCCAUUUUGUCUAGGACAGGUAGGAAUCUUUUUUCUAAGAGAUUUACUCCAUUCUCUGUGAGAAAUGCUUUGAACUUCAUCCCUCUGUCUCUAUCCUCACUUAUCAGUAAAAUAGUUGAAAGCACUACAAGGAGAGAAAAGAAGAGUAUUAAGAUAUAUAUAGACAAGAAAAACAUUAGAUGUCGAUCUUACAAGCUAAUACUUCAAACAGUAUCCUAGAAAGCUAAAAACUGCAAAAUGGCUUGAAAUUUGAAAAGAACACAUGCUUUUCCUCCUUAACUUGAGAAAAUGUUUAAUAUAGUGCACCUUACAGAAACAUUUAAGCAAUUAGAACUUUGCACAAAAACAUUCAAGAAGACUAAACAAAUCAGAUGCAGUGUAUUUCUCCAAGCACAAAUGGCAUUGCAUUUUCUCCUCAACUGUAAUAUUUAUUGAUGAAAAUCAGUACAGGUCCCUCAUUUGUUAUGGAAAGCUUUCUUGUAGUCUGACCGGUUAAUUCACGGGUCUAUAAUCAUCUUGCAAAGUUACAGGCAUUUCUUUCGAUUUAAAGUCUUUGCAUCACCACCUCAUCACACACCAAGCCAAUAUUCCGUCUACCUCUACAACAAAAAGUUUUAAGUAAACGAUCCUAAUGCAUGCAGCCAAAUAAAAUGCAGUAAGAAUAUUCAACUUAAAACUCUGAAAGCCAUCUUGGUGAAUUGCCUCCUUAGGGGAAGUUCCAUGCUUUACUAUACUUGACAGGACUGAGCAAAAGCUUCCAUACGACAGAUUUUGACAAUAAUGAUGCCAACAGAUCCUCAUUAAAUCCAUUAAAACUCCAAAGGUUCAUUGUUCAUGGAUGUUUACAGAGUUUUGGUCAUCAAAUAGCUCAGACCACAAUCCCAAACAAAAAAGGAGUGAAAAUUAGAUCACCAGCAGCUAAUUGUAAAUUCUAACUUAACUCUUCAUCUCCUUUGUAAACAGGAGACAAAAUGGAGACACGCAAAAUGAAUAAGGAGAACAUUUGAACUCAAAUGAAAUGAGGGCACGAAAUCAAACAAAUGGCAUGCGCAAACAAACCAAGCCUCAAUCAAAAACUAAAUAACCAUUAAGAAAAAAAAACUGGUCAGAGAAUGAACUCCAAAUUCGGGAGUGAAGCAAGAAGCUUUCAUUAUUUCAGAAGCUCCUGUACAAAUUAAUAAGUUAUGCUCUUUGGAAACAAACCUAAAUUCCAAGAGAAACAGAACUCAAAAAAUUUGCAAUUAUACGCAAAGGAAGCGAAGCACAGCAUUCUAUCACACGUACAAAUUGUAUAACAAGAGAUCGACACAUCGAAUCAGAAGAAUUCAAUUCAAAUUUGUCUCAAAAAUCAAAAUUAGAAGAUUUCACAUUUCGAGAGGAACAAGCGACAGGUCAGAUGCACAAUUUUCAACCACAACAUGCCACAAUUAACGGUUUAUUUCCAUGGAUUUAGAGAGCUGACUGACCUUUUGGCUUUUGGAAUUGAGAAGAACGCGCGCCAAAAUGGAAGAGGGAAAGCGAAAGUGCGGGUUUCAAUAGGGUAUUGGAUUAGCAAAUUUUAUUAGUUUGCGAGGGUAAAAUAGGAAAGAGAUAUCACUAUUAACUUUUUUUUUUAUAAGAAAAAAGAAUAAUAAAGAAUAUUUUAUUGUCAUUUGCAGCAUUUAAUUUUUUUUAAAUGCUAUUAGAAAAAAACGACAAUAAAGAAAUGCUCUUUUUUUAUUUUUUUCUCGAAGGUAAAAUCAAUUAUUUAGCGUCUUAUAUGUAAUCUAACUCCAUUUCUUACUUUAAGUCAUAUCCAACUGACCAAUAAAGUAAUUGUUUUUUUUUUCAUUCAUUUUUACAGAAAAUUAAUAUUGAAAGCUAUUGUAAAAAUUUUUAUUAUCAACCUCAUAGUUUAAUUUUUUUGGGGAAGAAUUGAAUUUUUUUUUUUAAUUUCCAAGAAUUUCAUUCUCUAGUUUUUCCAUUAAUAUUACUUAUCUUGAUACCCAUCUUAAUUAAAAUCUGUAGUUUUAUUCAGGAGUCAUGCUAUUCAUUCACUCACAGACCAAAGGCUUUCCGCAGCAAUAUUAUUAUUUAAAUUACAACAAAGGGGAAAUCAAAUACGUCAUACAGAAGCUUAAAGCUGAAUCUACAAAAUCUAGAGCUCUCAACUACAAAAAUUACACUUGAUGAUCCUCUACAAGAUGAAACUUGUUCAAUAUCUCAUCCAAAGCUUGUAAAGUAACCUUGUAACGAUCUUGAGAUUGCCUGCCUUCCUCGACGACCUGCACGAUGCGUUUGUACAAAUCAUCAUACCUGUGCACCGGAUUUUUAAUAUCAACGCCACUGCAGCUGUGAUCAAGAACAUAAGAGCGUUUAACAUCUUUUCUCCAUCGAGAAAGAAUGUAGUGAGGUGGGAUCUCCUGCAUGCCACUCUGGUUUAGAACACAAAGAAUGUGUCUGCAUAAAUAUCCUCUGAAAUUGAACAACCCACAAACACAAAGCACCUCCUGCAUAAAUAUCUUUCUCGUUGCUACCAAUCUCAAAUUCUUCCUUCACUAUCUAUGUUAUAGGUCCAUCAGCACUGACAUGUUUUGUGCUAUAGCAAGAGUACAUAGCCUCCACCUCCGUCUGAAACUUCCUUAACAUUUCAUUUGUGUACAGUUUUGAGAGUUGAAAUUCAUAGUAACAUCUUGGUUUCUGGAUACAACUUGAAUUUCUUGAAUCCAUAUCUGCCAAGGCUUCCAGUUGAUAAUUCGCCUGCAGUGCUUGAUCAUACUUGUCUAAGAAUUCUUUCAAAGGAGUACUCUUAUCAAGAUAUCCUUCAAAGUAUGAAGUAGAAACCUCAUUCUGCAGGAAUGAAAACACUCCUGAUAAAAAUGCUUCCUUCAAAUAAACAGGAGCCCACCUUUUACGAUCUUCAUAUAAAGUUUGAAUCCAUCCAUGAUCCUUUAUUCCAUGACGUUGAAUCGUGUCCUCCCAAGCUGUCUCAAAUUCCUCAGGCCUAAGAGAGUGAUAAAUUGCUCUAUGCAAUGCAGCUCUAACAGCUUCAUAUUCAAACAAUCCUUGGAGUUUCUCUGAAAUUUUUUGCAUGACGCAUGACAAUGAAAAGCAAUGAUAAGCUCUUGGGAAAGCAUUGCUGACGGCAGUUUUCAAGAUUCUACAUUGGUCAGUGAUGAUUGUUUGUGGACAGCGUCCUAACAUACAUGUAAGCCACGCCCUAAACAACCAUGUAUAUGAUUCUAUAGUCUCACUGGCGAGUAAACCACAGCCCAACAGCACUGAUUGUCCAUGAUGAUUCACCCCAAUGAACGAAACCAGUGGUACAUCAUAUCUUUCUGUCAAGCAUGUAGUAUCAAUUAAGACUACAUCACCAAAGUACCUAUAUGCAACUCUUGACCUGGUAUCAGUCCAGAAGAGGUUUCUCAGGCAUCCCUUUUCAUUUAGAUCCACCACAUUAAAAAAGUUUGGAUCUGUCAACUGCAAACGACAAAAGAAACUCUGGACAGCUUGUGCAUCUCCUGGUUUAAGCUUCAAUUGAUUUGAGCUAUUAACAUCAUUUCCAAAUACUCCAUUAACAUCUAUAUUACCAUUUCCCUCGGUAUCAAGGAUAAGAGUUCGAAACAGUCUAAUUUUUUGAACUUCUUCAGCACCAUCUAAGAGCAAUGUUCUUUUGGUUCCAAUACCCAUGUGCUUAUGAGACUUGUAAAACUUUCCGCUUCUUGGGCUUAACAAACGGUUAUGCUCAAGCUUGACUUCAAUGAUUCUCCACCUUUUGGUUUCCAUCAACCUAAACUUUAUCAUUGCUGGACAGCCAGUUCUUGUUUCUGGUCUUGGGCGGUUUGCCUCGCUUUUCUUCUUUAAGCCUGCACUACUACAGCUCAGCUUUCCUCUAUACUUUUCUCUACUCUUUCGGUACCAUGUAUUGCUAACUCUAACACCAAAACCCUGUUCCUUGGCAUAGCAAUUAUAAAAGUAAUAUACGUCAUCAUACGUCUCAAACUCCAUCCCAACAGCAGGAGGCAAUGGAUUUUGGAUUAUCCCAGUUUGUCCAACAUAUUCAGUCAUCGCACAAUCUCCUAUUCAAAAUCAUCAGCGUCAUCAUCACCUACGGGUUCAGUAUUCAGAGAAACUUCAUCCAUCUACAAUAGAUGUUUAAUGAAGUGAGCUUUAAGGAGAAAAGGCAAAAUCAGUUCAAGGAAUGAUAAUAAAACCGUACAGUUACUUUCACAAAGCUUCGUAUUUCAUCACUACUUUAACAACAUGCAACUGCCUGAGAACAUACAGACAUGUCAUAGAUGCUUGAAUUAAGUAUUGAUACAAAUUAGCACACAUCAUGUGGGACACAAUUUCAGUCACUAAACCCAAUACCUUUUUUUUACAUCAUACCAAGAAACAGAUUAAACCCAAUACCUUCUUUUACGCCAUACCAAAGAACAGAUUAAAUCAUCAAUGAAAAAUUAAUCACAUAAUAAUUUAACUAGACAAUUGAAGAGCUCAAAACAGCACAAUACUUGAAUCUGAUUAUGAUAAUUGUUGAGUCCUUGUAUCGACAGCUUUCCUUCAAUGAGAAGAUUAUGAACAUAAACUACACACAAAAAAAAAAAUUAUUUAAACUGACAGCCCAUGAUAUAAAUCAAACAAAAUUAACUCCUUUUACAAAUCACAUCUUGUAUUCAUUUACAUCGAAACAUAAAAAGGAAGCAGGAGCCAAAAAAAACAACAGCACAGAAACUUCUUUCCAUAAGGUUUACGAAAUAAGGAAUUUAUUAAGACACAAAAUUUGAGGUCACCUAUAAUAAUUUGGUUCUCAUUCUCUUUUUCUUCAUUUUUCACUUAUUGAUGGAGUUAGCAUACAAUCCUAAAUGAUAAAACCCCAUCUCCAUUUUUGAACUAGAGCUAAAGCAAAGCAUUUUAGGAUUCAUCAUUUUUUUUUCUAAAAGACUCAAUAGUACAAUGUUUUUCAAUAUUAAAUACACAACUCAAUCUUCUCCUAAUUUACUCUAAUAAUCUCUUAACUUAGGAAGAUUAAGCUCCACUUGUAAGCUAAAACAAUUUUCUUAAAUCAAGCCCCAAUGCUCUAUACUAUUCAACAAGGCCUCAUAAAUGAUAAAACUACCUCUACAAAGAUACCCAUUUUAGUUUCGCAAACUAAAAUCAAACUCCUGAAACGUAACGAGCAUUAAAACAAACAAGUCCGAACAAGAACUGAAAAAUCAUACAUAAACUCGUUUACACGCUUCGAAAAACACUUUGAAAUUCAAACGAAACAUACCUUAGGUUGAUAAAUUAGUAGCGCAAAAGAAAUUUUAGUGAGAUAUGGGAUCAGGGUUUUUGCCACGGUGAUGUUAAUUGCGACAUUGGGGUGACUCAGCAGCCUUCGAGGCUGAAACUUUGAUUGACCAAAAGCUUCCCGUUCGUUGAUUAUCUAAUUGCAGAAACGAAACUCGCAGUGUACAGAAGAAGUACGCUGAUUUGAUAAUUCUGUGAAAAUCAUUGUUUUUUUGAGAUUUUUAAUGUGUUCGGUAAAUAUCAAAAUCUCAAAAACUUGUCUUUCAUUUUGGGGGGAAAAACCCAUUGAGAUCCUUAUGUUUUUUCUUAUAUAAUCUGGCUUAAUAAUUUGCAAAGUCUAUUACUUUGCACCCAUGCAUGCUGCGUUUCAAUUUUACAAAAUUGUACGUGAGUGCAUCCAGCUAAAAUUUGUAAAAAGAAAAUAACAAUAACAUGUUAAAAAUGUGAUGAUUAUGAAGAAAUUUUAAUUUAGUUAAAUAGGUGACGAUGGAUAGGUAUAAAAUCUGAGAUCUUUUAUGAGAUUAAUAAGUAUGUUGAGUUUGGAUUAGUUCAAUUUUGACAUAAUACAGAAUAAACACAAUCUGCUAAUCUAAGUUAUCAUCUUUUCUCGUCAUCAGGUACCUGUUUGAAAAAUAAUUAUAUACAAUUUUAUUUGCGUUGUCUCUCCAAAAAUUUUGGACUCGAAUGUUAUUUUUAAUUGCUAAAAGUACGAAAAUGCCCCCUUUCUCUUCAGCUAAAGGAGUGCAAAGUCAUCUGUAUAAUUGAAUCUGCAUCAUCAGUUUCUAUUGCUGGCUGGUGUUACUGCAUGCUUACAGUUGCUUGACAAAGUGAGCCAGUUUUUUGUUUAUUAAUUUUUUUUCUUGUCGAGACAGUCACAAAGUAUUACUUGUUCCAUAUGAGAAUGAUGUGAAUCAAUUUUUCAAUUAUGCAUUCUGUGGUAAUUAUUGUGAAUUUAGUUUCAUUUGUCUUGUCUCCUGCAAAUUUUGAAGAAAAUGCAGACAUACAAACUUACAAUAUGGAAGAGUUCACUGGAAAAAACUUUGUGAAAGCUUCCAAGUGAAACAGGGAAUGGGCUUACUAGUAAAGGACAAAUUGGUGGCCAGCUAAUGCAUUCAUUCUAUGUCCAUUCAUCUUUUCGAAUUAUUGAAGACAAGUGGCUCACCACUUUUAGUAUUGGUAAAAUUCAGAUAAUCUCUAUUCCGAAAUAAUAAUAUUCAAAAUAUCUCUUAAAUCAUUAUAAACCUGAAAUCUAUUUUAAUUUUAUUUAAAAGAUAAAAGAAAAAUAGGUUAUGUUGGUGAUUUUUUAUUAUCUUUUUAAUAAAAAUGAAAUAAAUUGAUGUUUAUAAUUAUUUAAAGUAUUUUAAAGAUUGCUAUUUUAUGAGAGAAUAAUAUUUCACUUUUUUAGUGUGAAAGAUUGAAAAAGGACAAACCAAGUUUCCCUAAUUUUUAUUUUAUUUGAAAUUGGUCAUCUCACAUACUUCACCCUUCAACAUUAUAAUUUUUUUGGUUAUAAUUUUAUUAUUUUUUCUCUUUUACACAUGCAUGUGAAUUACUUUUCUUUAAGCUCCUGAAUAUUUAAGACAAAUCAUGGAAGAGAUGAGAGUAUAACAAGAUGAUCAAAAUAUGUAACAAAAAAAUUUUAGAAGUGAAAAAUAUGUUAGAGUCGAAGUAAAACUCUGAGGUGAUGUUUGAUUUGAAGAAAAUGGAGGAGAGGAAAAGAGUGGAAUGGAGAGGAAAAUAGAGAAAAGGAGAGGAGAGGAGAGUGAAAUUUUUUUCUAAUGUUUGGUUUGUCACAUAAUUAUACAAAGAAAAGAAAUCUCUAAUUUUUUAUUUAGACAAUUUUAACCUUAAUAAGUAUUAAGCUUUCAAUAUUUAUCAUGUGUAUAAUUUAAAAAAAGUAAAUGGUAGAAAGCGGUUUCUGAUUCCGGCCACAUCGCCGGCAAUGGAAGGUACUUAUCAGAACAUCAAGAGCCGACCAUCAUUCCCUAGCCAUCACUGCUGUCAGAACACUGCCAGAAAGCUGCCGAUUGAACCGCAAAAAGUCGUGGAAAUCGCUGCCUCAAAUCGGUGAGUUUCGCCUUUUUCUGGUCACGCCGUCACCUUGGCUUUGUCCAUCAAGGCUGCCACUUCCAUUUUCAACCAUCCAUAGCCACUAUUAACGGCCAAAUCGCCGCCGAUCAGCGGGAUAUGUGGAAGUUAAAAAGUUUCUAAAUUUUUUUGACUGGAUUUGAACAACAUACGACCAUUUUUUGAUCUCGAUAACGACGUAGUAAUGUUGAUCAUUGAUCGGCAAGUCGAAUGGUAGUGGCGGUGAGUAACAUGCGCCAAUGACAUCGGCGGCGGCACUAUCCGGCGACUGUUAAAAUUAAUAUUUUAUAUUUUUAGAUUAAAUAAAUUUAUUUUAUUAAACUUUUUAAAUCAUUAUUUAAAUUUAAUUAAUUUAAAAUUAUCUAUAAUGUUGAAUUGAUAAAAUAAAUUUAUAAAUAAUAAUUAUGUGAUUACAUUAAAUAAGUUAAAAAGUUGAAAGGUUAUUUUUGGAAGAUUUAGUUUCCAACACAAAGGGAAUUUGAAUUCUUCACUUCUUAGUGUGGAAUUCAAAUUCUAUAUUGUAAUGGAUAUUAAAUUCCAAUAGAAAUUAAAUUCUUAUAAAUUAUGUCAAACCAAACAACGGAAAUAAAAAAGGAAUUUAAAUUACUUUCCUUUCCUCCAUUGUCUCCUUCCAACCAAAUACAUCCUGAAAAUAGAGAUAUUGAUUAAUUUAGAAGAGAUGCAAGCAAAAGAUAUUCCAAAAAAAAAAAAAGCAAUAUGUCCCUUUGGAGGGCAAACUUGUCAGUUUUAAAAAAGUACAUGCUUUGGAUUGAUAGUUGUAGGAUAUUUGUUUUGUCACUAUGUAUUAGUUGGAGAAGUCAAGCCUUGUGAAGAAUGUUAUGAAAGAGCAAAAGAUAUUCCUGAUAGCUGAUAGAGCUAUAUUUGAUUAUGUAUCCAACGAAUGGAUGUGUUGUUGGAAGAUAUCUGAGUGCAUUAGUUCAUAUGUGUAUGUCAAUGUGCUUUUAAUGAUUUUUCCACUUGUUUGUUGUAAAAGAUUAUUGUAAAUUGAAAUGAACUUGAUGUUGUAAUAUUUUUUCCUUAGUGGAAUUUCACCUAGUAUGUAUUCAGUUGUGUUCUCUAUAAUUUUGCAUUCGAAUAGUUUCACCUAAAUAUAUUAGCAUGAGUAGUGGCCCUUGAAACUUUGGUCAAAAUUAUUGUUAUUAUUUCCGACUAGAUGUAAAUUUUUUAUUAAAUCUCGUUAACACAAUUCUUAAUUAAAAGUAUAGGUUAGUGUUGGUGCAAGAUUUGCCACACCAAAUUCUGCCUAGCUGUCAAAAGUGCAAAAUAAAUGAAGAGAAAGCACAAAUACACGACUUGAAUAAGGAUACAACGAAACUUAAAUUCAAGAGAAAAUGAUAGCUAUAUCUCAAGAUUUGAAAAAAUGAUCAUGUAGAUUUUUAAGAUUUCAAUAAGCGACUGAGAUUCAAAUAAUAUCCUUUAAUUCUAUUAACAAAAAACAAAGACUCAAAUAUUUUAUGAUAAAUAAAAAUAUAAUAUUAAAAUAUAUGUGAUAAUAUACACAUUUUAAAUACUUUCAAUCCAAAAAAAUAGUUAUGUUUUACAAUCUAUUAGACAUAUUUUAUUAAAUUAAUAUAAAUUUUCUAUAAAAUAAGAAUAUAAUAUUAAAAUAAAUUCACUAAACUUUAAAGAAUUUUGAAUGUAAAAUAAUUUUAAUAUAUUAAUACGUGAGUUUUUUUAUUAAUAUAAAAAUUAUUUAACUUUAAGAUUUUUUAAAAUCUUUACAAUAAGUAUAACUAUAUUAUUUACAUUUAAAAAUAUUUAAAUAUUAUUAACCUACAAUUAUAUUUGCAUUUGUUAGAAAUUUUUUAAGUAAAAUAUUUUGCACUUCUAUAUUAUUAGAAUUAUUGCACACAAAGAAAGAAACAUAUACCUUUAGAAAUUGUUUUCUUUUAAAAUAGAGAUGAUGAUUAGUAUAAGGAUGAAAAAAAGGAUAUUAACGAAAUCUCUAUACAAAUUGAUUUUAGUAGGAAAAGAGUGAGAUGAAUGAUUCUUUUACAAUUAGAAACAUAGAUGAUGAUUAUUAUAACGAAGAAAAAAAGAUAAAGAAUAUUAAUUAUUAAUGGAAUCUCUAUGCAAAUUGAUUUUAGUAGGAAAAAAAUGAGUUAAAUGAUUUAGAGUGCGUUUGGAAUUGAGAUUGGGCAGCCAUAGAUUUUAAGUUACAACACUGAAGUGUUUGGUAAAUACUAGCUGCUGCAGAUUGAAAGUUAUGUUGAUAUGAUUUUUCACAUGUAUCAUAGAAAAUAUAUUACAUCUUUAAUAAUUUUUUUAAAAUUUAUAUUUGCUAUAUAUUAUUAUUAUUUUUUUUAUAGUUAUAACUUUUUUUCCACAGCAGCUGUAGCUUAAAAGCCACAGCACCUCAAUUUCAAACAAGUCCUUAGACAUUCAUAGUGUGUUUAUUUUUUGGAUUGGUGAAUAAAAAUUAUUGACAACGCUAACUUCAUCUUCACCGUUCGCAAUCCAACAGCAGCAAUUGUCACCAAUAAUGAUAUCUCCAAUGAUGAUGACAAUUAUUAUUAUUAUUAUUAUUAUUAUUAUUAUUAUUAUUAUUAUUAUUAUUAUUAUUAUUAUUAAUAAUUAAUUAAUUAAUUAAUAUAUUAAUGUUAAGAUUAUUAUUGUUAAGAUUAACAAUAAUUAUUAGUAAUACAAUUUUUUGAAUAAAAAUAAUCACAAUAAUUAAAAUACAAAUUAAUAAUUAUGACAAUAGUUAAUUAAUGUCUUUUUAGUGAAUCAAAAUUAUUGACAACGCUAACUUCAUCUUCACCGUUCGCAAUCCAACAGCAGCAAUUGUCACCAAUAAUGAUAUCUCCAAUGAUGAUGACAAUUAUUAUUAUUAUUAUUAAUUAAUUAAUUAAUUAAUGUUAAGAUUAUUAUUGUUAAGAUUAACAAUAAUUAUUAGUAAUACAAUUUUUUGAAUAAAAAUAAUCACAAUAAUUAAAAUAAAAAUUAAUAAUUAUGACAAUAGUUAAUUAAUGUCUUUUUAGUCAUUUAUAGUAAACAAAUUAUUAUGAUUCCUAUUCUCCUUUCCCAUUUUAGCUCACUUUGAUUUCAGUCUAUUCCGAUUUCUAUCUAAUAAAUGCACCAUUAGUGCUAAAGUAAUAUUUCAUACAUAGAAAAGUAAAAACUACACCUAAGGUUAAGGGAAAGGACUUCAAAACUCUCUUUUGAUUAUAAUACUAGGAAAUAAAACCGCGCUUCGCGCGGCUUUAGAAAAUAAAUUUAGUAUUAUCAAUUUUCUUUCUUUACACUCGACAAAACUGAUAAAAAAUAUAAAUUAAUUUUUUUUAAAUGAGCCAGCGUUAUAAAACUAAUAUUAUUUAUGAAAGUUAACUAUUUUUUUGUUAACUUUAAAAAUAUAUAUUAACGUGUAUAGUUUAAGUGUACAGACUUUAUACCUUUUGUAGUUGAUAAGUUCCAAAUUAAAUUUUGUAAUUGAGGAUCCUUAGCAUUGAAGUAUAAAAGAAAUAAGUAAAAUACAUGUAAAGACUUUUGUAAUUUAUUUCGCAUCGUUUGUAGCUGCGUAGGUGAGCAGUUGUUUAUAUCAAGCUUGCAGCUAUGGCAAGUUCCAAUGGGGAUCAGCAACACCUAGUGCCAAAAUGUUCUUUAUCUGUAUAUAAACCAUGUCUCCAUGGAUUAGAGAGAAUGAAAGGAGAAACAGUUGAUGUAAAAAAGAAUGCUUCUUCACGUACUAUGUUCUUUGGCGAUUAAAUCCUCCAUAACAGCUUGGAAAACUCAGCCAAAUUACCAUUUUGUUGUCUCGAUAGUUCCUUUGAUUUAUCCAUUUGUCUACUGAAUAAUUAAAACACAUAAUAAAAAUCAUUAUUAUAGGGUGAAGUAAGAGCUUGCAAUGUAUAAAUUAAAUUUUAAAAUAUAAUCUAAAAAUGUGAUACCUUGAUUUUGUGAGCUAAUGUGUGAAUAUUUUGAAAUACUUCUUUGUAGACAAUGUUUUUUAUGAAGGUUCGGUCUUCUACCUCUUGAUCGGCAUUUAGUAUGGUCAAUCCUUCUCUUGAGGUAACUCGAGACACGGCGACAUAUAAUUGACCAUGUGUGAAUACUUGCUUAGGGAGAUACAAGCCAACAUGUUUAAGAGAUUGUCCUUGGCUUUUGUUGAUCGUCAUGGCAAAACAUGGUGCUAAAGGAAGUUGUCGUCUGUUAAGCUUGAAUGGCCAUCUUGAUUCAUUAGGAGACAUAAUAAUUCUUGGAAUUGUGACAUUUUGUCCAAUAUUUGUUCCAGAAAUGAUGUCACCUCUAAUGGACCAUUUACCAAGAUGAGUGACAAUUAAUCUUGUGCCGUUGCAUAGGCCUUCUAUUUGAUUUAGAUUUCUGAGAAGCAUUACGGGAGCACCUUCCUUAAGUCGUAUGUCAUGAUUAGGGAUGCCAUUGAAUUUCAAACUAUUCAAAAAUUCAGUUGGAUAUAGAACAUCUUCAUCAUUUGUGUUUGCGCUUGCUUUGCAUAUACUGUCUGAGCUAAAAUAGGUUCUCCCUUGACCAGGUAUUAUAUUCAUAAUCAUCUCGUUCAAUUCAUGCACCAUUUCAUUUUUUGGGGUUAAUAUUGCUCUUUCUUUCAAAUAUGUUGGAUCACUGUAGUUAUGCUGAAUUGAUGGGUAGAUAGUGUCGACUAUUGAUUUUAUCAGAUUUUCUGAUGGUUUCUUACAGAUAUCAGAAGGUAGUUUAACUAAAUCUCUAUCAAUGUCAUCAUAUAAUGAACCAUCUCCAAUCUGCAAUAACCAUUUGUCAAAAGAAGCUAUUUUAGCAGCCUAAGAGCCACUCACACUUCCAUUAUAGAGCCUCAUAUUUUUUUUGAGGUCAUAAAUUUUGAAAAAUGGCCACAAGUAGGAUGAGUUAAGUGAAGCAUCAACAAUGUCUGCUCUUGUCCUCUUUGGCACAACUGGCAAUAUUUGUCGGAAAUCGCCACCACAUACUAUUGUAAGUCCUCCAAAAGGUUUGAUAGAACUAUUUUCAUACAUUGUUCUUAGAAUAUCUCUCAAGGUCCUAUCCAAAGCUUCAAAGCAGAACUUAUGUGUCAUAGGCGCUUCAUCCCAAAUGAUCAAAGAAGUUUUCAUAAGAAGUCCAGCUAAUAAGGUGCCUUGUCGGAUUUCACAAGUGGACUCUGCUGUCACAUCCAAAGGAAUAUGAAAUCGCGAAUGAGCUGUCCUACCAUUAGGCAAUAACAAAGCUGCUAUACCUGAAGUUGCAACAGGCAAGACUAUUUUAGAAUGUGAUCUGAGCUUUGCAAUAAUUGUAUUCCACAAAAAUGUUUUACCAGUACCACUGUGUCCAUUGAUAAAAAAUAAACGCCCUUCUUCAUUGUCAACAGAAUGCAUUAUUGCUUCAUAGGCUGAUUUUUGGCAAGCAUUUAGAGCAGCAAACGAUUUCUCAUGCAACUUCUUUAAUUGAUCACGAUCAUAAUCAAGCUCUUCAUUGACCAAUCGGUUACCUGAAUCUCUUAUCAAAGAAGAAUUAGGAAGUGGCAUUCCAUCUAUGUCUCUCAAACUUUUUCCCAUUUUCAACAUGAUAGUUUAAAUCUCCAACAAUGUGUAUGCUUCAACUUGUUGCUCGGUUAACUGAAGAUCUUUCAAUCUGAAUUUUUUCCUUUGCAAUGAAGUUAUGUCUUCUGAUAAAGUAGUAUAAUUAGAUUUCCAAAGUUGGGGUGCAUCAGAAACCUGACAAUGAAUGAGUAUCGUGACAAAAAGAUGUCUUAAUUCAUUUCCAGUCGCCCAUAUUGCAGCUUCAGUCAAGCAGUCGAUCCAUUCUUUAUCAUCGUCUAAUAAUCCCAAAGCAUAGCACGCAGCUUUAAAAGUUGGAUAUGUCACUCCAUUUACUGUUCUAAUACUUUCAAAUGAAGUGCUUCCUUUUACAAAAUUGAGCAACAUUCUCAUAUAAAAUCGUUCUCCACUUGAAGGAUGUGCAAAGUAAAUUCUUCCGAUUGCUAAGCCAUUUUUUCUCCUAGUCCAAGUUUUGUCUUUUGAAUUCCAUACCCAACAUGUAGGGAAAUCAGAAUAAGUUAACUCUCGUGCAUCAUCAUAAUUCUUGUUUGCCUCCAACCAUUCUGUGAACUUUGUUUUUUCUAUUCCAGGUAUGGUAAGCACAUUUUCUAAGCACUUAGAUUCUUCGAAUAUUACUGUAUGCUCUCCCGGUAAAUGGAACGGCAAUCUUUCAACUGCUGGCUUUCUGUAAUGUAUGUCAAAUUGGAAGAUUCGCCAGCAAGCUUCGGUUGCUGAUAUAUAUCUGCAGUCCAAAUAUGUUUUGAUCUCGUCCAUUUCUUGGGUAGUGUCAAUAGAUUCCAUUGUUGCAGUUGUUCUAUCAGACCCUUUAUGGACAUACUUGAAAAGAUAUUUAACUGAUCUCGAGUAAUUACAAAUCUCAACAUUAAUAUGUGCAUCAAAUUUGACAAUUAAAUUCCUGUGAUAAGGGACCACAUAUCGAUUAUCCAAGAAGACACCUUUCUUUUCGACAUGAAUACCUGUAUUUCUCCUUUUAUAGAUUGGAAAACCAUUUGUAUCCACUGUUGUCUGAUCAUUAAAUUUUUUUGGAAAAUGUUUUGUGCACUUGUCUUGCAUCAUGCAUGGAGAGUGAGAAUUGUGUUUUCCACACGGUCCAUGAAUCAUAAAUUUGUUAACUGCAUUAUAACCAUCAGGAUCAACAUUUAAGUCAGGGAUUUCUGCACUUAUUAUUUUAUCAAUAUGGUCUGCAGAAGGAUUUUUCAUUGUUGGAUGCAAAAAAAGCAGUAUGUGUGCAUAGGGCAAGCCUCUUUUUUUAAACUCAAUUGUAUAUAGACCUGCCACAAAAUAGAGUAAAAUUUAAAAGUUAGAAAUAUUGAUUUUAAUUGUGAAAUUAUUGUUUUUCCCUACACUUUUCAAUAACAAAUGAGUUGAAUUUGUUAUGGAUACGAAUUUGAAGUGAACUUACAUGCAAUUAUUUUUCCAAACGGUUGAUCUUUUUUCAAAUCUUGCAUUAGUUGGAAUAAUUUUAUCUCGAAAACUCUGCAUAUGAUAUCGACUCGAUUGUCAUCAUUAUUUUGUCCAACUAAUCGGAGCAUGUUAUUUAUUUCUUGCCACUUUGGGUUGCAAGUGAAAGUAAGAAAUAAAUCAGGAUAUCCUGCCCAUUUACAAAUUGCCAUAGCAUCUUGAUAAUUUUGUAUUCUAUAUCGUGGUCCCCCCGUGUGUGAUGAAGGUAGAAUAAUCGAUUUUCCAACUUUCGAACAAUCAGAAUCACCUCGAUGAACAGCAUCCAUCAAACCAGAGAAAAGGUCUGAUCGAAGUUUUUGUUGAUUAUUCCGGAUCCAACGAAAUCUUUCUUCUUCAACUGCCAUGUAACAAUCAACUAUAUAUUGUUGGAAUAGUCUACCAGUUUGAAGUAGAGUGUGUCCCUCAUUCAAUCUUUGUUGCAACCUAAAGCAAUAAUAUUGCCUCAUUGUCAGCUUUUGCCUCUUAAAAGGGCUAUCAGUUAUGUCUCUUAAAGAUAUGUCAGGUCUAUAUCCAUCUUCGCCAUAAGGAUAUAUUAACGGGUAUGUCAUGGGCAUGAAGCUUGGAUGCAAAUCUGUGAUUCUCCGAAGUCCCUUUGUGCGAUGCUCUAUAAUAACAUCGCGUUGAAAGUUUGCUUCACUGAAAUCACCAACUAUUAAGCCUGCAACUUCUGAAACUGUUGGUAUAUUGUAUCGACGACCAUCUCUUGUUCUACUAUUAAGGAGUCGUAAACGGAAUGUAGAUUCUGGUUGUGUUUUGUAUCUAUCCCUCGCCAUUCUAAAAGAUUUGACCAAAUUAUUAUGUUGGUCCAACAUUUUAGAUAGUUCAUGAAGAAUUUCGUGAUCAAUUUCUGUCUUCAUUCCAUGUUUUAAUAGAGUGUUGAUUCUAUUGUCUAUCUCAUUUUCAGUAUCAUAGAUAUAGAGCUGAGCAAACUGUGGUUUUUUCCCAACUUCUGGCAACAAAGAACCAAUGUGAUGAUAAUUCUGACCGCUCAUCCUGAAAACAUAAGGACCUUUUGAUCGAUUGAUUGAUGCAUCAACUCGACCUCCCAUAGAUGUGAAAGCAAACAUGGAGUUAUAAGCCCUGAUAUUUUUUCGAAAUUUGGAACCCUUUUGUCCAGACUCUGCCCCGAGAAGAUAUUUGAGUAAAGGAGGUGUUUCUUUCAUGAAUGGAAUCUGCACACGACCUUCCAUACAACAAAAUGUGAAUUUGGGAUGUGAGACCUUUUUGGUUUUCUUGUUCCGUUCCUCGUACCAUAAAAUGGCACCACAAUAUUGACAUGUGUAUGUAGGGGGUCCAAAAUUCCAAGGCGUUGUGUAAUGAACUGUCAAAUUCAACCAAUAAUAAUAUUGUAACAAAGUAUCUUAUUUCGUCUAAGUGAAUAUGGUAAGAAAAAAUAUUACUAAAUAUAUUAAUAUUUUCAUUGUACAUGUAGUUUCAUGCAAAUAUGUACCAUUAUUUGAUGUUACACCAUCCAAUGGAAAGCUUGUGGACUGAUCUAUAUUCUCAUCAAAAGAGAGACACGCUCUUUUUAGUUGUCCAUGUUCAACUGUAUAUUUUUAAAGUUCCAAAAGCAAUGAAUAAGUUAUUAGUUUCAAGUAUUACAAGCAUGAUGAAUAACUAAUAAAGCUCGAUAAAUUUAAAUAUAUAUACGUACAUGUGUGAAGAAGGCGCUUUCCUCUGUUUGUUUGACUCUUUGGAUUUAUAUGUAAUGAUGUUUUAUUAUUAUCAUAUCCAGCUUUACCAGGAGAUUGAAGGAAAUUCCCAAUUGAAAUAUGUUAGAAAUAUAUAUAUUUGUUAAUAUAUAUUAACAUAAAUAAUUUAAAUUAUAUAGGGAUAAUUUUUGUAAUUUGUAUAGUAGGAAUAAAAAUCAUAUUUUCAAGAAUCACAUACCGUUUGAGUGAAGCAAUUUAUUGUCACUUCUAAUGACUUCCAACUUCAUAAAUUUUGUGUAAAAAUUCACAAUUUGUAGCAUCAAAAUGAUUCUCUUUUUUAAAUCAUGUUUGUAUCUAUUAUGAAUAAUCAUAAUUUUCCGCUUAAAUCUUGCAUGCUUGAAUAUGGCCUUCUGCACGACAACAUAUCCAUUGUUUAUUGUGUCACACUGGAAAUUUGAUGCAUAUUUCCUAAGUUUUAAUUUCAUAAUCCUUUCGUGCCGAGCUAAAGAUGAAAGUUGAUGCCGCAAGAGACAAACUUCUGGCGGAAUAUUCCUUGAGUCACCGAAAUCAUUAAUAGUUGCAGAAAUCAAUUCCAUUUACUCUGGUGAACAAUAAAGUGAAUUCAAUAUCACAAAAUAUUCUAAAAUUAACAAAACGUUUUAUUACAAAUCAUAACAAGAGAAACCGAAAAUAUAAAAUGUUUUUUUUCAAAAGAGAGAAUUUUUUUUUCAAUUAUUGAAAUAAGAAUUGCAAUGAAUUUUUCGAACGAAUAUAUACCAUAUGUUAGAAAGAACAAAAAAAAAAUCACUAAAAACAAAACAAAAUAAAAUGGGAUUUAAUUUAACCAAUUCAAUUUAAUUUUAAACUCAUGCCAGUGUCACACUGGCAUUAAUUUUUGUUGUGCUUAUAGCCACGAACAGAGGCUUUUAGAUUACUUCUUUAUUAGGUUAUUAUUCUUCGAAUUUGGUGGGUAAAUUGUGAGCUUUUUCUGUUGUGAUAUUAUCAAAUCAAUCCAUGCAAAAUAAUCAUUAAUGUAAUGUUUUUGUUAUUUUCAAACUGAUAAAUAAUUAUGAAUUGUUUCCAUAAUUGUGUAUUUAGAAACAACGUUAACACAUUUUUUCGGAACAAACUUCUAAGUUUGAUUGAUUUUACGUCUAAUUACGAUACCCUAAAUUAAUAUAGAAAGUCAACAAAAAUCCACUUUAACAGUUCUAAUGUAAAUUUAAAGGCAAUUAAUUUUGAGUAAAUAUGAACUAAAACAAAACUUGAACAAAAUCUGAAUUUAUAUAUAAUAUUAAGGUAGCCACAUUGCAUUUGAAAAUGUCAAUUAGUGGGAUCUAAAUAAAUAAUCACCUUGGAAUUUUUUAAUGGUUGUAGGAGUUAAUAUUACAUACACGGACUAUCAUCUUUGUUGUACAAAUUUCGAUCAAACAUCUCCCCCAACUUUUUUCAUAAAGUAAUCUUUGAUAUCACCGAGCUAUCCAUAAAAAUUGCCACAAGUGAAUAAUGUAAAGAGAAAAACUCAUUAUAAGGAUAUCAUAUUAUCAUUAAAUUCGAAAGUUUCGAAUUACGUUAUUAUACAAUUGGUUACUUUUUAAUUCUAAAUCACCAAUAUUAUUAUUCCCUAUCUCAAUAUGAAUAUUACCACUUGACUUUUUUAUUUGUGUUUAUGAAGAGGUGGGGUGUGAGGAAAAGGAAAAAAUGUUUUUCUUAAGAAUUAGAACAAAUAAUUAGGCAAUAAUUCAAGGAAUUGAGGUUGUUCAUUCUACAUUCCAUUUGGAUUUACAGUGAUUUUCAUAAAUUUUUUCUUUUAUUAAUUAUGCUAACUGCCAUGUACUGUUGUUUAUUCUACUGCGUUUGGGAGAAGAUGCUUGGGCUGCCUAGAACAUAUUUUCUAAUUAAUUUUUCUUGUGAAUACAUUGAAUAAUCUCUAAGGGCUAUAUCCUUUUUCAUUUUACUUUAACGGUUUUUCUUCAACAAAUAUUGGAUGUAUUUAGUGAAAAAGAAAAUUAAAAAUUAGGAAAGAAUUAAUAAAAUUAGUGAAGUCAAAUUGUCAAUCAAUUCUUAUGAUAAAACAAUAAUUAAAAAAUAUAGUCAUAGUUUUCUUGAUUAUAUUCGACUUAUUAAUCUGUUAAAACUUUUUAUAUCUUUUUUUCCAACUUCCCCAUUUGGUGAACUAUAAAAAUGAUAUGUUUUUUUUCCACUCUUUGUCUCUAUCUUUUUUCACUCACAAAGAGUUAAUAGUUAUUAAUCAAUUAAUUUUUUUUGUUUGCAUAAGAAUUAAUAAUGUUGCACACAUGUAUUGUGAAAUAAUUGUUUGUUCAUAAUUAUUUUUUGCAUUUUUUUAGAAGUCAAUAGUCAAAUUAAUGAUAUUGAAUUAAGACAUUUCGAAGUUUGCUAUUUUGUACUUCUAAUAGAAAUGCUUGCAAAUGGGAGGCAUUAAUUUUUCUGUUUACUUUAUCGAAUUUCAUAAAAUUCAAUUCAAACAAAAAAUUGAAGGUUAGAAAAGCAGUUGGAUAGUUUCAUAAAAUUAUUAUUUUAUCAUUUAAAAGAUAUGUACCACAUCAAUUAGGACUAAAUAUUAGAAUCAUUAGCAUUGUUCCAAUCACACAUGCAAAAUCUAUCACUCAAUAGUCAAGUACAUUGUACAAUGCAGUCGAGAACAACUUCAACAUUUAGUUAAACCUUUUCUAUCUGUUUAUUUCCACAAAACACCAAAUAUCCAGAUUGAUACUGGAUCCUCCGAGUCAAAUAUAGCUAGUUCACGUUCAGAAAAGACCCGCCUCUUUUAAUUGUACCUCCUGCAUGCGAAUUAUAUAACAAUUAAAUAAAACUACACCAGAGAUUAAUUAGUCAAUAAAUAUAAACACGAGCUAAAACAUGUGUUUACUAAUAAUUCUUAAACAGGUCUAAGCUUUCAAAGUUUGCAUUGAAAAAUUAAAGUGAAAAUCUUCAAUACCUCCAUGUGUAAAUCGCAUAAAUUAGACAACCAAAGAUUAUUCAAAGAUUUUUCUUUCUUACCUUAUGCUUUUUCGCAAACAAGUAGAUAACAACAAUUGUAAAGACAAGUGAGCAGUAAUCUGUUAAAACAAAGUAAUCCAGUGUUAAUGAAAAUAAGAACAACAUAUUAUAUUUAAAACUAAGUUUUCAUAAUAAUGAAAUCGAGUAAACUUAUUCGAUAAGGAUAAACAAAUAGAACGCAUUGACAAAUUGACAUCAAAUUAAAUUGAUCCAAAGAAAUUGAGAUGCUCAAAUUUGAUUACGUACACAUUAAUUUUCAAAUAAUUAAUCCACACAUUGUUUUAUUCUUCAAACAUCUUUAAACACAGGAGCCAACACUUUCACUCUUAUAUAUUACUGCCAUAGUAACUUGAACUUGGUGAUCAGCUUUUUAAUUGAUUUGCAGUAGCUCACAAUUAAUUAAGCUUGAUCAUCAGUAGCUAUUAUUGAUCAUAAAAAUAUUUGUUUAAUUUACAAUCUAAAGUUACGCUCCAUACUCUAUAUAUGUGAAUUAUAUAUUUGCAUCAUCAACAUUAACAUUAUAAAAUAAUCUGUGCAAUAGGAUGCUCUUGGAGUAUUUUAUUUUCAUCACAAAAUAUAUUAAAAUUAUAUUAGUCAGAGAAUAUAUCUAACACUUUCUAAACACUAAUAUAUAAUAGUUUCUACAAAAUUAUGAAAUAUUUGUACUAAAAUACCAAAAUAUAAAUAUAUAUAACCUAAUUGGAAUCAAUAAUCAAACUUCAAACAUGUCAUACUCUAAAGAAAUUAAAGCAUGAUAGUCUGUGUGUUUGACAUAUUCAACUAAAUGUUUGAUGAGAAUCUGUGAUUGUUAACAGCCAAUAAUGGUUUCUUUAGCAACUCAACUCAACUCAGCAAAACCGCAACCAAUUACAUUUACCAACUCAACUCUUCGCUUCCCCAAUUUCCAACAUUCUCUUCACAUUUACAAAUGGUAGGUGGUCCUAUAAAUCCCAUUCAAGAAUGAACAAUUUUUUUCAGUUCCUAGUAGGUGAAGUUUCUUCCACAUUUACAGAAAUUUCGACAGCAUCUCCCCAUAGUUCUCCAAGUACACGACCUAGAUUUAUGCAUUCAUCUAGUAUGUACCCAGAGAACAUGAGGAGCAGCUAUCGAAAUUUCCUUUUACGUGAAACAAAACUUCACCUACUUGGAACUAAAAAAAAUUAUGCAUUCCCAAACUGUCCAAGUUGGGACAAUUCAAGAAUUAUUAAUAGACAUAUCAUCCUCUUGUCAUCCUAAGAUGACACUGAUAAAACAUGUGUCUACUAAUAAUUCUUAAACGGGUCUUAGCUUUCAAAGCAUGCAUUGAAAAAAAAAACGUAAAUCAAUAUAUAUAUAUAUAUAUAUAUAUAGUUGAGUUUAUUAACAUUACCUAGGUUUGGCGGAGAAAAUAUGAAGAAGAAGAAGUAGUUUGGGCAAAAAUCAAAGGGUUUUGAUUUUCAUUAUUGAUCAAUUGAAAUAGUAGAGUAGUGGACCUUCUCAGCUAGUUCCAUGGAUGUUAAUAAAUCUAAAAUUUGUUAGCACUUAACAUUUGCUAAAGAAACCGUCUUAAGUUUCAAUUCUUUAAAUUAAUGUUAAUUAGAUUUGACAUUGAAGAUUAAUUAUUCACUAAGGCUUAUCAUAUUUUAAAAAAACGAAUAUAAAAGGUUGCAUAUUAAAUAUGGGAUUAUGCAAUUAAAAUUAAACCCUAGUAAUGGCAUUGGUGAGGGAAGAUGAAAGAAUUCCUUCCUAUAUUAAUUAGUUGAUAUAUUUUAAGCCACUAAAGUUUAAUUGUUGGCUUAAUAAAAUAAAUGAAUGUUUCAAGACUUAUAAUUAAUUAUUAUUAAUGGUUAUAUAUUGUUGAAUUUAAAUAGAAAUAGGAAAAGACAUGUAAUCUUUUGUAAUCUAAUAAUCAUUUUCUAUUUAUUUUCUAUUUUUAAUAUUUUGUAAUGUAAUUAUUUUUUAAUUUAAGCUAAUAUAUUAGAUAUUAGAGAAUAUAAAGAGAUGAGAAAUAAUGAUGUCACAAAUCUUAAAUACUUAAUAUUUAUAGAAUUUGAAGAAGCCAAAAAGCACUAAACAAAAGGUUGAAUAAUUAAAUAUGAAAUUAUGACAUUAAAAUUAGGCCCUAGUGGCAUUGUUGAGGGAAGAUGAAGGAACCUUCCUUUCUAUAUUAAUUAAUUGAUGCUUUUUAAAGCCAUUAAAGUUUAAUUAUUGGCAUAAUAAAAUAAAUGAAUGUUUCAAGACUUGUUGAAUUUAAAUAGGAAGAGGAAAAGACAUGUAAUCUUUUGUAACCUAAUAAUUAUAUUCUAUUUUUACUAUUUUAUAAUGUAAUUAUGUUUUAAUCUCAACUAAUAUACUAGAUAAUAAAGAAUAUAAGAAGAUGUAAAAUAGUGAUGCCACAUCACCUCUUGUAGUCAAGGCUUAUAAUUAAUUAAGAGACAUGGAUAGGGAUGGCAAUUUCCGGGUCCGGGUCCGGGUCCGGGUUUGGCUGUUCCGGAUCCGGACCCGGACAUCAAAUUCUCAUAACCGGACCCGCAUUAAACCCGGAUUUUUUAAAUCCGGAUCCGGUCCGGGUUCAACCCGGAAAAAUCCGGGUUUCCGGAUUCCGGGUUUGGAACCCGGAUUGCUUUAUUAUUAUUUUUUUUAGAGACCAUAUGGCUUACUUUAACAAGGCACAGGGGAUGGUGGUUUAAUGUUUUAAUGUUUUCCCCAACAACACAUUACAGAAUACUUCCUAGAAUUGGUUCAAUAAAAUUUGAUGGAUAUUGUUGUUGAGUUCGAAUUUUCCGUCUCUUUUGGUGGAGGUUUCACAUAUUUUCCUAUUACUUUUUGGCAUCUCUUUCUCUUUUGUCUGGUUUGUUUGUCUUUACUUUGCUGCUUCCUUUUCUCCUUUAGCUUAUUCCGAAGAUGCCUUUCUUUCUCAAAUACACCUUGCCAAACGACCUCACCUGUUGACGGCCAUAACCACCGUCUUCUAGGGUGAUCAGAAUCUGCCUCCUCGGCCAUGUCCUCAUCCAUGCUUUUUAAAGUGCUGUAUGAGAACCAUCUGACCCACAUUUGACCUCUCCGACUCUUAAAGUGCCACGCCGCGAAGGAUCUGAUCUGAUCUGAAGAAGAGAUUACAGGAGAGUUGCAGAGAGAGUGAGAGAUUAAGUGACGACGGAGGACUGAGGUGAGGAAUGAGUCACGGCUCACGGGUGAUUUUCCUUGAGAGAGGAACGGAUUACGGUUUACGAAUGAGACUUGAGAGAUUGAAAGGAGAAAUUAUAGAUUUACAGUAAUUUUUAGGUUGAAGGAGAAAUUUCGAGAGAGGAUCAGACGAACGAGACGAGAGAGAUCUAGAUUCUAGGGUUCACUUUUGUUUUUGUUUUUUUUUUAAUUUUUCUAUUUAUAUUUACGGAUUUACGGAUCAAAAUUAAUAUUAAAAUAAAUAAUAUCCGGGUCCGGGUUCCGGGUUUGCGGGUUCAUCUGAAACCGGAUCCGGACCGGAAAAAUGCGGGUUGUCAAAAACUGAUCCGGAUUCCGGAUAAAAACUAUGCCGGUGCGGGUUGAACCCGGACCGGAUUUUCCGGGUUCAAUCCGGGUCCGAUCCGGGUCCGGGUUUGGUUGCCAUCCCUAGACAUGGAUGAAACUAAUGUUAUUUAAGUAACACAUAGUUGAUUUAUAAGCUUAAUGUGUCAAAAUUGUUUAAACCUUUCCAAGAUUAACUAUUGUUUUCUUAUUAUUUCUUUUAUCUAGGUUUAAAUUUUAGGAGAAAUUUGUCAAUUUUCAAUUAUUGGGUGAUAUUGGUAUGCAAAUGAUGUGUUUUAUAGCAAUUUGAAUCUUUCUCAUCUUCAAGACUAUCAUUAGUCGAUAAUGUUGCUAUUACCUCAGGCUCUCGUGAGUCUAAACAUUUUCUAAUUAAUUGAAAAUGAUAUAAUGAUUAAUUAAUUGUUGAUAAUAAAACCAAUUUAAUACGACGUCUCCCCAUUUCUUUCUUUAUUUCUUUUAAACCUCAAUCAUUGUCAAAACCGUUAAUGGGUUGCAAUUAAACACUUAACAAAUCUUAAACUUGUUGUUAGCAAUUAACAUUUGCUAAAGGAAUCGUCUUAAGUUUCAAUUCUUUAAAUUAAUGUUAAUUAGAUUUAAGACGAAAAUUAAUUAUUCACUAAGACUUAUCUAUAAAUAAAAAGUAGAUACAAAUGUUGUAUAAUUAAAUAUGAGAUUAUGACACUAAAAUUAGGCCUUGGUAGUGGCAUUGUUGAGGGAAGAUAAAAGAACCUUCAUUCCUAUUUUAAUUAAAUUAUAUGUUAUGACGUGAAAAAAUAAACAAUCCAUUUUUGUAUUUUGUAGUUUGUGAAGAUUUGAAACAAUGUGCUUUCUUUUCAGAGUGAUAACAAUUGGAUCCAUUGCUUUUUCCUUUUAAUGUUUUAUAAACAUAUAUUGUCUAUUUGCAUCAAAUAAGUCCCAAUCUCUUUUACAAUCACUAAUAAAACACCUUUCAAUUAUUAAACUAUAAAUAUGUGUCAUUCAAAAUUAUGAUGGAAGAUAGAGAAUUUAGGGUGGGUUUCUUCACUGAAGAGUUAAAAAAAAUUGAAAUUUAAAAUUUUUCAAUAAAUACAAAUAUAAGAUGAAUAGUUUCAUUUGUUCAAUAGACUAAUCAUAUUAAAAUAAUGUUAGUAAGGAAAAUAAUUUAAAAAAUAUUCUUAAUUAAAAUAAUUUAAAAAAUGUAAAUUACCUCUCUCACCUCAUUUUUUAAGCAAAAAUAAAAAUAACUUGAAGUUUUAAAAAAUAAUUGAAGUAAUUUAAAAAUAAUCAAUUUGGAAUAAUUCAAAAUUUACCCAAGAGAUUAUUCACAAUAUCAAUCAAUGAAUUAGAAACAUUAAAUGGUAUAACAUAUAACUAUUAUUUUUAACUUAUUGAUCUCAAUCUUGAGCGUUCGGAUUAGAUCUUUGGGGUUUCAUUUUUUAGAUUUCAGUGAUUGAAAGUAUGAAACUCAAAGUAACAAAAAUUAAAUUUAUAUUUUAUCGCAAGUGAAGUGUAGGGAUUAAUCCAAUUAUUUGCGUCUAGCGUUUCUUUUUGUUGCUAUCACUCUUGUUGAUGAUGAUAAGCCUUUUUUUUUUUGCAUUGUCACUACCAAUUUAUUAUCUACAUUCAUCUAUAGAACGAAGCAAGAUGCCAAGAAAGAAAUAUAACACAAGAAAAAUAAGUUAUCCCAAUCGUUCAAAACAAAUACAUACAUAGCCAGAAAAAUAAGACAUAUCAUAUCACACUUAAAUAUUACCACUCUAAAAAGAAAAAAAGGUCAAAAGACUAACACACAUGUAAAAAGAUGACCAACAACAACACUAAACAUGUUUUGUGUAUUGAUUACUUCCACCAUCACUAACUUCAUCAUCAUCAAUAAUUUGGUUUUUUCUCUUUCUAUUCUUACUGGCAUUAGUAACAUGAAAAUCUCCCACAGAAUCUUCCAAAUUAUUUGAUAAGAUAUCAUGAGGAUCCUGUAAUUUUUUAAUCAAGGAAAUUAAAAUUAUGAGUAAACUGAACAUGCUAAUUUUAAUCAUAAAGGAAAACAACUGGGAAAUAAGAGUAAAUAAAAUUACCAUUUCUUGGGAAUGUUCUUCCUUUCUUUCAUAUAUUUCCACAUUUUCAUGAUCUGUAUUGUUUUUUUUCCUACAAAAAACAACAAUUAAAUAAUUUUUUUAACAUUACAUAUAUUGCCUACAAAUUGAACCUAGCACAGGUAGAUAAUACCUUCUUCAAUUCUUGUUCGAGCUCCAAUUUCUCAUCAGGGGUGAAAAGCUUUGACACAGUAAAAUUCUCAAGUCCCUCUUUCAAAUUGUAAUCAUUCAAUUUCAGUUUGUAAUCAUUCAAUUUCAGUUUGUAAUCAUUCAAUUUCAGUUUGUAAACAAAAUCUUUUCCACAAAGGCUUUGAAUUUCUGCAGGGACAUCCUUACUAUAUAAAGGUAGUCUAUUAAACAACUUGUGGGCUGAUGUAUCAAGUAACUUCUCAGCUACAUGAUUGAAUAAGACAAAAGUUGUCUCUGCCGUUUUAUCCAUGACUUUUAUAUGUAUUUUGUACCUACAUUAGAAUAAUGAAUUAGAAUGAAAAACUAACAACAUAAUGAGCAAUUUUUUUUAAAAAUAAUAUUAUUUUUCUUACAUCACAAGAGGAUAGUCACAUUCCUUUUUGCAAGUGCCACACAUAUAAAUACCAUUUGUAGGUAUGACCUUUUUUAUGCAUGUUUUGCACGAAACAUAGUACCAUCCAAAGGAGUUGUCUAUUUCACUAAUCUUGCCCCGCACAGUAACAAUAUAUUCCUACAAUUAAACAAUAAACAUUUAAAAAAAUAAUAAGGACAUUCCAAUAUUUAGGAACAAAUAACACAAAUGGAUGAGCAGGAAAAAAAUAGAAAAAUCACCUUCACUUGAGAACUCCAAUCAGCCUCCAAUAGUUCUUUAAUGCUCAUCCUGUUAAGGAACAUCUCUUCCUCAAAAGUAAUCUUAUUCACAUUCGAACUUUCAAUAACUUGCACAACGUUGGAGACGGUGGAAAAUCUUUCAAUUAAUGAUGCUACAUAAUCUAUUUGAAGAUUUAUAUAGAUUUUUCUUGCACUUGUGGUAGAGAAAUUAACCUCACCUGUUUAGAGCAAAUGUAACGUAAAACGAAACUUGAACAAAAUCUAAAUUUGUGUAUAAUAUUAAAAUAGCCACAUUGCAUUUGAAAAUGUUAAUUAGUGGGAUCUAAAUAAAAUAAUCACCUUGGAAUUUUUUAAUGGUUGUAGAAGUUACUAUCACAAUACAAGGACCCUCGUCUUUCUUGUACAAAUUUGAAUCAAACAUCUCCCCUAACUUUCCCCAUAAAGUAAUCUUCAUUGUUACUGAACUAUCCAUAAAAAUUAACAAAAAUUAAUAAUGUAAAGAGAACCAAUAACUAAAAAAUAACAUAAAUAACUAAAAAAAUAUAAAGUCAUAGUUUUCUUGAUUAUAUUCAACUUACUAAUCCAUUAGAAUUUUUAUAUCUCUUUUUUUCCAACCAGCUCCAACGAUCUCAAUAUCACCCACACCACAUAAACUUCCAAUAACAUCUGUAAUAUUAUGGAAAAAUAACAUAAACAUGUUAAAACAUAAGGAUUAAUAAUUUCUAAUAUACACUUAAAGAUUAACAAACAUUAAUAAUUAAAAAAAUACCUGAGAGGAUUGUGUUAUCAUUCACACGUAAAUCAAUCAAAUUCGAAGAUACGAAUUGAAAUCCAUUAAUCGGAAUCUUGACAGUUCCUUCUUCUAACCUCUUAAGAGAAGUUAUACCAAGAAAAUAAUCUUAUACUGAUUUGAAAGUGGUCUGUACUCGCCUGUAGUUGAAACAACUUUCAAAUUCUUGACAUUGUACAAAGAACCCUCACUCAACAUGUGCUUAAACCUUGUCACUAAGGUUUUCCUGAUUGUUGCAUGCAUUAGAUUUUCCUACGAAAAAAAAAAAACACAUACUACAUUCAGUGUGAAACAAUUGGGAAAAAAAAUUAGAGAAAACAAUGGGAGAAUAAAUUUUUUAUACAACCUUUUCAUCAAUAAAAAUCAUAUCAACACUAAUCAAUUCUCCAUUUUUUUUAGUAUUAGUAGACUCCCACAUCCUACAAAGCCUAACCCUUAUCAUCCAACUAUCUUUAUCAUUGUUCAACUCAUGAAGAAAAGAGUACUCCAUGAAGCACACAAUAUCAAAAAUUCAAAUAAAUCAAACAAUAAAAAUAUAAGUAUUUUUCUAAAGAGGGCGUUGAUUAAAUAAAUAAAAAAACCCUAAACAUAACAAAUCUUAAAUAUUUAGUGUUUAGAGAGCUUGAAGAAGCCAAAAGGCACUAAACAAAAGGUUGCAUAAUUAAAUAUGAGAUAAUGUCAUUAAAAUUAGGAUCUAGUGGCAUUGUUGAGGGAAGAUGAAAGAACCUCUCUUCCUAUGUUAAUUUAUUGAUUAUUUUAAGCCACUAAAGUUUAAUUGCUAGCAUAAUAAAAUUUGAAGGAGCCAAAAGACACUCAACAAAAGGUUCCAUAAUUAAAUAUAUGAUUAUGACAUUGAAAUUAGGCUCUAGUGGCAUUAUUGAGGGAAGAUGAAAGAACCUCUCUUCCUAUAUUAAUAAAUUCAUGUAUUUUAAGCCACUAAAGUUUAAUUGCUAGCAUAAUAAAAUAAAUGAAUGCUUCAAAAUACUUAUAAUUAAUUAUUAUUAAUGGUUACAUAUUGUUGGAUUUAAAUAGAAAGAGGAAGAAACAUGUACAAAGAAUAUCCACUAAUAUUUUAGAUAUUUUAGAUAAUAGAAAAUAUAAAACGAUGAGGUUGAGAGAAUGUGAAAGAACCUCUCUUCCUAUGUUAAUUAGUUGAUGUAUUUUAAGGCACUAAAGUUUAAUUGCUAGCAUAAUAAAAUUUAAAGAAGCCAAAAGGCACUCAACAAAAGGUUGCAUAAUUAAAUAUGAGAUUAUGGCAUUAAAAUUAGGCCCUAGUGGCAUUGUUGAGGGAAGAUGAAAGAACCUCUCUUCCUAUAUUAAUAAAUUCAUGUAUUUUAAGCCACUAAAGUUUAAUUGCUAGCAUAAUAAAAUAAAUGAAUGCUUCAAAAUACUUAUAAUUAAUUAUUAUUAAUGGUUACAUAUUGUUGGAUUUAAAUAAAAAGAGGAAGAAACAUGUACAAAGAAUAUCCACUAAUAUUUUAGAUAUUUUAGAUAAUAGAAAAUAUAAAACGAUGAGGUUGAGAGAAUGUGAAAGAACCUCUCUUCCUAUGUUAAUUAGUUGAUGUAUUUUAAGGCACUAAAGUUUAAUUGCUAGCAUAAUAAAAUUUAAAGAAGCCAAAAGGCACUCAACAAAAGGUUGCAUAAUUAAAUAUGAGAUUAUGGCAUUAAAAUUAGGCCCUAGUGGCAUUGUUGAGGGAAGAUGAAAGAACCUCUCUUCCUAUGUUAAUAAAUUCAUGUAUUUUAAGCCACUAAAGUUUAAUUGCUAGCAUAAUAAAACAAAUGAAUGUUUCAAAAGACUUAUAAUUAAUUAUUAUUAAUGGUUACAUAUUGUUGGAUUUAAAUAGAAAGAGGAAGAAAUAUGUACAAAGAAUAUUCAUCAAUAUUUUAGAUAUUUUAGAUAAUAGAGAAUAUAAAAAGAUGAGGUUGAGGGAAGAUGAAAUAACCUCUCUUCCUAUGUUAAUUAGGUGAUGUAUUUUAAGGCACUAAAGUUUAAUUGAUAGCAUAAUAAAUUUUGAAGAAGCCAAAAGACACUCAACAAAAUGUUGCAUAAUUAAAUAUGAGAUUAUGGCAUUAAAAUUAGGCUUUAGUGGCAUUGUUGAGGAAAAAUGAAAGAACCUCUCUUCCUAUGUUAAUUAAUUCAUGUAUUUUAUGCCACUAAAGUUUAAUUGCUAGCAUAAUAAAAGAAAUAAAUGUUUCAAAAGACUUAUAAUUAAUUAUUAUUAUUAAUUACAUAUUGUUAAAUUUAAAUAGAAAGAGAAAAAAAGUACAAAGAAUAUCCACAAUAUUUUAGAUAUUUUAGAUAAUAGAAAAUAUAAAAAGAUGAGGAAUGAUAUAUAUUAAUAAAGUUACUAUCUAUUAAAUGAGUUAAAUACAAUCAAAUUAAUUAUGAGAAGAUGAAAAGCCAAAUUUAAAAAAAAAAUAUCUAUUUAUUAGAUAAUAGAGAAUAUACAAAGAAGCAAAAUGGUGAUGCCACAUCAUCUCCUCAAGUCCUAGCUUUAUAUAGAUACUAGGAAAUAGAACCGCACUUUGUGCGGCUUUAAAAAAAGAAUUUAGUAUUAUUUUUUUUAUUACUUUACACUUGAUAAAACUGAUAAAAAAAUAUGAAUUGAUUUUCUUUUAAAGAUGACGCAGCCUUAUAAAACUAAUGUUAUUUAUGAAAGUUAAUUAUUUUUUUGUUAACUUUAAAAAUAUAUAUUAAUGUGUAUAGUUAAAUGUAAACAACCUUUUCAUCAAUAAAAAUUAUGUUCACACUAAUCAACUCUCAAUUCUUCUUGGUAUUAACAGACUCCUACAUUUUACAAAGUCUAACCCUUAUUAUCCAACUAUCUUUAUCAUUGUUUAACUCAUGAAGAAAAGAAUACUCUAUGAAGCACACAAUACAAAAAAAUUAAAUAAGUCAAAAAAUAAAAACACAAGAACAUUUCUAAAGAGGAUGUUGGUUAAAUUAAAAAAAAAUCCAAACAUAACAAAUCUUAAAUACUUAAUAUUUAUAUAGUUUGAAGAAGCCAAAAGACACUAAAUAAAGGUUGCAUAAUUAAAUAUGAAAUUAUGACAUUGAAAUUAGGUCCUAGUGGUAUUGGUGAGGGAAGAUGAAAGAACCUUCCUUCCUAUAUUAAUUAGUUGAUGUAUUUUAAACCACUAAAGUUUAGUUGUUGGCUUAAUAAAAUAAAUGAAUGUUUCAAAACUAUAAUUAAUUUAUUAUUAAUGGUUACAUAUUGUUGAAUUUAAAUAGAAAGAAGAAGAGACAUGUAAUCUUUUAUAAUCUACUAAUUAAUUUCUAUUUUUAAUAUUUUGUAAUAUAAUUAUUUUUUAAUCUCAACCAAUAUAUUAGAUUAUAGAGAAUAUAAAAAGAUGAGAAAUAAUAAUGGCACAAAUCUUAACUACUUAAUAUUUAUAGAGUUUGAAGAAACCAAAAGGCACUAAACAAAAUGUUACAUAUUAAAUAUGAGAUUAUAGCAUUAAAAUUAGACCCUAAUGGUAUUAUUGAGGGAAGAUGAAAGAACAUUCCUUCCUAUAUUAAUUAAUUGAUAUAUUUAAGCCACUAAAGUUUAAUUAUUGGCAUAAUAAAAUAAAUUAAUGUUUGAAAAUUUAUAAUUAAUUAUUAUUAAUGGUUACAUAUUAUUGAAUUUAAAUAGAAAGAGGAAGAGACAUAAUCUUUUAUAAUCUAAUAAUUAUUUUUUUAUUUUUAAUAUUUUGUAAUGUAAUUAUUUUUUUUAUAUCAACUAAUUUAUUAGAUAAUAGAGAAUACAAGAAGAUGAGAAAUAGUGAUGCCACAUCACCUCCUCUAGUCCCAACUUUAUAUAUAUAUAUAUCAACUAUAUAUAUAUAUAUAGAUAUAGAUUUUUAAUAUUUUGUAAUGUAAUUAGUUUUUAAUCUCAACCAAUAUAUUAGAUAAUAGAGAAUAUAAAAAGAUAAGAAAUAAUGAUGCCACAAAUCUUAAAUAUUUAAUGUUUAUGGAGUUUGAAGAAGCCAAAAUACACUAAACAAAAGAUUGAAUAAUUAAAUAUGGGAUUAUGACAUUAAAAUUAGGCUCUAAUAGCAUUGUUGAGGGAAGAUGAAGGAACAUUCCUUCAUAUAUUAAUAUUAAUUAAUUGAUGUAUUUUAAGCCACUAAAGUUUAAUUGUUGGCAUAAUAAAAUAAAUUAAUGUUUGAAGACUUAUAAUUAAUUAUUAUUAAUGGUUACAUAUUGUUGAAUUUAAAUAGAAAGAGGAAAAGACAUGUAAUCAUUUAUAAUCUAAUAAUUAUUUUCUAUUUUAAUAUUUUGUAAUGUAAUUAUUUUUUUAAUUUCAACCAAUUUAUUAGAUAAUAGAGAAUAUGAGAUGAAGAGAAAUGGUGAUGCCACAUCACCUCCUCAAGUCCUACCUUUAUAUAUAUACUAGAAAAUAGAACCGCGUUUCACGCGGCUUUGAAAAAGAAUUUAGCAUUAUCCUUUUUUCUUACUUUACACUUGAUAAAACUGAUAAAAAAUAUGAAUUGAUUUUUUUUUUUAAGAUGAGGCAGUCUUAUAAAAAAAUAAAAAAAGUUAUUAACCAGUAAUACAAAUAAAGAAGCAACGCAAGAUAAAGAAUAAAAUGAGAGAAUAUUGUAUAAUGAUUUUAUUCAUUACAAUUGUGUGUGUACAAAACAAAAAGAUGAGCUCUCCUUUGAUAGUUACAUAAUCACUCCAUGAAAUUAAUGAAAAAUUAUGGAUCAUAAUUCCUUGUGAGAUAGUGGGAGUUAUAGGGAAGCUAAAGGUUGCUAAUGAGAGAUAGUGGGGAGACUAAGAGAUAUAUGUUAUGAACAUCUACAUUUAUUUUAAUAAAUUCAUAACACUCCUCCUUGAAUGUUUAUUACAAAGAAUAUGUCUCAUUAAAAUCUUUACAUAAUUGUUAUUGUGUAAUAACAAUCAAAUUAAUUAUGAGAAGAUGAAAAAUCAAAUAUAAAAGAAAAUUUCUCUAUUUAUUAGAUAAUAGAGAAUAUACAAAGAUGAGAAAUGAUGAUACCACAUCACCUUCUCAAGUCCCAGCUUUAUAUAUAUAUAUAGAUAUAUAGAUAGAUAGAUAGAUAGAUUAAUUCAUGUAUUUUAUGCCACUAAAGUUUAAUUGCUAGCAUAAUAAAAUAAAUAAAUGUUUCAAAAGACUUAUAAUUAAUUAUUAUUAAUGAUUACAUAUUGUUGAAUUUAAAUAGAAAGAGAAAAAAAAGUACAAAGAAUAUCCACCAAUAGUUUAGAUAUUUUAUAUAAUAAAAAAUAUAAAAAGAUGAGGAAUGAUAUAUAUUAAUAAAGUUACUAUUUAUUAAAUGAGUUAAAUACAAUCAAAUUAAUUAUGAGAAGAUGAAAAGGCAAAUCUAAAAAACAAAAAUCUCUAUUUAUUAGAUAAUAGAGAAUAUAUAAAGAAGCAAAAUGGUGAUGCCACAUCACCUCCUCAAGUCCUAGCUUUAUAUAUAUAUAUAGAUAUAGAUAUAGAUAUAGAUAUUUUGUCCUAAUUAACUUAAAGAUUUUGAAUCUAAUAUUUUAUAAUAAAUAAAAAUAUAUUCCUAAAAUAAAUAUAAUAUCAAUAUUUAAAAUAUGUUUUAAUAUUUUACAAUCUAUCAUACACAUUUUAUUAUAGUAAAGUAGAUUUUAUAAUAAAUAUAUAAAAAAUUUAGAAUAUGUAGAAUAUUAUAUAAAAUAAUUUUAAUAUAAUGUGUGAGAUAUAUUUUAUUAAUUUAAAAUGUCAUUUUACCUAAAAAAUAUGAUAAAUUAAUAAUUACAUAUUUGAAGUUACUUCAAAUAUUAAAAAAAAUUAAUAUUAUUAAUCUUUUAGAUAGAUUAAAUUAUUUUUUAUAAGAGAGAUUAAAUUAUUUUAAAAUGCCUUAAUUGUUUUUACUUUUAACGUUACCGGCCUUUCUUUUAUUUUAUUGCAAAUUAAUACUAAUAAGAAAAAGCUAGAUCAUAUUCCACAAAAGCAAAUGUGACAAACACAACCAGCUGGAAUCUUUUAAUUACUAUUCAAUAAUUCGAGACGAUUAGGGUCUUUUAUUAAACUACAAUCCUCAAUAAUUGUUUUAAAUUGGUGGCACCUACAAUCCUCAAUAAUUGUACCGAUAUUCACAAGUUCGUGGCCCCUACAAUUCUGUUCGCAAGUGCUCAUUCACAGUCUUCCAGGCCCCUACAAUUCUGUUCCGAUAAUUUAACUGUGCAAGUGCUUAAUAAUUGUUUUGUUUUUUUCUGCAUUCCCUUUCAUGCUCUUAAUAAUUGAAGAGCAUACUUUUCAAAUGUGGAGCCGCAGCUAAUGUCGUUAAUUUAAUUUGGGAUUAAAUUAGGGGACCAUUAUAUUGCAGUGUGCACUAAUUUUUGUGUUUAUCUAAACUCCUUAAAUUUAAGACAUAUUACGGCAUAAAUAAGAAUAUAACAAUAACAAAAGAGUUAGAAAGUGUAGAGAAGAUCUUGCAGAAAUAUAAAUAAUAUCAAUUUUAAAAUAAUUUUUAAUAUUUUAUGAUCCAUUAAAUAUAUUUUAUUAUAUUAAAAUAAAUUUUAUAAUAAAUAAAAACAUCCUAUUAAAAUGAAUAUAUAGAAAAUUUAGAGUAUUUUAAGUAUUAUAUAAAAUAAAUUUAAUAAAAUAUGUGAGAUAUUCAUAGUUUAUUAAUUUAAAAUACCAUUUUAAAAUUAAAGAUUUAUUUAUGAUAAAUUAAUAAUUAUAUUUUUGAAAUUACUUCAAAUAUUAAAAAAUUAAUAUUACUAAUCUAUUAGAUAGAUUAAAUUAUAUAUAUUAUUUUCUAUUUAUUAAAAAAUUAAAAUUAUUUUUAAUUACUAUUCAAAAAAUAUAAUGAUAAAAAAAAUCUUAACAUCUUUAUUAAAAAUUUAAAAAUUUACGUGAUCAAUUCUCUAAAUAUUUAGGGUAUAUGUGAACCACGGUGGAGAAGCUUUAUUUAAUAUUAUUGAUUUAAAUAAUAUGUCAAUUAAAAAUGUGCGGAGAAGAAAUUUCGGUGGAUAUUUUAGUCUUUUCAGCAAUUAUCAUGAUCAGAUCUAGGGAUGGCAAUGGAGAGGGGAGGGGAGGGGACCGAUCUCCCCGUACCCAUCCCCGAUAUUUUGCGUAUGUCCCCGUCCCCUCCCCGUCCCCAUCAGAAUUACUUGAGAGAAUCACCAUCCCCUCCCCGAAUAAUAACAGGGGAUCCCCGAUGGUCCCCGAUCCCCGAAUAACUAAUACAUUUUUUUUCAAUUUUGAGUUAAUCAUAUUAAAAUAAAAAAUUCAAAUAAAAAUAAAGUUCGAAAUAUAUCUUACAUUAAUAUCUAUUACAAAAGUCACAUACAUUAAAUUAGUAAGUAACGCAACAUGCAAGGAAUACAAACUUCUUUUACAAACUAUCAUGAACAAAUUAAUAGUUUAAUACAAAAUUGUUACAAAUAAAAUCGAAUUUAGAUUCAAAAUUAACUUUUUCAAUGGUGGCGUGGGCACUUUAUAAAUGUGGAUUAUUCCCUUUACAACACAAUAGUUAAAUCGGAGCAAAUCAAAAGUAAAUAUUAGAUUGGAUUAGAUUAGAUUAGAUUAGAUUAGAUUAGAUAUUAAAAUUGUGAUUCGCUGUGGACAAUUAUAACAUCUAAAAAUAAAUAAAAAAUAGAUUUAAGUUUAAAAUAUUUAAAGAAUAUUAAAAUUAAAAAAAAAUGUUUGGCUAAUAGAAUCUACUUGGUCUUUUUAAUGUCGUAAAUAAAAAUUUAAGACUUUAAUUAGUUAAUUAGGCCUAAAAAUUUAAUAAUAUAAAUAUUUUGAUAUUUUUUAUUUUUACCAAUAUUUAUAAGUGGAUUCUUUUACUAAACUAUAAAUUAAAAGUGGAUUCUUUUGAAUACAAGUGGGACAGACGAUUAGGCUCUUUUUAUUAAACGCAAGUAAAAAGUAGUCGAAUAGUCUUUUUCAAAUUAUUGUUUUAUUAUUUUUCCUUCAAAAGUUAGCGUGGCUCAUGUUUGCAGGUGCGAAUGUGCGAUGCUCUUUUUUUAAAGGCAAUUACAGUGGGUCCCGAAUCAUUACUAAAAUUUCUCUUCCUCAGCCCACCGCAGCUUCAGUUAAUCAAACUCAAUCAAUUUUCUUUCUUAACAAAAUUCUAAAGAUGUGUAGCAUUUUUCAGAUCACAUGCGAUGGUGCUUUUUUCAAUCGUUGCUUGGAUUGCUUUCUUGGAAAAGCAGCAUACAUACGUAACCUCCAAGAUAAUCUUGAUGCCUUGGAGACUGAAUUGGGAAAUCUGAUCGCUAGAAAGAACGAUGUGAUGAGGAGGGUUGUCGAUGCUGAACGGCAACAAAUGAGAAGGCUGGACGGAGUGCAAGUGUGGGUUUCGAGGGUGGAUUCUGUUAAAACUGAAGCCGAUGAACUUAUCACAGACGGCUCUCGAGAAAUUGAAAAAUUAUGUGUUGGAGGCUACUGUUCCAAGAACUGCAGGUCAAGCUACAAAUUCGGGAAAAAAGUGGCUAAAAAGCUACGGGAUGCGCGGACUUUAAUCAGUGAAGGAGUUUUUGAGGUGGUGGCUGACAGAGCUCCAGAGUCUGUAGCAGAUGAAAGACCUACUGAGCGAACAGUAGUAGGCUUGCAAUCACAACUUGAACAAGUCUGGAGAUGUCUUGUAGAAGAAUCAGCGGGAAUCAUUGGCCUAUAUGGUAUGGGCGGUGUUGGUAAAACUACACUACUGACCCAUAUCAACAACAAAUUUCUCGAGAGUCCAACCAACUUUGAUUGUGUGAUUUGGGUUGUAGUUUCAAAAGACCUGCGACUCGAAAAAAUUCAAGAAGAUAUUGGGAAAAAGAUAGGUUUGGUUGGUGAUUCAUGGAAGAGUAAAAGUGUAGAGGAGAAAGCUGUCGACAUCUUCCGGAGUUUAAGAGAGAAGAGAUUUGUAUUGUUGUUAGAUGAUAUAUGGGAGCGGGUUGAUUUAACAAACGUGGGCGUUCCACUUCCCGGACCAAAAAAUACUACCUCAAAAGUCGUAUUCACAACCCGUUUCAUCGAUGUUUGUGGUAGCAUGGAAGUUGACAGGAAGUUUCAAGUAGCAUGCUUAUCAGAAAAGGAUGCUUGGGAACUGUUUCGAGAAAAAGUUGGGGAAGAAACUCUUGAGAGUCAUCAUGAUAUCGAUGAGCUAGCCCAAAUUGUGGUCAAAGAGUGUGGUGGUUUGCCACUCGCACUUAUUACUAUUGGUCGAGCUAUGGCCUACAGAAAGAAAGCGGAGCAGUGGAGACGUGCAAUUGAAGAGUUAAGGAGAUCAGCUUCAGAGUUUGCAGGUUUGGGAAAAGAGGUGUAUCCUCUUUUAAAAUUCAGCUACGAUAGUUUGCAGAAUGAUAGUUUGCAGAAUGAUACGGUUAGAUCUUGUUUCUUGUACUGUUGUUUAUAUCCUGAAGAUUAUGUCAUUCCUAAAUGGGACUUGAUUGAUUGUUGGAUUGGUGAGGGAUUUUUUGGGGAAUCUGACAGGUCUGGUGCAGAAAACCAAGGAUAUGACAUUUUGGACACUCUUGUUCGUGCAUGUUUAUUAGAAGAGGUGGAAGAUGAUAAAGUAAAAAUGCAUGACGUUAUUCGUGAUAUGGCUAUAUGGAUAACUUGUGAAAUUGAGAAGGAGAAUAGAAAAUUUUUGGUUUGUGCAGGUGCUGGAUUAAAAGAGGCACCGGGUGUUAAAGGAUGGGAAAAUGUGAGAAGAUUGUCAUUGAUGCAAAACCAAAUUGAAACUCUGUCAGAGGUUCCCACAUGCCCUCAUCUCCUCACUUUAUUUCUUGACUUUAAUUAUAAUUUGAGGAUGAUCGCGGAUGGCUUCUUCCAACUUAUGCCUUCUCUCAAAGUUUUGAAGAUGUCACUCUGCCGGAAUUUAACUUUGAAAUUACCUUUGGGGAUGUCAAAGUUAGGUUCACUGGAACUUCUCGAUAUUUCAUAUACCUACAUACAAGAGUUACCACAAGAGUUAAAGUUGUUGGUAAAUCUGAAAUGUUUGAAUUUGAGGUGUACACACAGGUUAAAUAAAAUUCCACGGCAACUAAUAUCAAAUUAUUCAAGGUUACGUGUGUUGAGAAUGUUCGCUAGUGGCUGGUUCAAUUUUCAUGAAGCAUCAGAAGAAAGCGUUUUAUUUGGUGGGGGUAAAGUUUUGAUACAGGAAUUGCUCGGUUUGAAAUAUUUAGAGGUAUUGGAGUUGACCUUGGGAAGUUAUCAUGCUCUCCAAAUUCUUUUGAGCUCAAAUAAGUUAAAAAGUUGUAUUCGAUCUCUUUACCUCCAUUUGACCGGAGAUACAGCGUCAAUUAUUGAUGCUACGGCUUUCGCAGAUCUAAACCACCUCAAUGAAUUAUGGAUUGAUAAUGGUAUUGAGUUGGAAGAAUUGAAGAUUGAUUAUACGGAGAUAGUACGAAAAAGGCGGGAACCUUUUGUUUUCCGCAGCCUUCACCGUGUUACCAUAUAUAGUUGCAGUAAAUUGAAAGAUGUGACAUUCCUCGUUUUCGCUCCAAACCUCAAGUCUCUUACGCUAUUCAAUUGCGGUGCUAUGGAAGAAAUAAUCAGCGUCGGAAAAAUUGCUGAGACUCCUGAGAUGAUGGGACAUAUAAGCCCUUUUGAAAAUCUCCAAAGGCUUAAUUUAAAAGAUUUGCCAAAUUUGAAGAGCAUCUACUGGAAGCCAUUGCCUUUUACUCGUCUGAAAGAAAUGGCGGUACUUGGGUGCGAUCAGCUUGAAAAGCUUCCGGUCGAUUCCAACAGUGCAAAAGAGCGUAAAUUUGUAAUUCGUGGAGAAGAAGACUGGUGGAACCGACUUCAAUGGGAGGAUGAAGCCACUCAAAUUGCUUUUCGUUCCUGUUUCCAACCUUAUUCCUGAGCGGUGGUCGCAAAAUUUGAUUUCUGGUGAGUGCGUUUUUCUUUGAACUCUUGUACAUAUUCUUGUCGUUUGCUUCACGCAAAACACUAGGUCUUUUCUUCAGUCCGUUACCUACACGCAAAACACUGGUUCUUUUCUCUGUUUUUAUUUCAGUUAGUUUCUCUCUCUCUCUCUCUCUCUGUGUCUUCUGUAAAUCACAAUUAAAUGUUGAAUUAAUGGAAUUAAUGCUUCAUAAAUUUGCCGGCACUGCCGUUACUUUAUUUUAGGGGGGUCGAAUUGGUGCUCUGGUUUUUUACUUUUUGCUGUCAAAUUUUGGCCUUUUUUUUUUUUUUAACAAGUUGAUACUUUAUUUAUAUCUUCUUAGCGAUUUAAUUUCCUGUCAAAAGAGGAACGAGAAGAACAUAUGACUUAAACCAAUGCUCGCAUAAACUUGCUGUAAAAAGAUGUAAUCUCACUGAAAUGCACACGUCUAGAAUGAAUAGAAUUAAAACAGGGAAAAUAUUAAGUAUAUUAGCCCUCUUUACCGAAAAUCAAAUGACAAUAAAUUUUUGGAAGUUUUGAUUUUCUACGGUCAAUUCGACCUUUUGCAAUUUCUUCUGUUCUAACAAAAACCAAAUUCUUUGUUCAAGUAUUUUCGUUUGGGUAUCAAGGAUCUCUAAUCAAUAGCUGGAAGCAAUUCAGAGGGCGCCGAGACCCGAUCCGACCUAGGCCCAAGUUUGGUCUUAAAGCCUGGGCUUGAGCCUGACAAUUAAAUUAAAACAUUAAUUGAUUUAUUGAUUGAAUUGUCGUGCAAUUGAUUUAUGGGGGAUGAAAAUUCAACAUACUUGAAAAUACACUAAUCUUAGCAUCAUCGGUUAAUAACUUUUAGAUUUAUGGGUAAUCAAUAGUUAAGAUCAGUUGUCAUUUAUUUUUUGAAAUGUCCAUAUUCAGUGUACAUUUGAAAAAGACCCAAUAAUUUCUCAUAAAUUUCAAUUAAAAAUAUUCAAUUUGUUAUUUCAGUUCUUUUAUUUUUUAUUUUUUCCAACAUGAAAGCGACUUAAUGUUACUAAAUUGAAGCCGCUGCCCCGCCUGUGGUUCCAAACUUUUAUCUUCCUCCUCCUUUAAAUUAAUGCGAGCAGCCUCCGUCCUUGACUAGUUGACUUCUUUUCUUCUUUUUUAAUUAAUUAAUUAAUUAAUUCAGCCGCCCACCUUUCUUUUCCCAAUGUCUUCUACUUUCGAUUUCCUUUUAUUUUCUCUUUAUUUUUAAAAUAUGCUUAUAGUAAUAAUAAAAAAUAAAAAUAAAAAUAAAAAUAAAAAUGAACAUAUUAAAAUAUAAUUUAUCAGAAAACCAAGAUAAAGAAAUAUUAUAAGCACAUCAAUCAAAAAGUGAAAAAAAAAACAAUUUUAAUUUACAUUAAAUAUAAACUUUCAGUGUUAAUCAACUUUUCUAAAUAACUGAAAUUAUUUAAAAUAAAAAUAAAUUAUUCUUCCCAAAAAAACAAAAAUUACACCCACUCUUGGCUGUAUGUCAAGAUUCGCUUUAAGGACUGAAGUUGGUAACUUUUGCAAGCAGUCUUAAAUUGAAUGGCAGCAACCCACGCUUUCAGAUUUAUGGUUAAUCAAUAGCUGAGAGUUGUUAUCGCUAAUGCCGUGUAUUUUUUUUAAUGUUUUUUCUCUCUCCUACAGCAUCUUCUAGGAAAGUGCAUCCGUUGCUAAAAUUUAGUAUUGUAAAUAAUAAACCAAGAAUAAAUAUUAAAUUUAAGAAACUGUAUUGCAUUUAAUAUUUAAGGGAGAAAAAUAAUUGUAGUGUCUUUAUUAAUCAGUAAAAAGAAAAGAUUAGAAUCAUAAUAAAUUGUAUUGUUAUUGAUGUAUUUAUUUUAUUUUAUACUCAAAAUAAAUUAUUUUAAAUUAUUAAAAUAUUAUUAUUGUUAUUCUAAUAAUAAUUAUUAUUUAAUAUUUAUUAAAAUAUUUGUCAUAUUACUAAAAAAGCAAUAAUAAUAAUGAUAAUAUUGGAAUUGUUGUUUUUUAUCUUAUUAUUAAUCAAAACACUUCUGGUUAGCCCAUUCAUACGUGAAGACCAAAACCAAAUCUCUUCUUCUCCUUCUUUUCUUAAAAUACGGGAUGUGUGUGCUCGGACUGCUCUCUCAUUCUUAAAACAAGACUUUUUGAAUUAUCCAAUUAAGUUAAAUUCUGUGGCAUCUGGUAUUUUCAUUUCUUGUUUAUUUCGCAAGUUAUUAUUGCCUAAUGCUAUGUCAACUCUAACAUUAGCAUAUAUAUUUUUUUUUUGGUCGUCUUUUAACACCAAACAUUAGUGUAGGUUAAGUAACAUAAUCAGUACUGGGACAAUUUGAAAUCCCUUUGUGUUUUAUUCACAGUAUCUAUGAGGGUUUAUCCUUUUGCUAGAACAAACUCUAGCAAAUUGUCAAAUGUACUUAUCCUUUCGCUUGAUGACUCAUUUUAAAAUUGUCUUUCAAUGUACACACACAGAGAUAACCACCGACAUCAAGCACCAAGUUUGGAAUUUAAUUGAUAAGCAUACAUUUGAUAAAUUAAUGAAAAGUUUGGGAGAAUAGUUUUGAUCACCCUCGAUUAGGAUGGUAUCACGAAAAAGAUCAAAAAGAAAACAUCGUCUCUUCUUCAACAAAAAUAAAUAUUUUCCGUUAGAAUUUAAAUAAAAUAAUUAUUUUUUUAUUUUUUGAAUUAAAAUUUAAUUAAAUACACAAAUAAAUUAUAUAUUUUUAAAAAAAAAUUUACACCCAGUCACAAGGCUGGCUAUUAAACUUAAAGGGAAGCUUCGGAGACUAAAGUUGGUAACAUCUCCAAGUGGUCUUAAGUUGACCGGAACUACCCCGACUUUAUGUUUGGUAGCCUAGACCUGAUCGGACCUAGGCCCAAGUUUGGUCUUAAAGUCCACAAUUAAAUUGAUUUGUUAAUUUAAUUGUUGUGUAAUUGAUUUAUGGGGAAUGAAUCAGCAUCCCUAAAAUUACACUAAUCUUGACAUAAUGACAUCAUCGGUUAAAAACGUUCAGAUUUAUGGCUAAUCAAUGGUUUGAGAUUUGUUAUCAUUAAUGCUAAAUAUUUUUUAACAUUUUUUCUAUCUCUCUCUCCUGAAGGAAUUUUCUAAGAAAAUGCAUCCACAACACAAAUUUUAAGGAUCACACUAUGUUACGUUAAACGUAACGUACACACACUCACAGCAACAGUAACAGGUCACGUCUUGUUACUGUUGCUGUGAGUGUGUGUAUAUUACGUUUAACAUAACAUAGCAUAGGCCAAAUUUUAAAUUGUAAACAAUAAACAAAAUAUAAACGUUAAAUUUAAGGAACUGCGUUGCAUUUCAGCUGAAGCUAACUUUAAUAUUUUACGAAAAAAAAUAAUUAAAUCUUUAAUGUGAUUUAUUUAUUAAUAUAUAUGACUAAUUUUUUAAAAUAAGAUGCAGGAUGAAACUUAAAAAUAUAAAUUAUAGAAUUAAUUUCUCUCUUCAAUAAAUCUAAAGUUUAUUUUUUUUAUUACAUGCUUCUAUUUUAUUUUUAUUCCAUGUUAAUGAUUGGAGAUUUAAAUCCAUUUCGGAUUUAUAAAUAUGUUUAGAUAUCUAAAUCCACGUGUGAUUCCAAACUAUAACCUUUUUUUUUUUCUAAUUAAUGCAAACAGCCGCCUCUUUGGACUGCUUUUCUUCUUUGAUUAUUAAUUAAUUAAUUCAGCUGCCCACCUUUCUUUUCCUAAUGUUUUCUACUCUCAAAUUUUUUUAAGGACAAGGCUACGUUGCAGACGCUGUACCUAACAGCUGCACCUUAGCCAGCUUCACAAAGGGUGCAUUUGGUAAGCAAUUUUUCUUUCCUGUGCAUAUGUGUCCUUCCACCAUUGGGUGUACGUAACAGAUAAUGUACCGUAACAAGCUCCUAUUUUUAAAUAUGUUUAUAAUGAUAAAAUAUAAAAAUUAAGAUUAAAAUGUAAUGUAAUAUAAAAUUAAAGGUGGAAGAGUAUUAAAAUAAUGUAUAAGAUAUGAAUAAACAAGUCAAUAAGAAAACAAACAAACGGCAAGAGAAAAGGAAUGGUCAUGCAGAUUUUAAGGUGGCAGUGACAAUGAGAUCUCAUUUUAACCGAUAAAGUCUUUUGAAUUUGUCAACUCAAAAAAAUAGAUUCAAAUGUUUUGUAAUAAAUGAAAAUAUAAUAUUAAAAUAAAUGUGAUAAUAUAUAUUUUAAAUAAUUUCAAUACAAAAAACAUUUGAAUGUUUUAUAAUUUAUUAGACAUAUUUUAUUAUAUUAAUAUAAAUUUUCUAAGAAAUAUGGACAUAAUAUUAAAAUAAAUUUAUGAAAAAUUUAAAUUAUUUUGAAUGUAAAAACAUUUGAAUGUUUUAUAAUUUAUUAGACAUAUUUUAUUAUAUUAAUAUAAAUUUUUCUAAAAAAUAUGGACAUAAUAUUAAAAUAAAUUUAUGAAAAAUUUAAGUUAUUUUGAAUGUAAAAACAUUUUAAUGUUUUAUAAUUUAUUAGAAAUAUUUUAUUAUAUUAAUAUAAAUUUUCUAAGAAAUAUGGACAUAAUAUUAAAAUAAAUUUAUGAAAAAUUAAAUUAUUUUGAAUGUAAAAUAAUUUUAAUAUUAUUAAUCCAUUAAGUAUUAAUUAUAAAAAUUAUUUAACCCAAAGAUUAUUUAUAUCCUUACAAUAAAUAUAAAUAUAUUAUUUGCAUUUAAAAAUUUAAAAAUAUUUAAAUAAUAUUAAUCUACAAUUAUAUUUUCAUUUAUUAUAAAUAUUUAAAGUCAAAUCUUUUGCACUUGUAUUUUAUUACAAUUAUGGCGCACAAAGAAAGAGCCAUAUAUGCUUUAUAGCGUUAGAAAUUGGUUUCUUUUAAAGCUGGAAACAGAGAGGAUGAUUAUUAUAAGGAGAAAAGAAAAAGGGAUAAAGAAUAUUAAUGAUUAACAAAAUCUCUCUGCAAAUUGAUUGCAGUAGAAAAAAAGUGAGCUGAGCAAUCUAAUUUAGUGGUAGAGUGAUAUUUCAUUUGUAGCAAAUUACAUCUCAAGGUUAAAGGAAAGACUUAAGAUCUCAGCUUUUGAUCAUAAUACUUUUUUUAAAGAAAAAAAUUAAUUUUAAUAUUUUAUAAUAAAUAAAAAUAUAAUCUUAAAAUAAAUACAAACACACUAUUAAUAGUACAUAUUUUAAAAUAAUCUCAUUAUUUAAAAUUGUUUUAAUAUUUUGUAAUUUGCCAGACAAAUUUUAUUAUUUUCAAGUAAAUUUUAUAAUAAAUACAAACACACUAUUAAGAUAAAUAUAUGAAAAAUUUAAAGUAAUUUGAAUCUUAUACAAAAUAAUUUUAAUAUUGUUAAUAGUGAGAUAAUUCUAUUAAUUUAAAAUGCUACUUAACCUUAAGAUUUAUUUAAGAUAAAUUAAUAAUUACAUUUUUAAAUUAUUUCAAAUAUUAAAAAUAUUUUAAUAUUAUUUAUCUAUUAGAUAGACUAAAUUAUUUAAAUUAUUUUGUAUAAAUUAAUUCUAUUUAAAGGAUAUUAUGAUAAAAAGAUCUUAGUGUUUUUAUUAAAAAUUUAAAAUUUAUAUGACUAUUUCUUUAAAUAUUUAGGGUAUAUAUGAACCACCGAGGAGAAAAGCUUUAUUUAAUAUUUUUGAAUAGUUUUUGAUCAGUACAAUUGCGUCCUUAUUCAGAAUUAUUGUUCUCUUCCGCAACAGUUUUUGUUUAUCAAAGUCAUCAAUUAAAAUUUUAGAAUUCUUAUCAUCAGAAGUAGUCGUUUUAGAAGUUGGGUCUUGGAUCAAAUUUCUACGAGUGCAUGAAUUAACAAUAAAAAAAAUUUCAUUACACACGGUUUAAGCUACAAAACUACUAUUUGCACAGUUGACUAUAAAACUUACCUCCAAUUACACUAAACCUCUCUAUUUGGUAACGUUGAGACUAAAUUAAUUUUAUUAGCAUGAAAAGAUAAUAGAAAUAUUAUCAUAAAUAUAAUUGUUGUUAAUCAAUUAGUACAUGUGAUAUAAAGGUUAAAUGUGCACUAUAUUUAAUAAAUAAUUAAUGGAACAUGUUAAACAAAAUGUUAAUGUAUAUUUAUAUAGUGUUAGGAAUAUGCAAAGUCAAGUCCUCAAUUUGCAUUAUCCUGUAUAGAAUAUUACUCUAAAAAUGUUUUACUAUAAUUGGCUUAGAACAUUUGUAAAGAAAAUAAUAAUCGUAAUAAUAAAUAACAUACACCGUCACAUAGCAUCUAGACAAUGAUAGAAAAUUAUUAAAGGGAGUGCAAACAAUUAAUUAGAAAUUUUUAUGAUAACUUUUAAUAUUCAUGAUAAUAACAAAUAAAUACAUGUACCACUUUUUAAAAAUAUUAAAUUUGACGUGCUCCAUUAAUAAAUUAUUAUUGUAAUUCAGACUCUAUCUAUAUAUCCUUGCAUUAAGAAUAAUUAAGUCAUAAUAAAAAUUUUCGUAACUACAUCUCAUUUCUUCCUCAUAAUAAUAAUUAGAUUGGUUCGAAUAUUAUAACUAUAUAGAUUUAGGGCGUGUUUGGUGCAUGGGAUUAUGUGGUAUUACACUACUAUUCACAUUAGCUUAUUUCCAAGAAGAUGUUUGGCAAACUUUGACACCUCAUUAUGCUGCAUUAUAAUGCAGCAUAAUGAGGCAUGGGGCCGCAUUACGCAAACCCGAGGGAACCUCGGGUUUGCGUAAUGCAGAAGCUUUUUGCCUCAAUUGAGGCAACAGUUAAUGCCUCAAUUGAGGCAAAUUUAUUUUAUUAAAAUAUUAUAAAAAUAAAUUAUUUUAUUAUUAAAUACUAAUAUAAUGAAUAAAAUAUAAAAAUAAAUUAUAUGAUAAUAUUAUUUUAUUUAUUAAUGAUUCAUAUAAAAAUAAUAUAUUAAUAUUAUAAUAUUAUUUACAUUAAUAUUAAUUUUAAAAUUAAUAUUAUUUAAAUUUAUAAUUAUUUAUGUUAAAUUAUAAAUUUAUUAAUAUAUUAAAAUGUAAAAAUAAUAAUAUAUUGUAAAUUAAAAUAUAAUUGAAUAUUAUUGAAUAAUAAUUUAUUAAUUUAUAUUAACAAUUAUAAUAUUAAUUAUAAUCUAAAUUUAUUAUUUACAUAUAAUAUUAAAUUUUAUAAAUUUAUUUUAUCAUAAUUAUAAUACAAAUUUUAGAAAUUUAAUCAUUAAUUUUUAAUAUUUACUAAAAAAAUUGUUAAAUUUCUACAAUUAAGAUUUCUAUAUUUAUUAUUUUUCUAAGUAUUAAUAAAUAUUAAUUUUUAAUUAUUUAAUUUAAUUAAUUAUAAAAAUUAAUACAAUACAAUGUAACACCAAAUAUAGUUUAAUUAAAAAUUAAUACAGUACAGUGUAGCACCAAACAUUGUACAGCAUUAUUAUAAUACAAUACUAACGCAAUACAGCAUAAUACAAUACACCAGCAUUAAAAUAAUGCAAUACAACAUAAUACAAUACAAUGUACCAAACGCACCCUUAGUGUAUAGCCACAUCCAAUUUAAAUAUUGACCCAAUUGGGAUGGUCCCCAAAAAAAAAAUUCGUUAAAGGAUAAUUCUAAUUAUUUUUACUUCUCAAACGUUAGUGGGACGUUUCUAUUAGCGCACUCGUAAGCCAAGUUGUCAAAUAUUUAUAUUAAACUACAAUUGCUGACAAGAAAAAUCAAGAUCGUGUUGCGCAAGUGGGUCCCGAAUAGGACGUGCCUAAAUCUCUCGUAAGCCAAGUUGUCAAAUGUUUAUAUUAAACUAACAAUUGCUGACUAGAAAAAUCAAGAUCGUAUUACAAGUGGGUCCCGAAUUGGACGUGCCUAAAUCUUUUUAUAAUUUUCCCAGUGUAGCGGACAGAGGUCAUUACUAAAUUUCUCUUCCACACGCCACAGCAGCUUCGGUUAAUCAAACUCAAUCAAUUUUCUUGGCUUCUCCGCUUAUCAAUAUUACAAGGUAUGGGUAGCAUUUUUCAAAUCACAUGCGAUGGUACUAUUUUCAAUCGUUGCUUAGAUUGCUUUCUUGGAAAAGCAGCAUACAUAAGUAACCUCCAAGAUAAUCUCGUUGCCUUGGAGACUGAACUAAGGAAACUAAUCGCAGCAAAGAACGAUGUGAUGACGGCGGUUGUCAAUGCUGAACGGCAACAAAUGAGAAGGCUGGACCAAGUGCAAGUGUGGGUUUCGAGGGCGGAAGCUGUUAAAACUGAAGCUGAUGAACUUAUCAGAGGCGGCUCUCAAGAAAUUGAAAAAUUAUGUCUUAGAGGGUUCUGUUCCAGGAACUGCACGUCAAGCUACAAGUUCGGAAAACAAGUGGCUAAAAAGCUACGAGCUGUGGAGACUUUAAUCGCCGAAGGAGUUUUUGAGGCGGUGGCUGCCGAGGUGGUGCCUGAGAGAGCUCCAGAGCCUGUAGCAGAUGAAAGACCUACCGAGCGAACAGUAGUAGGCUUGCAAUCACAACUUGAACAAGUCUGGAGAUGUCUUGCAGAAGAAUCAGCGGGAAUCAUUGGCCUAUAUGGUAUGGGCGGUGUUGGUAAAACUACACUAUUGACCCAUAUCAACAAUAAAUUUCUCGAGAGUCCAACCAACUUUGAUUGUGUGAUUUGGGUAGUAGUUUCAAAAGACCUGCGACUUGAAAAAGUUCAAGAAAAUAUUGGGAAAAAGAUAGGUUUGGUUGAUGAUUCAUGGAAGAGUAAAAGUGUAGAGGAGAAAGCUCUCGACAUCUUCCGGAGUUUAAGAGAGAAGAGAAUUGUAUUGCUGUUAGAUGAUAUAUGGGAGCGGGUUGAUUUAACAAAAGUGGGCGUUCCACUUCCAGGACCACAAAAUACUACCUCAAAAGUCGUAUUCACAACCCGUUUCAUCGAUGUUUGUGGUAGCAUGGAAGCUGACAGGAAGUUCCAAGUAGCAUGCUUAUCAGAAAAGGAUGCUUGGGAACUGUUUCGAGAAAAAGUUGGGGAAGAAACUCUUCAGAGUCAUCAUGAUAUCGUUGAGCUAGCCCAAAUUGUGGUCAAAGAGUGUGGUGGUUUGCCACUCGCACUUAUUACUAUUGGUCGAGCUAUGGCCUACAGAAAGAAAGCGGAGCAGUGGAGACGUGCAAUUGAAGAGUUAAGGAGAUCAGCCUCAGAGUUUGCAGGUUUGGGAAAAGAGGUGUAUACUCUUUUGAAAUUCAGCUAUGAUAGUUUGCAGAAUGAUACGGUUAGAUCUUGUUUCUUGUAUUGUUGUUUAUAUCCUGAAGAUUAUGGCAUUCUUAAAUGGGACUUGAUUGAUUGUUGGAUUGGCGAGGGAUUUUUUGGGGAAUCUGACAGGUCUGGUGCAGAAAACCAAGGAUAUGACAUUUUGGACACUCUUGUUCGUGCAUGUUUAUUAGAAGAGGUGGAAGAUGAUAAAGUAAAAAUGCAUGACGUUGUUCGUGAUAUGGCUGUAUGGAUAACCAGUGAAAUUGAGAAAGGGAAGAGAAACUUUUUGGUUCGUGCAGGUGCUGGAUUAAAAGAGGCACCGGAUGUUAAAGGAUGGGAAAAUGUGAGAAGAUUGUCAUUGAUGCAAAACCAAAUUGAAACUCUGUCCGAGGUUCCUACAUGCCCUCAUCUCCUCACUUUAUUUCUUGACUUUAAUGAGAAGUUGAAGAUGAUCACGGAUGGCUUCUUCCAAUUUAUGCCUUCUCUCAAAGUUUUGAAGAUUUCACACUGUGGUAGGAAUUGGAAAGAUUUGAAAUUACCUGUUGGGAUGUCAAAGUUGGGUUCACUAGAACUUCUUGAUAUUUCACAUACGCUGAUAACAGAGUUACCAGAAGAGUUAAAGUUGUUGGUAAAUCUGAAAUGUUUGAAUUUGAGGUCGACAGAAUUGUUAAUUAGAAUUCCACGGCAACUGGUAUCAAAUUCUUCAAGGUUACGUGUGUUGAGAAUGUUCGCUACUGGCUGGUUAAAUUUUCAUGAAGCACCAGAAGACAGCGUUUUAUUUGGUGGGGGUGAAGUUUUGAUACAGGAAUUGCUCGGUUUGAAAUAUUUAGAGGUAUUGGAGUUGACCUUGCGAAGUUAUCAUGCUCUCCAAAUUCUUUUGAGCUCAAAUAAGUUAAAAAGUUGUAUUCCAUCUCUUUUCCUCCAGUUGGCCGGAGAUACAACGUCGAUUAUUGAUGCUGCGGCUUUCGCAGAUCUAAACCACCUCAACGAUUUAUUUAUUUAUAAAGGCAUUCAGUUGGAAGAAUUGAAGAUUGAUUAUACAGAGAUAGUACAAAAAAGGCGGGAACCUUUUGUUUUCCGCAGCCUUCACCGUGUUUCUAUUGGGGGGUGCGAUAAAUUGAAAGAUGUGACAUUCCUCGUUUUUGCUCCAAACCUCAAGUCUCUUUGGCUAUUCGAUUGCGGUGCUAUGGAAGAAAUAAUCAGCGUCGGAAAAUUUGCUGAGACUCCUGAGAUGAUGGGACAUAUAAGCCCUUUUGAAAAUCUCCAAAGGCUUGAAUUAUGGGAUUUGCCAGCUUUGAAGAGCUUCUACUGGAAGCCAUUGCCUUUCACUCAUCUGAAAGAAAUGGUGGUACAUGGGUGUCAUCAGCUUAGAAAGCUUCCACUCGAUUCCAACAGAGCAAAAGAGCGUAAAUUUGUUAUUCGUGGAAAAGCAGACUGGUGGAACCGACUUCAAUGGGAGGAUGAAGCCACUCAAAUUGCUUUUCGUUCCUGUUUCCAACCUCGUUCCUGAGCGGUGGUCGCAAAAUUUGAUUUCUGGUGAGUGCAUUCGUCUUUUAAAAGAAGAAUUUAAAAGAAAUUUAUUCUUGUCGUUUUCUUCUCUGUUUUUAUUUCAGUUUCUUUCUCUCUCUCUCUCAAGGAUCUCUAAUCAAUAGCUGGAAGCAAUUGAGAGGCGCCGAGACCCGAUCGGAUCUAGGCCCAAGUUUGGUCUUAAAGCCUGGGCUUGAGCCUGACAAUUAAAUUAAAACAUUAAUUGAUUUAUUGAUUGAAUUGUUGUGUAAUUGAUUUAUGGGGGAUGAAACAUCAACAUACUUGAAAAUACACUAAUCUUAGCAUCAUCGGUUAAUAACUGUUAGAUUUAUGGGUAAUCGUAAUCAAUAGUUAAGAUUAGUUGUCAUUAAUACUAAAUAUUUUUUACUAUUUUUGUCUCUACUAGAGGAUCUUCUAGAAAAAUGCAUCCACAACAAAAUUUAAUAUUUUACAUAAUAAACAAAAUAUAAAUGUUAAAUUUAAGAAACUGCAUUGCAUUUCAGCUGAAGCUGACUUUAAUAUUUAGGGUAGAAAAACAAUUAAAUCCUUAAUGUGUUUAAUUUCUAUCACUUGUGUCAUUAAAAUUUUCUAGCCACCUUAACCAAUUACAUCUCAACCCACUUUUUUUGGAUGAUUUUAUUUUUACACAAUUAUUUUCAACAUAUCAUGAUGUAUUCGUCAAAAGCUGGAAAUGACUGUUGCCCGUCAAAAUUCACAUUUUUUCCUUAACGAUAAAGUUUUAAUAUAAUUUUGAAGUUAUAACGUCAUAAAUAUAUUGCAUAAUAAUAAGAAAAAGGACCUAAAUGGUAAAAGUGAUAAAUAAUAAGAUCGAAGUAUCAUUUUCCAAUGUUAAAUGAGGCAAUGCCAUUCUCCGGUUCUCUUCUUUAAAUGCGUGAUGUGUGUGCUCUGUUUUCUCUAUUAUUCUUUUUCUCUUUUAGAUUUUGAGAACGUAAAGGGUGCAGGAGUCUUUAUCUUGUUAAAACAAGUCUUUUCGAAGUAUUCAACUAAAUUAAAUCAUGGCCUAAUGCUGUGUCAAUUCCAUCAUCAGCAUUUUUUUUUUCCUUUUUAACACCAACAUCAGUGUAUGUUUGGAUAAUUUGAAAUCUGUUUGUGUUUUAUCUCAAAGUAGAGCUUCAAUCAAUUUGUACCUCACAAAUUCACAAUAUCUAUUAAGGAUAAUAAGACCGAACUCUGGCAUAUUGUCAAAUGUGCUUAUCCAAUUCCAAAUUAAAAUGUUGACAGUGUUUCAUCAACCAAGAACUUGUCUUCGAUAGUUAAUCGGAUUAAAGGGAAUAAUUAAUGAGAGCAAUUAAUUAAUAUUAGCCGGCAUCGUCUGUUUCAUAGGUACUCGUGGUUCACUAACAUAAGCGUUGAAUUUGUAUAGUAGCUUGUUCCUUUCCUUCGGUUUUACUUAAUGAAAACCUUGGCUAGAUCGUACACCAAUGUAAAAUCGAAAACCCUUAUGCCACGAAGAGUUCUUAGUGCAAUUGAGAUCAAUGAUAAUCAGCUGAUAGGGAAAACAUUGUCUGAUUGUCAUAAACAAACUUCUUGAAAAUGCCAUCAGUAACAUGGAAGAUUUGGAGGUUAUUCAAAUGCUGACUUCAGGAAUGCAGAUUAAUAUAUUAUGGAGACAGAUUGAGUGCAAUGGCUAAUUGUAACAGGGAAUUUUUAUUGUACAAACAGACCAGCCAGCAAAGAAUAUUCCAAAUCUAGGACUAAACAAGUCAAUAAUAAAAUAAACAAACGGCAAGAGAGAGUGAUUAUAUCUACAACACCAUCGGCUACUACAAAUUCAACUUUUCAACAGUUGUUACUCACCAUGAACAGAAAAAAGAAAAUUACAACAAAAAAUUGGUUGCUAAAAGACGUCUAUUCAUGGUAAUGCCUCUCAAAUGGGUUCAAAACAUGGAAGAAAAGCAUUUAGUGUGGCUUCAUCGUCCCAUUUCAGCUCACUCCACCAGUGUUGCAGGGGCUUAGUCAAAGUGGCUUUCAAGAAGUUUUAUUACCACCUCAGUUCAAAUCCUAAGAGAGGUAGGAGGAUAAAAGAAUUAAUUUGGACUUUACCUAGCCCUCUACCUUUGUUAAAUUUAUGUUAAAAAAAAAAAUAGAUUUGAGAUUGGUAAUAUCCUUAUUUUUUGUUUUCAAAGGAAACUGAUUUAGGACCAAUGAGACUUUGAUCCAAUGGGAGAAGCCUUUCACUUAUAAUGUUAAGUAUAAGGGUUCGAUCCUCCAUAAGAGCUUUAUGAAGGUUAAUUUCAGUACUUCCUUAGUUAUCAGUUAAUUGAGUGGAGACAGUCUCUCCCUUACGAAAUGUGAGUGGAGUAGGCACCCCUCGAAUAUUAGAGAAGGUUUAAAGUAUCUGAGCAAGUGCUUUAGUGGGUUAAUAUAUGGCGGUAGUUCCAGUUGUUUAGUAUGAUUGUAGUACGAUUGUAUAUAUUAAUUGUAAUAUCUAAUGUAAUAUCAAUAACAAUCUGUGCAUAACAGAAUUCAAAAAAAGAAAAGAAAAAAGAAAACUGAUUUAGGUGGUUUCUUGGUUAAGACUUUUUCUUUAGCAUACUUAGUUCCACGUGCUAUUUAGAUAUUUUUCGACAUACUUAUUACUUAGUUCCACAUGCUAUUUAGAUAUAUUUCGACCAAAUGAACAAGCGCAAGCCAUUGACACUUAGCUUAAUUUCAGGGUCAAGCUAUAUUUGAAACUCAAAUAUUAACCUAUUAAUAUUUUCAAUUCAUUCAAUUAUAAAUUAGAGAUGAUAGAAAUUCUCAUAGGAACAGGGGCCCUAGGGGAUUUUAGAGGAUUUUUCCCAUUCGGGAAGGGUAGGAGACAAUUUUAUAUCAAGUUUCUUAUUCCCAGAGACUAUAAUAUUUUUUUACCUAAUUUCUUAUUCAGGGAAGAUAUGGAGAUGAUGUGGACUUUCCAUCCCCUCCCAAUUCUCCAUUUUUAUUUUUAAUUUUUAUAUUAUUUUUCUAGAAUUAUUAGUGAAAAUAAUAAAAUUUAAAUUGUAAAAAUUUUAUUAAUGAAUAAAUAAAAAUAAAAAUUUUAGACACCUUUUUCCCAAACUUGUAGCUUGACUUGCAGUUCUUGGAGCAGUAGCCUCCAAGACAGUUUUUCAAUUUCUCGAGAGCCGUCCCUUGUCAAUUCACCAACUUCAGCUUCCACAGCCGCCACCCUUGAGGUGAUGUUUGGUUGGGAGGAGAGAAUGGGGGAGAGGAAAGUAAUUUAAAUUCUACUUUUAUUUUUAUUGUUUGGUUGCACGAAAUAUAUAAGAAUUUAAUUUCCAUUAGAAUUUAAUAUCCUUUAUAAUCUAGAAUUUGAAUUCCACACCAAAGAGUGAAGAAUUCAAAUUCCUCUUAGGUUGAAAACCCAAGUUUCCAAAUUUGUCCUUCAACAUUUUAACUUGUUUAAUGCUAUUAAUAAUUAUUAUUUAUAAUUUUAUUUUAUCAAUUUAAUAUUAUAAAUAAUUUAAUAUUAAUUAAAUUUAAUGAAUGAUUUAAGACAUUUAAUAAAAUAAAUAAACUUAUUUAUUUAUUUAAUAUGCAAAUAUAUAAAUAUAAAUUAACUAUCGCCGGAACUUCGCUGGACCGUCGCCGGAAGCUGUCGAAAUUUCACCGAAAAGUCACCAACCACUGUUGAUCGGCGUUGGCUUAUGUUGACCGCUACUGUUGACCGGCUUUUAUUUAUAUUAAAUUAUAUUAAAUAGUUUAGUAUAUUAAAUUAUUUUAUAUUUUAUAUUAAAUAUAAAUCAUGAAUUGUUUCAUAACUUUUUGAAAUUAAAAAAAAUUGGUAUUAAUAUUAAAUUAUAUUUUAUUACUAAUAUAGAUAAUUUAGUAUUUAAGGUAAAGGAUAAAUUUGUCCAAAGAAAAAAAUUAUAAUUUCUUUCCUUAUCAAAUUUGAUGUCAAACCAAACAUUGAAAUUUAAUUUUAUUAAUCUCUUCCACUCAUUUCUCCUCCAUUCCACUUUUUUCUUCUCCUCUCCUUUUUUAAAACCAAACACCACCUGAAAGCCAACCUUGCACUUUGUUCAGCCGUCUCAGUUGUUGCUGCUCAGGAUUGGCGACCCUCAUCAUCACAUCGUUCUUUGGUUCAAUUAAUUUCUGCAAUUCGGUCUGGAUGGCAACCAGGUUAUCUUCAAGCUGGCUUAAAUAUCAUGCUUUUCUGCGGGUACAAUUUAUGAAGCCAGUGAAAAUUACGCAUACAAUAGGAGUGCAACACAGUGUGUAUUCGGUUGUGGUGUCUAUGAUUUUGCAGUCGCAGAAGCUUAUUCACCUUAUGAAGACUGAUCAGGUGGGCACCGUCGCUCUCCUUACAUUCUUAUGGAGAGCGAUAGUCCAUGUAGUCAGAUCUCACUGAGAGAACUAGCCGAGUGGGCAAUCGCUCCGCCUGAUCAAAAUUUGUCAUCUUAUAAUAAUAUCUUGAGUAGGUCUUGAAUUUUUUUUCCAAUUUUAAUCUUUAAAAGGUAGAAGAGGUGAAAAAAACCUAAAUAGUAUUUGUGUCCUCCUAAAUAACAUUUCUUGAACAUCAAUGGAUCUUAAAACUUAAUUAAGAAAAUAUUAUAGAUUUAUAAAUUAGUGGCCCUUAAAAUUUAUUUGCAAGUAACAAUUAGAGAAAAGUCGUCAGGCCCAAAAGACUUAGAGCAUCACCAAAAGACUCUUCAAAUAAGAUUUUAUUAAUUAUUUGAAGAGCCAUCUCAAUAUUUAAGACUCCAAAAGACACUCCAAUUAAGAUUCUUCAAAUAAGAAAUAAUUCUCUCUCUUCAAAUUUGGAGAGUUGAUUUCUCCCUCUUCAAUUUAUACUUUAUUACUUUCCAUUGGAGAAAAAGAGAGAAGUGCUUUAAUUGCUAUUGACUUUUUCUUUAAAAAAAUAAUUAUUUGAUUAAAAUAAUAUUAAGUUAUUUCUAUUUGAAGAGUCUUUUGGAGAAUAUUAUUUUUUUUUACUCUUCUAUUUGCCACAUAGAUAAGCAAAUAGAUAUUUGAAGAGUAAAAUUUAUAGAGUCUUUUGGAGAUGCUCUUACUAAAAGUCGGCAACUCGUCAUGACCAAAAUUCUUCCGAGUGUGAAAUACGGCAUGCGCAGAUGCAUUAAAAACAAAAGCCAGCUAAGAUAUUCUUUGUAUACUUGCAUUCCCUAUCAUCUUAUUAAUAAUUUCAGACACGUCGUUCGUUCCCUGUGACUUUUCAUAUGCAACAGCACAGUCAGUGUUACAAUUUACAUUUCGAAUUGGGUGUCAUCUAUAUACUCUACCUAGAUCUAACAUGAUAUUGCAGUAUUGCACUGAUUUUUUUGUCGCAGCGUUUCUCUAUGAAUUCCUUAAACUUUAAACACAUCAUGGAAUAAUUAUUUUCUUAAAGACCAAAUUAACAUAAUUCUUAAAUCAUUUAUAAAACAACAUUUAUCAUAUAACAGAUCGUACACGAAUCAAUUUUCCUUGAACAGUAGCAAACAAACAAGAAUCUCAACCACAUCACGAGAUCGCCCACGUCAAACCAAGUAUUCUUAAUGAGUGGACCAGCUAAUAUAUUCAAAAUUGGAAUUAAUUGAGGAUAAUGAUUAGUGCUAAUACAUUUGCAAAGAAAAAUCAUGCCUAUUGAAAAACUCAUCUUAUUAGCAGCAGCGUUAUAAGUAGCAUCCAAUCAUAGUUUCACGCAAGAUUUUGAGAUUAUUCAAAUGCUGAUCCCGGGAAUGGAGAUUAAUAGAUAAUGGAGACAGGUUGACUGCAAUGGCUAAUUGUAAGAGGGAUUUUUAGCCGUAAAAACAGAUCAACUAGCAAAGCAAAUUCCAAAUCUUGGAAUGCAGUAGCAAAAAAACGAAACAAACAAAUGGCAAGAGGAAGUGACUAUACAACAAUAACAUCGACUUGCAAUUCAACAUUUAUACAGUUUUACACACCAAGAAAAGAAAAAAUUACAAUAGAAAUUUGGCCACUAAAAGAUGCUCGUUCAUGCUUAUGCCUGUCAUAUGGAUUUGAAACAUGGAGUAAAAGCAUUUAGAGUGGCCUCAUCCUUCCACUGCAGCUCAUUCCACCAGUAUUGCUCUCCCCUAAUAACAAGUUUUCGUUCCUUGGCGCUGUUGUAAUCGAGUGGAAGCUUCUUGAGAUUCGGGCAGCCAGAUACAAACAAUUCCAAGAGAUUUGGAAAGGGCAAUGCAUUCAAACAGAUCUUCUUCAGAUUUCUUACAACUUGCAACCGAAGAUAUUGGAGUUUCGAAAAAGUUUUUUGCACUGGAACUUCUGGAACUUCUUCCAAUUUCCAAACACUGAUUAUUUCUUCCAUCUCAUAACAACGUUCUACAUGGACCAUCUUGAGAUUUGGGGCAAAAACAAGCCAUGUCAUCUCCCUCAAUUUACUGCAAUAGUCUAUGGUAACACUUUGAAGGCUGUUGAAACCAUAAAGUUCUCUUGUUGUUUGAAUUUCUGCAUAGUCAACCUUUAGCUCUUCCAAACUUGUACAAUACACAAAAUCUAGUUUGUCAAGAUACUUGAGAUCUGCUAUGGACAAAAUAUUCCAUGACCUUGAAUCCUCACAGCGGCGAAGCUCUAAAGCAUAUUUACAACUCUUGUACUGUUGGCAGCUCAAAAGUCUUCGUAGAGCAUAAAAACUUCUUAACGUGACGCUUAAUACAUUUAAAUGUUCCAAAGUAAUCAACUCCUCUACCAAAAUUUCACUACCACCAAAUAGAACGCUAUCUUCUGGUACUGUAUUAGCAGAGCCACAAUCUAGCAUCCUCAACACCUUUAACCCAGAAAAAUUACAAAGCAGUUGCCGUGGAAUCGUAUGGAGAUAACGCAUGUACUCCAAGUUCAAACACUUUAGAUUUUUCAAGGCUUUUAAUUCAUGUGGCAACUCUUUGAUGAAAGUUUCUGAAAGAUUAAGAUAUUGUAGUGAAACCAAUUUUGAAAUUCCUGAAGGCAAUUGACUCAAGGAGCGAUUCUUUGAUAGGUUUAAAACUUUAAGAGAAGGCAUAAAAUCGAAGAAAUCACUAGGGAUAGUAUCUAACAUAUUAAUGCCGAGGAACAAAGUUAUAAGAUGAGGGCAUAUUGGAGUUAUUGGUAAAAUCACAAUUUUAUUUCUCAUCAACGAUAUCCUUCUCUUAUCUUCCCAUUGUUUAACUUCGGGUGGUUCAGUUAAUUCAAUACCGGCAGAAACCAAAAAGUUUUCAUUCUCCACUUCACAGGCUAUCCACAAGGUCAUAUCACGAAUCACAUCAUGCAGUUUUACAUAAUCUGAUCCUGCUUCUUCCAAUAGGCAUGCAUGAACAAGAACACCAAUAAUGUAGUAUCCUUGGUUAUGUACUCCAUUAAUUCCUUCAUAUUCCUUCAGAAAACCCUCACCAAUCCAACACCCUAUCAAUUCAAUUUUGCUAAUUUGAUAAUCCUCAGGAAAUAAACUACAGUAUAACAGACAAGAUCUAAGGACGUCACUAGACAAACUAUCAUAACUGAAUUUUAAAAGACGAAACACCUCUUUCUCCAUACCUGGAAAUUCAUAAGCUGAUCUCCUUAACAUCUGAAUUGCAUAGCUCCAUUCUUCGGGUGUCUUCUUGCUGCUCAUGGCACGACCGGUGGUAAUAAGUGCAAGUGGCAAACCACUACACUCCUUUGCCACAGUUUGGGCUAACUCCGGAAUAUCGGGAUGACUUUCAAGAGUCUCUUCUCCGACCUUCUUUAGGAACAAUUCCCAAGCAUCUUGAUCUGCCAAACACUCCACCUUGAACUUUUUUUGAGCUUCCAUGAGGCCACAGACGUCCACAAGACGAGUUGUAAAGACUAUCUUUGAUGCAUUUCUUGAACUCGCAGGAAAAGGGACACCCACUUUGGCUAAAUCAAUUCUUUCCCAUAUAUCAUCUAACAAUAGCAGAAAUUUCAUUUUGCUCAAUAAAUUGAAUAUGCCUGAUGCUUUCUCUUCAAAGCUUCUAUUCUGAAGCCAUCCUAUUCUUUCUCCGAUUUUCUGUUGUAUUCUCUCAAGUUGCAUGUCUUUUGACACCACCACCCAAAUCACAAUAUCAAAAUAAUUUGGUGUAUUAAGGAACCUGUUGUUGAUUUGGGUUAAUAGUGUAGUCUUGCCGACUCCCCCCAUGCCAUAAAGUCCGAUGAUUCCAAAUUGUCCUUCUACAAGACAUCUCCAAACUUUAUCAAAUGUUGAUUCUAGGCCGAUUAUUGUUGGCUGAAGAGGCCUUUCAUCCACUGCUGGUUGUGGUACCUUUUCAGCUACCACUGCAAAAGCUCCAUCAUCUAUUAAAGUAGCCACAAGCUGCAGCUUUUUAGACACCUUUUUCCCAAACUUGUAGCUUGACUUGCAGUUCUUGGAGCAGUAGCCUCCAAGACAUAGUUUUUCAAUUUCUUGAGAGCUGUCCCUUGUCAAUUCACCUACUUCAGCUUCCACAGCCUCCACCCUUGAAAGCCAACCUUGCACUCUGUUCAGCCGUCUUAGUUGUUGUUGCUCAGCAUUAGCGACCCUCAUCAUCGCAUCGUUCUUUGUUUCGAUUAGUUUCUGCAAUUCGGUCUGGACGGCAACCAGGUUAUUUUCAAGCUGGCUUAGAUAUGCUGCUUUUCUGCGGGUACAAUUUAUGAAGCCAGCGGAAAGGGCAUCACAUAUAAGUUGGAUUCCCAAAAUAUUACCCAUAGUUUGUAUGAGAUUCAGAGUACAAUAGAAGGAAUGCAACACAGUAUGUAUUCGGUUGUGGUGUUUAUGAUUUUACAGUCGCAGAAGCUUAUUCACCUUGUGAGGGCUGGUCAGGUGGGCACCAUCACUCUCCUUACGCUUUAUAGAGAGCGAUAGUCCAUGUGGUCAGAUCUCAUUCAGAUAACUAGCCAAGUGGGCAAUCGCUCCACCUUAUCAAAAUUCUUCAUCUUAUAAUAAUAUCAUGAGUAGGCCUUGAAUUUUUCUUUUAAUUUUAACAUUUAAAAGGUGGUGGUGAAAAAGUCUAAAUAGUAUUUUUGUCCUCGUACUUUAAUAACAUUUCUUGAAAGUCACUCGAUCUCAAAAUUUAAUUAAGAAGAUAUUAUAGAUUUAUAAGCCCUUAAAAUUUAUUUGCAAGUAAGCCCAUAAGACUUACUAAAAGUCGUCAACUCGUCAUGACCAAAAUUGAAAAUUCUUCCGCGUGUGAAAUACGGCAUGCACAGACGUAUUAAAAGCAAAGGCCAGCUAUGAUAUUCUUCGUAUACUUGCAUUCCCUAUCAUCUUAUUAAUAAUUUCAGACACGUAGUUCGUUGCUUGUGAUUUUUCAUAUGCAAAAGCACAGUCAGUGUUACAAUUUACAAUUACAAUUGGGUGCCAUCUAUAUACUCCUUCCUUGUUUUCAAAAUAUGUUGUAGGAUGGGUAAUUGUAACAAAAGUGAUUUUUAAAAAGAUUUAUUAUAAUAUUAAAAUUAACUUUUAAUUUUUUUAAAUUAUUUUUGAGCUUUCUGAAAAAAAAAUCCUAAACCGGUCUCAGAAGUAUAAUUAGAACCACGAAUUUAUAAAAUGAUCAAAGGAAUCCAUCGCCUAAUAUUAUAGUACGCAAUGGAUUGCUAUAAACUAAAUUGCUAUGAUCUCACUUCAUAAUAAUUUAUUUUCAAUCUCCAUCAUGGUAGAAAAAUUUCAUCAAUCAACAUACCCUACCACCACCCAAUAGUCGACCAUUUAUCAUCUUCUAUCCGUAAAAAAACGAAAAAAAAAAAAGAGAAAAGGAAAAAUUUAGUCCACAAAAGAAAAUAUCGCAAGACCAAACAGAGAGAGAAAAUAGAAAAAGCAAAGAGCUGUACUGAAUACCGGCGGUGAUGGCUCGGUACUUGACCAUUUAGGUUUGAUUCUGCAUUAACAUAAUAUUUUUUCUGCACUGCAUUCACAUCACAACCAUUGAAUAGUCGUGAUCUAUUUUUCUAAAGCGAAUAAUAUUAUCUUCUCGUGUCGGUGGCUUGAUCAUAUAACAAAAUAGACUAAUAAUGUUUCAAUAGACAUUUUGGUAAAUGGAAGAAGUUAUGAUCUGUCCAUUUUUAUGUUACUUUAUUUUAAUUUGUUAAUUACUAUUAAUAUCUUUGAGUGGGGCAGAAUCUUGACCUAAGAUAUAGGGAUGGCAAUGGGGCAUAUAUGGGUUGGAUUUACUCUGCUCCAUAUCCAAAUCCAUAAUAAAAAUUAAGAUCCGUAUCUGCUCCAGAUCCGUCAUGAAUCCAUAUUUUUCGGUCCAUAUUCAGAUCCAAAAAAGAAAUAAAUAUCUAUAUCUACUCCAAAUCUGAAAAAAAUUAAAAUCCAAAUCUGCUCUAAAUCUGUCAUGAAUUCUAAAAUUCAGUAAUAAAAAAUUAAUAAUUUUUUAGAUUGAAAAUUGAAGGCUAAAAUGUAUUGAUAACAAAUAAAUUAUAUAAUUUUUCUCAAAAAUAUAAUAAAUAUUGUAUCUUAUACUUUUUCACCAAAACAACAAAUAAGAAAGAUAAUAAAAUAUCAUUUAGAAGUAAUUGCAGGAGUAAGAUCAAUCUAAUAUUAUAUUGUCUCCUUCAUCAUUCUAAUAUCCACGAUACACCUACCCUCAUUCCUACAACAUUAGAUAAUGACAUAUAAAUUAAAUAUGAUUUAUAUUCAGUCCUUUAUUAUUUUUAUUAUGACCAUAUUUGACUAAAUAUAUGAAUAACUAUAUUUCUUAAAAAUUAUUUGGCCAAUAUAAUAAAAUAAAUUGCCAAGUUAUAUUACUUGGCUUACAAUUUAAAUAUUGCAUGUACAUGCUUUGGGGUUGGCUGGCCUUUAAAUUUACAAAACUAACUUUUAAGUUUUAAGAGUUUAAAUGCAUGGUAAAUACUACUAAUAUGCUAUGAAUAAAAUUUAUUAUCAUUAUAAUUCCACAAUUGUUAAGAAACUUUUAAAAUAAAAUAAAAUUAAAAGAUGAGUGGAUAUGGAUAUGGAUUUAGAUAUUAAGAUAGAUCCAAAUCUGCUCCAGAUCCGUCUUAGAUCCGCACAUCGAUAUCCAAAUCCGAUCCAAAUCUAUUUUAAACCGAUCCAAAUCCGAUCCGAUUGGAUUUGGAUCACGUGGAUCUUGGAUCAGAUCCAAUCCAUUGCCAUCCCUACUAAGAUAUGACUAGGCUCCACAUGUUAUAUAUUAAUUUGAUUAAGCCCAGCUAAUUGUUAAUUAUUAAUUUGAUUGCGGCUUUUUAUUUUACCCACAUUUUUUACGCGUGAAAUCUUUCUUAGUGAAAAACUACACGUAUUUGCAAAUAUUCGGAAUGGACAUUUUCGAAAAAACAAGUAAAAGAAAAUGACUAAAAAGUAAAAGAAAAUAGACACCCAAUUGUAAUUACGAGUACAAUAGAAGGAAUGCAACACAAUACCGAUUUUGCAGUCGCUGAAGCUUAUUCACCCUAUGAGGGCUGAUCAGGUGGGGGCCGUCGCUCUCCUUACACUCUUAUAGAGAGUUAUAGUCCAUGAUCUCAUUGAGAGAACCAGCCAAGUGGGCAAUCGCUCCACCUGAUCAAAAUUCUUCAUCUUAUAAUAAUACCUUGAGUAGGCCUUCAAUUUUUUUUUUCAAUUUUAAUCUUUAAAAGGUAGAAGAGGUGAAAAAGUUAAAUAAUAUUUUUGUCCUCCUAUAUAACAUUUUUUGAAAAUCACUCGUUCUUAAAACUUAAUUAAGAAAAUAUUAUAGAUUUUUAAGUUAGUGGCCCUUAAAAUUUAUUUGCAAGUAACAAUUAGAGAAAAGUCGUCAUGCCCAAAUGACUUACUAAAAGUCUGCAACUCGUCAUGACCAAACAUCUUCCGAGUGUCAAAUACGGCAUGCGCAGAUGCACUAAAAACAAAGGCCAGCUAUGAUAAUCUUUGUAGUAUUAAUAAUUUCAGACGCGUCGUUCGUUGCCUGUGACUUUUCAUAUGCAAAAGCGGAGUCAGUGUUACUUGCAUUCACUGUCACCUUAUUAAUAAUUUCAGACACAUCGUUGGUUGCCUGUGAUUUUCAUAUUCAAAAGCACAGUCAGAAUUACAAUUUACAUUUGGAAUUGAGUGCCAUCUAUUUAUUCCAGCUAAAUCUAAAAUGAUGUUGCAGUAUUGCACUGAUUUUUUAGUCACAGCGUUUCUCUAUGAAUUCCUUAAACUUUAGACCCAUCAUAGAAUAAUUAUUUUCUUAAAGACCAAAUUAACAUAAUUCUUAAAUCAUUUAUAAAACAACAUUUAUCAGAUAACAGAUUGUACAUGAAUAAAUUUACCUUGAACCGUAGCAAACAAACAAGAAUCUCAACAACAUCAAUAUCAUAAUCCCUUCUGACCUUAACAGUAAUUUUAUUCGUCCUUAAUUCAUAGGUAUAAGUAUCCCAAUAUAUACUUGAUGUCAACCUUUACAAUUCUUUACAGAAUUGCAGCAGACCAAAUUUGUAUGCAAAACUGAAAUCAUACAGUAAUUGAAUACAGUGAAAAUAGACAUGAUGGGAAUUAGUAUAUAUAAAUAUCUUAAUAAUUUAAAAGUUUCUUAAACUGAUUUUACAUAUCUGAAAAAUUAUAGAAAUCGGAACUGCUGCAGAAAUCAUAAUUUUCCAGCGAAUGUGUUACAACUUCAGAAACUCAUAAGAAAUUAAAUUCUUGGGAUCACAAAAUAAUUCAUCAAUUUAAGAGAUUCAGCAGUACUUUUAUUACAUCAAUUCUUCAAACAAUCACCAAUCUAACAUUCAUCAAAAUUAAGUCAUAAAAGUCAUGUGGUUUAUAAAAAGAAUUACCUGAAAAAGAUUAGCCUUCCCCUUUCAAAAGCAACGAGAAACUCCAAAAACUCUUCUUCCAUUGCCUAUUCAAACAUGAAAAAAAAAAAUUAGUAUCUCUUCUUUAAACGCGCGAUGAGUGUGCUCUGUUUUCUCUGUUCUUUUUCUUUUUUAGAUUUCGAAAACGUAAAGAGUGUUGGAGUCUUUAUUUUCUAAAAACAAGACUUUUCCAUGUAUUCAGUUAAAUUAAAUUAUGUCCUAAUGCUAUGUCAGUUCCAUCAUUAGCAUUUUUUUUUUCCUUUUAACACCAACAUUAGCGUAUGUUAAGUAUCAUAAUCCAUAGUUGGACAAUUUGAAAUCUCUUCGUGUAGUUGACUGGCAACAACUAUAUUGGCAUUUAGACAUAAUGUACUGCAACCAUAUUGACAUGUUCAAAUGUUCUCACUAUUGUAUUGGUGUGUCGAUAUUAUCUCUAUCAGUCCUAUAGAUCCAAAAAUAAUCUAAAUUUACAAUUUAACUUAAAAUAAAAUAAUUGGUAGAAAACAAUUAUGGUUCAUUUACUUAUCAGUAAUUAAAAUAGACUGAAAUUAGAAUGAGUUGUAUUGACGUUGAUGUGUUUCUGUUGUCCUCGAAUCGGAAUGAAUUAUUUUAACUUACUAAAAUACCCUUUGUUUGUUAUUCUAAUUAUUAUUAUUUAAUAUUUAUUAUAAUAUUUGUCAUAUUAUUAAAAAGAAAUAAUAAUGAUGAUAAUAUUAUCAUUAUUGUUUGUUAUAUUAUUAUUAUUCAAAAAAAUUGUUGUUAAUAACUAUAAUAACUUUAUUUCAAUAAUAAAAAUGAUAAAAUUAAUAAUAACAAACAUGACAACAACAAUAAUUAUUUAUUAUGCCAAAAAAUAACAAUAAUGAUAAGAAUAAUAAUCAUCAUCAUUUUUUUCCCAAAGAAGCAUUAUCAUCAUCAUUUCAAAAAAAAAAAUCAUCAUCAUCAGCAUUUUUGUAGUGGCUGCCUAUCGGCUGCUGCUUUCAUGUGAGAUUGACUUGCGACGCUUCAACUACUAUUAUUUCUGGCAAUGUCAGGUGUUGUUGUUUCAAUCUGGGGAGAAGCUGUUUCGGUGAGCUAACAAUGGGAGGUGUUGCUGCUCGAUGCGAGGUCCAUGGCCAGCUGUCUUGUUUUACACCCAGCUCUUGUAGGAAAUUAUUCAUCCACAAUAUUUCUUUGUAACCUUCAAUAAUUGUAAUAUCAUUUGCUUCCGUGGUAGAAAAGACAACUCAUUACUAAAGUCUAGAUUGCGAUGAGACUGCCUUCCCUACAAAAGUGAGCAAAUAUCCUCAUAGGAAUCUUUCAGAAUCAACAUCUCUUGCCAUAUCUGUUAAGAAUAACAUAUGCUGAGUCAGCUACUGAGUCAUCAAGCCACGCUGGAAGUCAGUUUUGCAGUUAGUUAGAGAGCUUAUCAGCUUCUCUCCAAAAGUUUGUUAUGUGUAUUAGAAUAUGUGCUCACGAGUUUUGUGAGUUUGUAACCUUGAAAAGAUUCUCACACUACUAUAAAUUGUAUUGUGACUCAAUUAAUAAAAGUUGUUGAAGCUUUGCAUUUUCUCUCAGUCAAAAUUUUCUCUCUAUUUUUCUAAGUAACCAAACAAAAUCUACAGAGCAUUUUGUAUUUUAACUUGGUAUCAGAGCUUGAAUCCAAUGGCCUUAAUCGGUUCCAAUCAACAGUCGAGCAACACUUCCAUAACUUCUUUCACCUUCACAAAUCCAAUUAAGCUUGAUCGUGCAAACUAUACGAUCUGGAAACAGCAAGUACUUUCUUCAAUUCGUGGCAAUGGUCUUGAAGGCUAUAUUGAUGGAUCAAGGAUCUGUCCUAGUCAAUUUCUUUCUCCAGAGGCUAGAUCUGAAGGUUCUUCUUCUUCUAACAUCGAAGGUCAAGAGAAUCCAGAGUAUGCAGCCUGGAGACGUCAAGAUCAGCUCCUGCUCAGCUGGAUUCUGUCGUCCAUGAAUGUAGAUAUUCUCAGUCUUGUGGUAAGCUCUAAGACUUCUUUUGAGUUGUGGAAAAAUCUAGAAAAACAAUUUGGAUAUGAAUUUAUGGCUAAGAAGGUUCAUCUGAAAAUGCUUUUGAGUAACCUGCGAAAAGGAUCUCUAACCAUGUCUGAGUAUUUUACAAAGCUUAAGUCAGUUACAGAUGGUCUUGCUUUAGUUGGUAGCCCUGUGCAUGAUUUGGAUUUAAUCACUCAUCUUAUUACUGGUCUAGAUCAGUCAUAUUAUCCUGUAGUAGUCUAUAUUGAGGCAAACAUGUUGAAAAUGGAUCUUAGUGAGGCUUAUGCUAUGCUUCUCACACAUGAGGCUAGACUUGAGAAUAAUAAGCUUCAUGAUAGUAAAGAAACCAAGAACAAUUAUGCAACAAAUGUAGCUCAGGUUGGAAAUUUUUCAAAGAAAGGUAAUAACAAUAAUCAAAACAACUGGAAGGAUGGAGGAAACAAUUGGAAUAAUAACUCUGGUGGAAGAGGUGGUUACCAAGGGUUCAAUCCAGGAAGAGGAAACUGGAAUAAUAAUAAUUUCAGAGGUGUUGCUGGUGGAUUUAACAGUGGAUUUCCUGGUCUCGUGGCUUCAAUAACAAUUAUGGCAGAGGUGGUUUCAACUCAGGCCAAAAUUUGGUGGUUGUUGAAGCCAACAAAAAUAAAUUCCUACUCUAAAUAAAUUGUGUAUAGUGAUUGAGCAGGGUCGUGUCCACAGAGAUCGGUAAUUAUUUAAAUCCUUUUGAAACGUAAAACGCAAAAUGGGGGAAUUGUUGACAAUAAUAAAAAUCAAAUUAAAGUAACAAGAAUGCAAAUUAAAGUUGUAAUUCAAAUUGGAGAAAGCUCUGGUUGAAGGAAUUAACUCAGCUUGAUUCGACUACUGAUCAUUGAUUCAAAUAUAGAUUAUUAUUACUCAUGAAUAGACCGGUUAUAGCUACUGAGACCCUCUAAUAGCCAAUCUCUCCUUAACUAGUCGAUAACCAAGGUACGACCGUUGGUUAUUUCCCUAAUCAAUAGACAACCCUAGAUACGAUCAUAGAAUUUAAUCAAUUGACAGCCUGAAAAACCAGAGAGACCCAAAUCCUAAUCAACACAUAUGAUGAUUCAUUUAAAUUAGAUUGUUUAUUCUCACAACACAACUCUCUGCUAUGUUAUUUGUCACAAGCAUUAAAUUCUUCAUACGAUGAAUCCUUUAAUUGACAAUAGAUUAAGUUGAUAAUUAAAUAGUGGCCAAUUACCUAAUUAACAAACAUAAUCAUGAAACUAAUUCAGAGAAUAAACAAAUACCCAAAAAGCAAUAAAACAAUUAAAGCACAAGAAAGAUCUCAUAGUAGUGAUGAAUCAAAGCUUCAUUAACCUUCAACCAGAAAAAUAAGUUUAGUUCUUCAUAGAGAGAAGAGAAAAAUUAAAUCUAGGGUUUCUUUCUUUUUUUUUUUUCCAAUCCAAAAAAUCCCCCUUUUUCACAAUAGAUUCCUCCCUUAAAUACUCUCUCUCUCUUCUCCUCUAGAAUUUUAUUUAAAAUAAAAUACUAAUAUCUGAAAUAUUAAAUUCGUAAUUACAAAAAUAACCAAAAAUACAAAACACGUUAAACUAAAAACUGCAGGUCCGCAGUUGACAGCACGCGCCCACGCCUUAUCAAUAAAGUUCUUCUGACGCUCAUAAUUUCUCCAAGAGAACAAUCAUCCUUAAACAUCAUCUUAUAGCUCAAUUUUAUCACCAACCAAUAGAAUUGCACCUACAAAAGUAAAUCACUAUUAUUAAGUGCAAAACAUCGAUAUUAAAAGAAGUAAACAAUGCAAAACUAGUGCAUAAAUUGCACUCUAACAGAGGUGCUGGAAAGAAUUUUGCUCAGGGAACUGGUGCUGCUUGUCAGAUAUGCUUCAGGUUUAAUCACACAGCAGCUGAUUGCAGAAACAGGUUCAACAGAAAUUUUAUCCCAAAUUUUCCAGCUCCAGCUCCAAAUUACUUCUCUAAUCAGCACCAAGGACCAAGAGCAGCCUUCAUAACAACAUCUGAAGGAGCUGCUGAUCAGGGAUGGUUUCUGGAUAGUGGUGCAACUCACCACUUAACCAACACAGUUCAGAAUCUGAGUGAUGGUAAGAUCUAUUUUGACUCAAACUUACUUACUGUUGGUAAUGGCCAAGGUUUUAGAAUUACUCACAUAGGUUAUACACAACUUCACACUUCUUUUGGCACCUGCUUACAACUACAGAAUAUUUUGUGUGUUCCUCAAAUUACCAAGAACCUCAUUAGUAUUUCCAAACUCCUCACUGAUAAUGAUAUAAUCAUUGAAUUUUUCUCUGAUGUUUGCUUUCUAAAGGACAAGGUGAAGGGCACUCUGUUGGCUUAGGGGAUUGCUAGAGAUGGCCUAUACAAGCUACUGUCAAAAAAGGAAUCUCUCUCUUCUUCCACUUCUGUUCUGCCAGUGUCUCAUCCUAGUUCUAUGAUGUCAACUCUUUCCUGCAAUAAUGUAAUUACUUCUGUUCAAAGUUCAAAUAAUGACUUCUGUUUUAAGUUUACAUUUCCUGUAAGCUUUCAAACUUCAAUUUCUGUGUCAGCAAAUAUAUUGCACAAUAGACUUGGUCAUCCAAGUAAGCAUGUCAUACAAACUAUUCUCAGAAACAAUUGUUUAAUGUCAGCCAAUGUUAAUAAAUCAAAUUUUCUUUUCUGUGAUGCCUGUCAACUUGGAAAGUUACAUCAAUUACACUUUCCCGCUACUAAAAUCAAAACAAAAUAUCCCUUAGAAUUAAUACACACAUACUUAUGGGGACCAGCUCCAGUUUUAUCACUAGAUGGUUAUAGAUACUAUAUUUCCUUUGUUGAUGACUUCACCCGAUAUUGUUGGAUCUUUCCCUUAGUUUUAAAAUCUGAUGCCCUUACUACUUUCAAAAACUUCAAGAGCUUAGUUGAGAAACAAUUCAAUCUGCCCAUCAGAAUUUUACAGUCUGAUAUGGGAGGUGAAUUCAAAGCUUUUCAGUCAUUUCUUCAACAAUAAGGUAUCCAAGCUAGAUUUAGUUGUCCCUAUACUCACCAUCAAAAUGGUGUUGUUGAGAGAAAACAUAGACACUUAGUAGAAACUGGAUUAACACUCCUUGCUCAAGCAAAAAUGCCUAUUUCUUUCUGGUGGGAGGCUUUCCAUACAACCUCUUAUCUCAUUAAUAGAAUGCCUACCACUACACUGAACAACUUAUCUCCCUAUCAAAAGCUUCAUAAUCAGCCACCAAACUAUCAACUUCUCAGAGUUUUUGGUUGUGCUUGCUAUCCUUUUCCCAGGCCUUAUAAUGACCACAAGCUUGAUUUUCAUUCCCAAAAAUGCUUGUUUUUAGGUUACAGCCCUCUUCACAAAGGAUAUAAGUGUCUAACAAAGUCAAGCAAAGUAUAUGUUGCUGUUCAUAUUAUUUUUAAUGAGUCUGAUUUUCCCUAUUCAGAGUUGUUCGCUUCAUCUGAAUCUUCUUCCAAUUCUCUGUCAUCAUACUCUCCAUCUAUUUGUAUCCUCAAUGACAGUGGCUUGCAUCAGUCAUCAGCUAUAUCUCCUGCUUUAGCAGAGUUACCAACUCACAUUCACCUCAACAUCCUCACCAAGCCCCACACUCUCCUUGUCCCUCUCCAGUCUCAAAUUCCUACGGCUCAUCAUCACCACAUUCUUCAUCACAUAAUGCUUUAGCCAAUCCCUCUGAUGAAUUACAACCAUCAUCUCAACCUGUCAUUUCAACUCAUCAGAUGGUUACUCGAGCCAAAUCUAGUAUUUUUAAACCAAAGACCUACCUUACAGCUACCGAAGACCUUGAACCAGUGAGUGUUAAAGCAGCCCUGAUUGAUACAAAGUGGAAAAUGGCUAUGCAAGAAGAGUAUAAUGCUUUGCAGAAGAAUGACACCUGGACAUUAGUUCCAGCUGAAACCGCUACAAAACUCGUUGGAAAUAAGUGGGUUUUUAGAGUUAAAUAUAACCCAGAUGGUAGCAUUUCCAAGUAUAAGGCUCGGUUGGUUGCAAAAGGUUUUCAUCAAACUUAUGGAGUAGAUUUCUUUGAAACCUUUAGUCUAGUUGUUAAACCCUACACUGUUCGUAUUGUUCUCAGCUUAGCAGUCAUGCAUUGUUGGCCAGUUCGGCAAUUGGAUGUUAACAAUGCCUUUCUUAAUGGCAUGCUUACUGAAAAUGUGUUUAUGCCUCAGCCAGAAGGCUUUAUCAGCUCUCAGUUUCUCAAUCAUGUCUGCAAAUUACAAAAAGCCAUUUAUGGUCUUAAGCAGGCUCCAAGGGCUUUGUAUGAUAGAUUGAAAGGGUCUUUAGUUCGGUGGGGUUUCAGAUCUUCAAAGUCAGAUACUUCACUGUUUUUCAAGCAUAUUGGCAAUAAUGUUCUCAUCAUCCUUGUUUAUGUAGAUGAUAUCCUGAUAACAGGCUCUAGUGCUGUUUAUAUUUCAGAGGUUAUCAGUCUACUUAGCUCAGAAUUUGCACUUAAAGAUUUAGGAGAUUUUAACUACUUUCUUGGGGUAGAAGUGACUCCAUCUGCUGAAGGAUUACAUCUAUCUCAAACUAAGUAUGUUGGUGACAUCUUAAGAAAAGCUCAUAUGCUUGAGAGUAAAGGCUGCAAUACACCUAUCAGUAUUGUUGAUAAGUUGCAGAAGGACAAAGGUUGCUCAUUUACAAAUCCCUCACUUUACAAAAGCAUCAUUGGUUCUCUGCAGUAUCUGACACUGACCAGACCAGAUAUCGCAUUCACUGUAAACAAAUUGAGUCAGUUUUUAGCUGCUCCAACUAUCUUGCAUUGGCAGGCUUGCAAGAGGGUAUUACGAUAUCUACAAAGCACAACACAUUUUGGACUGCAGUUCUUCAAGUCAGGUCCUCCAAGUCUCAUAGCAUAUUCUGAUGCAGAUUGGGGGUCUGAUCCAGAUGAUAGAAGAUCUGUUGGAGGGUAUUGUGUUUAUCUUGGAUCCAAUCUUGUGUCUUGGUCAUCUAAGAAACAGAACAUUGUUUCCAGGUCAUCUGCUGAAUCUGAGUAUAGAGCUUUGGCCUUAGCUACAUCUGAGGUUUUGUGGAUUACAUAUCUGUUGAAAGAGCUCAAAGUAUCACUUCCCAAACCUCUUGUUCUUUACUGUGACAACAACAGUGCAGAAGCUUUGGCUAGCAAUCCUAAGUAUCAUUCCAGAACUAAACAUAUAGAACUGGAUUUACAUUUUGUCAGAGAACACAUUGCCAACAAGGAUCUCUUCAUUGAACAUGUGUCUAGUUCUGAUAAGUUAGCUGAUGUGCUUACCAAACCUCUGAGUUUUGAUAAUUUUGCCUAUAUGCGAACUAAGCUCAAUGUCUGCCCACGACCUUGAGCUUACGGGGGCAUGUUAAGAAUAACAUAUGCUGAGUCAGCUGCUGAGUCAUCAAGCCACGCUGGAAGUCAGUUUUGCAGUUAGUUAGAGAGCUUAUCAGCUUCUCUCCAAAAGUUUGUUAUGUGUAUUAGAAUCUGUGCUCAUGAGUUUUGUGAGUUUGUAACCUUGAAAAGAUUCUCACACUACUAUAAAUUGUAUUGUGACUCAAUUAAUAAAAGUUGUUGAAGCGUUGCAUUUUCUCUCAGUCAAAAUUUUCUCUCUGUUUUUCUAAGUAACCAAACAAAAUCUACAGAGCAUUUUGUAUUUUAACUAUAUCUACACACUUAUAACACAAGUUUGUCACCACUAAAAUAUAAACAUGUUCUGUAAAUGCCUCUAAGAUAUCUGAGAAUUCAUUUCACUACUGUCCAGUGCUCUUUGUCCAGAUUGGAGAGAAACCGACUGACUACACUAACUGCGUAAACAAUACCUGGUCUUGUACAAAUCACGGCGUACACCAAACUGCCAACUGCUGAAGCAUAAGGAACUCCUCUCACGGAGAAAUGGGUUUUGCUCUUGAGAUCUUUGGGAACAUGAAGAAUAAAGAUGUAAUUUCUUGGACUGACAUUGUUUCGGGGUAUAUAAAUAGAGGACAAGUGGAUAUAGCUCGACAGUAUUUUGCUCAGAUACCAGAACGAGAUUAUGUCUUAUAGACUGCCAUGAUUGAUGGGUACCUUCGAGUGAAUAGGUUCAGAGAGGCUUUGACACUUUUCCGGGAGAUGCAAACUUCAAAUAUAAGGCCAGACGAGUUUACCAUUGUUAGGAUUCUUACAGUUUGUGCGAAUCUGGGGGCACUAGAACCGGGAGAAUGGAUAAAGACUUACAUUGACAAAAACAAGGUCAAGAAUGAUAUAUUUGUGGGGAAUGCUUUGAUAGACAUGUACUGUAAAUGCGGAGAUGUUGAGAAAGCUCAAAGGGUACUCAGGAAGAUGCUUCGAAAGGACAAAUUCACAUGGACGGCCAUGAUUGUUGGCCUUGCCAUCAGUGACCCAUUUCCUACGAUCAGACCGGAUAAGGUAACUUAUGUUGGUGUUCUGUCUGCCUGUACUCACAAUGGUAACGAAACUUUUGUGAUAAAUAGUUGCGACUUAAGGUGAGAAUUGGAGGAAACGAAAUAGACUGAAGUUGUUCAAUCAUCGGUGGUUGCUAUUUGAUUUUAAGUUGUUCAAUCAUCGGUCAUCUCUAUUUGGUUUUCUCCAAUAUCUCAUCUCCAGUUUUGACUCAGAUUCUGUCUUACCACUAGUAAUUAAAAGUGAGGAGGCAGCAGUCAAUGCUAUUUCGGCUUGGCCCAAAAUUUCACCAGUUUGUUAGUGUUCUGCAGCUCUUGCUGCUUUCCUAGAGAUUCUGCAUCUUUUGCAAUUUGAUUGAUUAAAAAAAAAAAAAUUAGUGGCCAUUUAGAAUGAAGGAGAGAUUUGUGUGAAUGGUAUAGGUGAAAAAUUGGAUGAAAAUAAACAGGCAACCGUCCGUAUAAAACAACAAUAACAAUAUACAAAAAGAUAAGUAGACACUUCUGUAAUUCACGAAAGGAAAUUUAUGGUUGUUUCUGAAAAACAUACAUAUUAAUUUCACUUAUACUCUAAGGUGGGAUAGAUGUCAACUAGCUAUGCUAAUGAUACCUUGCCAUCAUGACUGGACUUGUGAGGAAUUUGGAAACAUGUAUGAUGAUUGUUACUUACACAAUUGUAGAAAGAAAUGCUGAGGUGGCUUGAACCAGAUGGUGAAAUCGUCUAACACACUUAAUUGUUAGAUGUGUUUUGGAUAUUCACAGUUAGGUUGAAAUUUGUAGUUUUCACUUGAAAGAAUUCAGUUAAAAAUUGAUUGGUAGAAUUGUAAAAUAGUCUAAAUUUUUAGUUCAAACCCAUUGCAUAUUUAAGAACAUCUUAAAUGAAUUGCUUAUUGCUAUCAUCAUCAUUAUUGUCCAUAUAAUAAUAAUAAUAAUAAUAAUAAUAAUAAUAAUAAUAAUAAUAAUCAAUAGAAAUGUUAUCUUAUCCACUAUUUUAUAUAUGUUUCCACUAAAAUCUAUUUAAUUAUUCUUUAUUUUUUUUCAACUGUUGCAUGUUAGAUUUAUUCGAUUUCCUAAGUUAUAUCAAUAGAAAUGUUAUCUUAUCCAUAAAAAGUUAGAUCUAACAAUUAUGAAAAUUACUAUAGUGCUGCUUUGAAUAAUUUUUUAAAAAUACCACAAGUAAAUAAUAAUUAGUUUAAAUAGUGGAGACUAAAAAGCAUUCACCCUUAUUUUUUAUCUGUUAUUAGUUUUUUUUAAUCUGUUAUACAUUUGAAACAUUCCAUUAAUUGCCAAUUAUGUAAGCGAGAUAGUAAUUAAUUUUUUUUAUUUAAAAAAAGUGAAAAUUAAUCCUAUGCAAUGUGAAUAAAUUUCUUUCCUUUUUCCUUCACUCUUUUUAUUUGAUAAUUAAGUUUCAAUCUAUGUACGCAAAAUUUCUGCAACAGCUGCAAAACAUAAAAAUAUAUGAUUGUUAAGGGAAACACGCAGAAGUUCAUCACUUCAAUGUUCAGUAUUUCCAAUUUUGGCAUUAAGCUCUUACGAAUAUAUUCCACUUAGAAAGCAAAAUAUUAGAAUUGUGAUUUUAAUUCAUUCAUCAUAUCUCAUUUCAAUCCCAAAAUAUUCAAGUGGAUCCAAGUUACCAUAAGGCUUCAGAGGCUCGAGCCUUAGCCAGAGAUGGUUAAUUGAUAGACUAGGUAAGAGAAACCAAGGUUGAAGUAUGUAGAAAUGUUAUUUCAUUUAUUUUUAUUUAUGAUUUUUUGUAAAAUGUAAGAAAUAUGUAGAAAUGUUGCCAGCAAUGAUUUUGGAACUUUGCAUAAAAUUUUUAUCAUUAUUGUUUUUGGUAUUAAGAAAUCCGAGGCGGUGAUUAGACGUAUGUUGCAACAAUUAAGAAAUUUCUUAUUGGAGAUAAUUUGGUAGGUUGCAACAAUUAGAGAAUCAUUUUCCUGUCAGUUAAUCAAUCAAUAAUAAAUUUCAAAUUGCAGAAAAUAAAAUAAUACUGUCGCACUUAGAAUCAUCUUUUCUAUCUCUUUCAAUUGUGACAAUCAUUUGUAACAAAUAAAUCAAUUUGAUGCACAUCAUUUCCCCAAUUCAAAGUUCAAGUCACUGCUCAAUUGCAGAGUAGUUAGUAGACAUGCAUGCAUGUUUAAUUAAGUACUGCAUUGUAGUAUCGAAAAUCAUAACAUCUCACCAAGCCCGGAAGCAUAGCUCUUUAUCUUGUAAAUGUUGAAAUCUUAUGCAAACUAUGGGAACCAUGAGCUCACUCUCAGUGUCACUUGAUUCCAUUUUCUGUUCUUGCCUUGAUUUCGAUGUUGGGAAUGUGACGUCUGAGUCUAAGGUUGAAGAUAAUCUCGAUGCCUUGCGGACUGCAAUGGAAAUAAAAUAUUUGUGUGUUGAGAAAUGAUGAAAUGAUGCAAUGGAAAUAAAAUCUCAAUCUCUUGAGAAAUGAUGUGAUAAGAAGAGUUACUGUUGCUGAAGGACAACAUCAAAUGCAACGAAUGGAUCGAGUGCAGGGCUGGCUUUCAAGGGUAAAAUCUGUGGAAAAUAAAGCUGAUGAUUUGAUGAGACACAGCUCUCAAGAGAUUGAGAAGUUAUGCCUUGGAGGCUUCUGUUCCAGGAACUGCAAAUGAAGCUACAGCCGUGGGAUAGAAUUUGCAACAAUGCUACGAUUGUGGAGAGUUUAAUGGGUGAAGGAUCAUUUGAAUAGGUGGCUGAGAGGGUGCCAGAAGAUGCAGCAGAGGAGAUAAAUUGUGAGCCAACAAUAGUGGGCAUGUUGUCGACUUUUGAGAAAGCCUGGAGAUGCCUUGAAGAAGAAUCAGUUGGAAUUAUUGGCCUAUAUGUCAAUGGGGGAGUUGGAAAAUAUUUACUCAAAUCAACAACAAGUUCCUUGAUAGUCCAAAUAAUUUUGAUGUUGCGAUCUGGGUAAUGGUCUGCCAAGAUUUGCAACCCCAGAAGUUUCGGGAAAAGAUUGGGAAAAAGAAAGUCUUGUUCGAUGAGUACCGGAUUGAACUAUAUUAGAUUAUAUUUAAAUAAUAUUAAAUAGUAUUUAAGUUGGUAUUCUAAUAUAAAUAUCAAUUAUCCAUGAAAUUUUAUAAUCAUAAUUAAAAUAAAUUUAAAAAGCAAUUACUAGGAAAAUUAAAUAUAUUGCAAAAAGUUAUUGGGUAGUCAUAAUAUAAUAGGCAAAUAAAAUUAAAUAAAACAAAUUACAUAUUUAAUUAUAUUUAUCAAAUAUUUAAAAAUAUUAUAUAAAAUAUUAUAUAAAAUCAAUUAAUUAAUGAUAUUAUUAAUUUUCAUGAUUAUUUUUAAUAUUAUAUUACUGAUUAUUAAAUUUAAUACAAUCAAAUAAUGCAAUAAAUAAUUAAACAUUCAAUUUUAUUGAUUAAUUAUUAAAUAUACAAGUAAUGAAAAUUUUAUCUCAAGAGUUGGUAGAAGCGAAAGUACUAAUUUAAUUAGAUCAUAGAUAAUAAAUAAAAAUAAAUUUUAAGUAAAUCAUAAUAAAAAAUUAAUUAAUUAAUUCAAUCAAUCAAUAUUAGGUGUAAAUAAAAAAAUGAUAUAAAUAAAAAUCUCAUAAAUGUACAACUUUUAUCUUUAAUCUUAUCCUAAAAGAACAAAAAGCAGAAUAUAUAUUGAAGUGUUUUUCACACCUUUUCAUUAACUGGAAUGCAUGUAUUUAUAUACAUCAUUUGUAACUAAUAAAGAGAAAAUAAAGGAAACUAUACAUGAGAGUAUCAAGGAGAAUAAUGGAAGAGAUUGUUGUCCGUAACUUGUGGAGAGUAUCAUGGAGCUUGAGAUUAUCUGAUAUGCCCCCGCAAGAGGGUGUUGCCAUUGGCGACACCCAUCUUGAACCUUAAUUCAGAAAAUGGUCGCUUAGAGAGGGGCUUGGUUAGGCUAUCAGCAAGUUGAUCUGCUGUAGAUACAUAAGAUACGCGCAAUAGCCCUUUGUUGACCCAAUCACGAACAAAAUGAUAAGCAAGAUCAAUGUGUUUUACCCUUGAAUGAAAGACUGGAUUGCGACACAAAUAGGUAGUUCCAAUAUUAUCACAAUAGAUGGUAGGAGUUUGACUCAAUUGAAGGCCAAGUUCUUGAAGUAGAUUCUGAACCCAUCGAACUUCAGAGGCUGCAUUUGCGACAGCCAAGUACUCAGCUUCUGUUGUGGAACGAGCUAUUGAUUUUUGUUUGUUCGAGCGCCAUGAGAUAGGAUUGCCGCCUAGAUAAAGCAUAUAGGCUGAUGUAGAAGUAAUGAAAAUUUAAUCUCAAGAGUUGGUAGAAGCGAAAGUACUAAUUUAAUUAGAUCAUAGAUAAUAAAUAAAAAUAAAUUUUAAGUAAAUCAUAAUAAAAAAAUUAAUUAAUUGAUUCAUCAAUCAAUAUUAGGUGUAAAUAAAAAAAAUGAUACAAAUAAAAAUCUCAUAAAUGGACAACUUUUAUUUUUAAUCUUAUCCCAACUAAACACAUGUGUAAAUUAGGAUUAUUAAUUCCAUAAUUUUCGGAUUAAAUUCAAAUUUAUUCCCCCUUAAUCCAAUUCAACUAAACUUGUCAAACAUGGGAUAAAAAUUUAAUUAUAAAAUUAGUCCAAUUCCAUACUUAAUCCUAGCAUCCAAAUAUAGCUCAAGUUCUUUGCUUAAAGAAGCUACCAAAUUUGAAGAGCGUUUACGGGAAGGCCUUGCGUUUCCCAGAUGUAUGCAGAAUUUUUGUAUCUAAAUGCCCAGAACUUAAGAAGCUGACGCUGGAUUUUGAAAGGGCGGGCCAAGGUAAAAUUCUUAUCAAAUGAAAGGAAAAUCGAUGGAAACAACUUCAAUGGGAGGAUCAAGCAACUCAGGAUGCAUUGCUUCUGUUUUUCAAAUCAACUGACAAGUGAUUGAAGGGGGCAUCAUCAGCCUGGAUGGGGAGAUCCUGGAGCAGAUCAGCAGGGUUUGAAUCUGCAUCAUCAACAUCAUCAGGAUCUCUAUUUCUAUUGCUGGUCGUAAUGCCUGCCGACUGUUGCUUGAAAAAGUGAUUAAGUGAGCCAGUUUUUUGUUUAUUAAAUUUUGUUUUGUAGAGACAGUCACAAAGUAUUUUUCUUAGUUGUUCUAUAUGAGAGUGAUGUGAACCAAUUUUUCAAUUAUAUAUUCUGUGGGAAAUUGCAAGUAUUUUUAAAAUAUGAUCGUUAUUAAAGGAAACAAAGGAAUCAACACAGCAUACUGAACCUCAGCAGUAUGAAGCUAAUGAUUAAACUCCUCACACAAUUCAUAACAUGCAAAACCAUUCACAAAAUCAUCCACAGCAACCAUAAUUGGCGUCCAAUAGAAAUUUACAAGAAUUACUUUUCUGUUCAUGCAAUCGGCGUCUGAACGCGGCUGAUCGGUCACCGGUGUUGGCGUUUACUGUGAUUAGACAAAUUGUAGCACUUCAAAAAUAACUUCUAUAGGGGUAAUUUCGAUUUCACAUAAUUAAUUUUAUUUACAAUAUUUUAUUCCUGCAAGGUCAACUGAGAUUCUUUCCACCGGGCACACCCUUCAUGUUCUUUUAUUUUCUGUCUUUUAUUAGCCGUUGGAUUUUACUACUCUUAUAUCCAACGGCUUGCCACAACAAGACAAAUGAGGUGGUACCUUUCAACCGCUGAAAGGUAGUUUUGGCCCCAAGUGAAAGAGGGAAAUAGGGAAUUGAUGCUAUAUUUUAUAUUUUCUAUUUUACUACUCUUGUAUCCACCGGCCUUUCUUAUAUUUUAUUGCAAAUUGAUGCUAACAAGAAAAAGCUAGAUCAUAUUCCACAGAAAAGUGAGAAAACAACCAGAUGGAUUCUUUUAUUAAACUACAAAUUAAAAUGGUAUCACAAAUUCUCAUCAAUUUAUUUAAAUAUAUUCUUUUAACCCUCUUUUUAAUUUCACAAAUUCUCAUCAAUUUAUUUAAAUAUAUUCUUUUAACCGGAAACAAUUGAUAUCACUUAUUAAGAAUAACAAAAUUUACUAUUUAAAAAUGAAGAUCAAUAAAUUUUUAUCAAUCAUGAAAGUUAAUGAGUGUCAAGAAAUUAAUUUUUGCUAAACAUACAAGCUAAUAACUAUUAAAAAAAUCUUAUAUUAUAGAGAUCAUAUAUAUUAAGAAAGACCAAAAAAAAAAUUAAAAAAAUAGUUAAAUUCAGUGUAUAGUUUAUAGGAUGUGAGAGUGGUAAAAGAAUAUAUAAUUGUAAAAUAGAGAAAAAGAAAAAGAGAUUAGUAGAGAAUAAUUUUGAGAUUUUUUAAUUUUUAAUUUUUAAUAAUAAAUUUAUUUUAAAAAAUAGGUGUGGAGAAAAAUUUGAUGGGUUCAAGCAAUUCCACCUAAUUUUAUAUUAUCAAUACGCAAAUGAAAGUACAAAAAUACCUCUAAUAGAGUGAAAUAAAGAGUUCUCUAAUCUCUAGGGUUUCUCAUUCCAAUUUUGAAAUUUCCCUACUUUAUUUUGAAUUAACCCUCUUUGUUACCAUUGAAUUGUAACAUUCAAAAUUUGAAUAUGUUUUUACAAAUAGAAGAUUAUUGGGACAAAAACAAUAAGAAAUAGAAAACCUAGUUGAAAAAGGAUAUUACAAAAAAAGAAAUUGCCAUUACCAUUCAAACAUUUACACAGUAAAGGCAUUAACAGCAUAAGGCGGCAAUAAAACUUACUCAUAAUUAGGGGUGGCAAAAAAGUCCGAGCCGGCUUAGGCCCGGCCAAGCCCAGUCUAGAUCCGUGGACUUAAAGUCCGACCCGUAAGGAUGUGGGCUUAGAUAUAGACCUAAAAAUUACAAAACCCACAUAUAUUAGACCUAAACAAGAACUUAGCAAAAAAACCCAAACUUUCUAAAUUUAUGAAUAAAAAAUAAAUUUAAUUUAAAUAAAAAAAAUUAAAAUAUUAAAUUAAUUGAAUUUUUUAUAUUAAUAUUUAUUAUUUUAUUAAAUUAUAUUGUUAAUAUUUAAUGUAUUUGACUAUUAUUCUAUUUAUAUAUUAUAUUAUUAUUUUUAAUUUAAAUAUUUUUCUUAAUUUAAAAAAUUUUUAUAAUUAAUUUAAAAAGUUCAGGCCCAGCCCGAGUUCGGUCCAUCCAAAUUUAACGGAUUUUUGAAGAACCUGAACUUCGUUUGAAUGAUAUGGGUCCGGCCCAAGCCCGCAAAUUGCCAUCCCGUGAUAAUAACAAACAGAUAUGGCCCAGCCCGAGUUCGGUCCAUCCAAAUUUAACGGAUUUUUGAAGAACCUGAACUUCGUUUGAAUGAUAUGGGUCCGGCCCAAGCCCGCAAAUUGCCAUCCCGUGAUAAUAACAAACAGAUAUAGAUAGAUCGAUGGAUGGCAUUUUUUAAAUGUACCUUAAAAACCAAAACAAAAGCAAAAAUAUUAAAAUAUUACACCAACUGCUAACUAAUUAAUCUAAUAAAACGCCUCGCUUAAUCAUUUCCAGUCCACUAAACACGCUGAACGGAUUCCAGCCUCUGAAGUCUCAUCUCAUUGUUAAAUUCAUUGAUGAAAGCUUCAACUCGCCGAUUCAACUCAUCUUGACUCAUCGAUUCCUCCCUCCUCAGCGACGUUCUGUCACUGAACGUCUCAGAUUUCCUCAGCUCACGUUUCGCCCAAGCCGUCGGAUCAUUCUCAUCAUUAUCACUACCACAGGCGAUGGUGAUGAUGUGGAAGGUGGAAGAAGCGGCGAUGGUGAUGAUGAUGAUGAUGAUGAUGAUGAUGAUGAAGUUGACUAUGAUGUAAUUGUACGGCGGCGACAGCCAGAACCUCAAAGAAAUGAAGAGGCUAGGGAUUGUCGAUACCGUGAAACAAAUGUACGGGAUUAUUGCUACCUUAAACAGCAUGAAAGUUGAAACAAACCCGGCUGACAAAAAUAACAACUUUGCUACCCGCGUUACUGUCUCUAAUCUGCUUGAUUUUGGGUCGAAAUUUUGAAAAAGAUCCCCCAUUUUUCAAUUUUCACACACAAUAAAGAAGGAAAAAGAAAGGUAGCUAGAUUUUUUUUUUGUUUUUCAACAAGGGAAGAAAUAAGAAAAGAACAUUAAAAGGAUUUUUCAGGCUUUGAUGGUCAUUAAAAUGAGACCCAGGAAACCAUUGAAGCUAAAAAAAAAACGAGAAGCCAUGUAUUUAUAUAUGCUGCUUUGCUUUACAAAAUCUGACUGGCAUCAGGGUGAAAAAAAAGUGCCAUUUGUUGGUACAGAGAGACAGAGGAGAGUAGAGAGGCAGAUGCAGGGGCAGGGGCGAAGUCAAGGGACCAUUGAAUGGGCAAGCGAGGUUUCAAUUUAUGUAACGAGGGACGAUUAAAGUUCUUGCAACUUUCCUGCCGUCUGAUGAAAUCUUGACCGUUCGAUGGUACAAUAAUGGUUAUAAUGAUCUUGAAAGUGUUGGAGAGAUAAGUUUGUACAGAUUAUGUACGCUAAAUAAAAUCACAUUUAAAAUGGUUUUUGAUUUUAUUCUAUUACAGAUUACUUUUAUUAAAUAAAUGAAGGUACAUUGAGUGAGUGAGUGAGUGACUUCACGAUUUUGCACUAACGCCGCUGUGUUAUCCUCCGCGGCACUUGUCCUCAUCAUUUGUAAUUGAAAAGCUGAUUUAAGAUUUUAGAAUAGUGCCUUUUGGAAAAAAAAUAUAUAUAUAUAUCAACGGCCGAUUGAGAUUUCUUUUUUGAAGAUUUAAAAUUAAUUUUUUAAAAAAUUAAAAAUUAAUUUUAAUAUUUUAUAAGUUUUAAAAAAAUUAUUUUUAAUAAAAUCACUUCAUAGUAGAUUCCGGAAAGUAGAUAUCUAUGCUUUUUAAAUUUUAAUUUUAAGAAUUAAUUUUUUACUUAAUAUAAUCCUUGCAUAUAUUAUAAAAUUUUAAAAUCAUCUUCAUUAAUUACAAAAUAAGAUCAUUAAUUUUAAGGAGAUUAUAAUCAUUAUCAAUUAUAGGGAGAUUAAAUGCUUAAAGUGACAAGUGCAAAACUAUUUAAAAAUAGUCAGUAAAAGUAUAGGUGGGCAAUUAGUUCAAUUCUAUUUGAAUCAACUAAAUUAAAUUAUAUCGUGUUUCAUAAAUUUUUAAAGCAACUGAUUUUUUGUUUGGUUUAGAUAAAAAUUAAACUAAACCGAAAAAUCAAACGGUUCAAAGAAAAAAAAGUUAAAAACAAAUUUUAUAAACUGAUCGGUUUCCGUUAGAUUCAAUUCCAAAUCUAAACAAACCAAUCCAAAGUGAAAAUAAACAUUUUUGUUGAAUGCACUUUUAAUUUGUUUGGAUACGUCUCGACCCUCCAGUCUCUUGAUUAAAGUUCAUUUAUUAGGGUCCGCUUGUAAUACAGCGUCUGUAUCUCAUACAGUCAAAUUUAAUAUUUUAUUAAGAAAAAGGGCAACCGUUAGAUAGAAGUAGAUACAUCCAAUGGUUAAUAUCUGUGAUUACUCAUUUUGGUGACCGGAUAUGCCAAUUAUUAUUUCAUCAAUUAACUUACCUAAAAAAUCAUAGCCGUUGGAUUGAGAUGCCUCUCUCUCCCUCAAAAUAACAGCCUUCGUAUUCUCUCUGCUAUUGUUUUGUCCUACAUCUAGAAUUUUGGAUGAAUGAACUUGGUAUUCAAGAACAUUCACCACCCAUCACAGCAAAGAGCAAAGAUAUAGUCGAAGGAGUGCCAUUUAUUCAGGCUUACUUGAUCUGUCAGUCUCGCUUCAAUUCGUCACUCAUUUUCUUGCGCUCAGCUUCAAUCUAUCACUCUCAGCUUCAGUUCGUCACUCAUAGCUUCAAUUUUUUCACUGUCGUGAAUCAUCUCUCUUGCUGUAUCUCUCUCUUAUGUCUUCCAAUAAUUUCGGUGAGCUCUCUCUCUAAUUUAAUAUAUGAUUAAAAAUCUUAUCAUCUUAUCAUGUCAUUUAAAUAUGCUUGAAGUUUCAAUUUAGUUUAUGAAUAUUACUUGAAAUUUUAGAUUCAAUAAUUUUAGUUUUUUUUUUCUCUAUCAUCAAUCAUAUAUUUUUUCUUGCUCUUUAACUUCUUAUCUUCAACUAAAUGUGACCUUACAUUUAUUUAGUGUAUGAUCAAUUUUUAAAUGCACAAUAAGCAUUGCAAAGUUGGCGUUAUGCAAAGGCUAUCACAAUGUGAGCGUUCAAUUGGACAGAGUGUCAUGAUCAUACAUCCUUGAACCCAAUAUUUAUUCCAAUAACAAAUGUAGAUACGUAAACUACUUUUUUUUUUUAAAUAAAAAUAAAAAACUUCAAUGAAUCAAUCAAUUAUUUUCUGAAAUGUUAUGCGAAUUGUGAUUGUGAGAUUAAAAAAAAAUAUCCAUGCAAAUCAAAUUGUAACCGCCCUCUCAAGAUAAACCAAGUAACACAAAGCAUCAUUAACUCUUUCUUGUUUCAGCCACAGUACUAUUUUUUGCUUGAUGAGAAUAUAUUUAAAUAGUAUUUAAGUUGGUAUUUUAAUAUAAAUAUCAAUUAUCCAUGAAAUUUUAUAAUCAUAAUUAAAAUAAAUUUAAAAAGCAAUUACUAGGAAAAUUAAAUAUAUUGCAAAAAGUCAUUGGGUAGUCAUAAUAUAAUAAGCAAAACAAAUUAAAUAUUUAAUUAUUUUUAUCAAAUAUUUAAAAAUAUUAUAUAAAAUCAAUUAAUUAAUGGUAUUAUUAAUUUUCAUGAUUAUUUUUAAUAUUAUAUUAGUGAUUAUUAAAUUUAAUACAAUCAAAUAAUGGAAUAAAUAAUUAAAUGUUUAAUUUUAUUGAUUAAUUAUUAAAUAUACAAGUAAUGAAAAUUUAAUCUCAAGAGUUGGUAGAAGCGAAAGUACUAAUUUAAUUAGAUUAUAGAUAAUAAAUAUAAAUAAAUUUUAGGUAAAUCAUAAUAAAAAAAUUAAUUAAUUGAUUCAAUCAAUCAAUAUUAGGUGUAAAUAAAAAAAUACAAAUAAAAAUCUCAUAAAUGUACAAUUUUUAUUUUUAAUUUUAUUCAAACUAAAUACAUGUGCAAAUUAAGAUUAUUACAUCCUUGAACCCAAUAUUUAUUCCAAUAACAAAUGUAGAUACGUAAACUACUGGGAAGCAGCACACGUGUCCUGAAGAGAGAAAAAAAUCGAGCAAAUGCAGACAAUGGGAGUUGGCUAAAAGUUGGAUCUGCAAUUUACAAAAUCUGUAACUUAUUAGCCAGCUCCCAAAUUGUGUAGUCUUUUUUCAAAUUGUACAGACAUUUAUAAAUUGGUGGCCCCUUGAAAAUUUAAUGCCAAGCAGAUAAAAGUCAUCAAGCACAGUCCUCAAUAGUUGUUUCGUGUAUAUUUAUAAAUUGGUGGCCCCUACAUCUUUAAUAAUUGGGAUUGAAUUACGGUAUAAUUGUAGAAUCAUGUCUCAAUUACAUUCAAUUGUUAGAUAUAUUUACGUUGGUAAAAUUUACUGAUAUCUAAUAAUUAAACGUAACUAUAACACAAUAUUAUAAUUACACCACAAAUUUUCUCUAAUAAUUAUUCCGAUACUUAUAAAUUGGUGGCCCCUUAGUAAUUUAACAGCAGCCUGCAAGUGUCAACUAAUGAAAAGUCAUCAUUCACAAUCUUCCAAGUGAAACAGGAAAUAUACAAAAAUUAAAACAUGUCAUUCUUUUUUUUUCAUUCCCUGUCAUGUAACUUACACCCAAAUACAUAAAUAAUAUAAAAUGAAUGGAGAGAUGCCAGGAGCAGAUCAGCAGGGUUUGAAUAUGACCUUUGGCGCUUGCUUUUUUUUUUUUUUGUGAUUUUUUUUUCAUUUUUUCCUUCCUGUCAUUUUAUCAUUUCUUUGGCUUUGUCUCUAUUGCGGGUGUUACUGCAUGCUUACUGUUUCUUGACAAAGUUUGCUAGCUUUUCCUUUUGUUUAUUAAAUAUUUUUAUCGUCACAAAGUAUUACUCGUUCUAUUUGACAGUGAUGUAAAUUAAUUUUUCAAUUUUAUAUUUUAUCGUCGAUGUGAAUUCAAUUUCAUUUGUCAUCAUGCACAAUCCUCAAUAAUUGUUUCGAUAUUUAUAAAUUGGUGGCCCCUACGUCCUCAAUAAUUGUUCCGAUACUUAUAAAUUGGUGGCCCCUUAAUAAUUGGUGUUUGAGGAAUUAAAUAGAGCGAUCAUGAUCUUUUCCAAAUGAAAGUGAGCAAAUGGUUGAGCAGGUCACCUUGAUCAGGUGGUAUGAGUUUGAUCAAAUCACCUCGACCAGGUACAAUGAGGUUGAGCAGAUCAUCUUGAUCAGGUGGUGUGAGCUUGAGCAGAUGACCAUGUGGUAUGAGCUUGAGCAAAUCACAUCGACUAGGUGCUAUGAGGUGGAGCAGAUCACCUCGACUAGGUACUAUGAGGUGGAGCAGAUCACCUCGACCAGGUGCUAUGAGCUCGAGCAGAUCACUUCGACCAUGUGCUAUGAGCUUGACCAGAUCACCUCGACCAGGUGGUCUAAACUUGAGCAGAUCACCUCGGCCAAGUGAUGACUAGGAAUAAAGACUCAGUUAAAAUAAACCACCACAAAGCUCCUCCGAAAAAUCAGGGCACGAAUCUGAUUAAUCAAUGGUUAUUGUCACGAUCUAAGGUCGUGGGUGUGGGGUGUUUUAUAAAAAUCCCGAGAAAAUCACACCAAGGGAAGGCUCUUUUUCUCUGGAUCUGACGGAGAAAUCCUUUCUGGAUACUCUAUUUUACUUUUCUGCAAAUUAUUCAAAAAGCUUUUGGUUUUAAAAUAAUGUUUAUUUAGCCAUAUGAAAAAUGACAUAUUUGGUUUUUCCUGUAAACCCCAUAACUGACUUGAGCGUUGGAGGGUUUACGCCAGAAAAACUUCCGGCACCUCUGACCAUUCUCUGUAAUUUCAGGUACUUAUUGAUCGUCAGCUUGAAGAUUAUAUGCUCAUGAAUGUUCUGCUCAUAGUCAGAGAAUAUUCUGACUAUAUUAGCCAUGACAUUUUAGUAAUUUCAGGUACUAAAAAAAAAUUAAAAUUGUUGGCGUGAAAAGCACAAAUCCUAUUUUUUGACAAUUUUAUCUUUGUCAAUUUCAAAGAUUUACAAUAUCAUAGGUAAAGAUUAUAACUAUUUCAUCUUCAAGUUUUUAAUUUUAUAUUUUUUGUAGGAACUUUAAGAAAAUAUCAAUAAUUUAAAGAGAAUUUUUGAAAUUUUUAAUUUUAUCUUUCUUGUAGGAAUUUUAAGAAAAUAUCAAUAAUUUAAAGAAGGUAAAAUAACCAAUAAUUUUAUUUUUUUUUUAGUUAUUUCCGUUUAAAAACUGUUCUUUUAUUAGCCGUUGGAUUUUACUACUCUUAUAUCCAACGGCUUGCCACAACAAGACAAAUGAGGUGGCACCUUCCAACAGCUGAAAGGUCGUUUUGGCCCCAAGUGAAACAGGGGAUGCACUUACUAUUAAGGACAGUUGGUGGCCAGCUAAUGCACUCAUUUUAUGUCCUUUUAUCUUUUUGAAUUCCUGAAGACAAGUGCAUUCAUUUUGUGUCCUUUCAUCUUUUUGAAUUACUGAAGACAAGUGGCCAGCUAAUGCAUUCAUUUUUUGUCCUUUCGUCUUUUUGAAUUAUUGAAGACAAGUGGCUCAUCGCUUUUACUGUAGGUAAGAUCUUGAUAAUCUCGAUUAUCAAAAUAAUAAUAUUCAAAAUAUUUCUUAAUUUUAUUUAAAAGAUAAAAGAAAAAUAAGUUAUGCUGGUAAAUUUUUUUAUUUUUUUAAUAAAAAUAAAAUAAAUUGAUGUUUAUAAUUGUUUCAAAUACUUUAAAGAUUGUAAUUUUAUGAGAGAGUAAUAUUUCACAUUUUUAAUGUGAAAAGUUGAAAAGGGACAAAGCAAGUUUCUCUGUUUUUCUUUUUCUUUUUUUAAAUUUGGUCAUCUCAAAUACUUCACCCUUCAACACUACAAUAUUUUGGUUAUAUAUAUAUAUAUAUAUAUAUAUAUAUAUAUUUUACACAUGCAUAUGAAUUACUUUUCUUUUAAGCUCCUGAAUAUUUAAGACAAAUCAUGAAAGAGAUGAGAAUAUAAUAAGAUGAUCAAAAUAUGUAACAAAAUUUUUUUAGAAGUGAAACAUCGUUAGAGUUGAAGUAAAACUCUGAAAAUAGAGAUACUGAUUAAUUUAGAAGAGAUGCAAGCAAAAGAUAUGCCAAAAAAAAAAAAAAGCAAUAUGUCACUUUGGAGGGCAAACUUGUCAGUUUCACAAAAAUACAUGCUUUGUAUUGAUAGUUGUCACUAUGUAUUAGGGUGCGUUUGAAAUUAUAGUGCUGUACCUUUUAAACUACAGUUGUUGUAGAAAAAAAUAAAAAAUAAAAACUACACCUAAGAUUAAGGAAAAGUACUUCAAAACUCUCUUUUGAUCAUAAAACCUUUUGUCUUAAUUAACUUAAAGAUUUUGAAUCUAAUAUUUUAUAACAAAUAAAAAUAUAUUACCAAAAUAAAUAUAAUAAUAUCUAUUUUAAAAUAAUAUCAAUAUUUAAAAUAUGUUUUAAUAUUUGACGAUCUAUUAGACACAUUUUAUUAUGUUAAAGUAAAUUUUAUAAUAAAUACAAACAUACUAAUAAAAUGAAUAUAUACAACAUUUAGAGUAUUUUGAAUAUUAUAUAAAAUAAAUUUAAUACAAUGCAUGAGAUAUAUUUUAUUAAUUUAAAAUGCUAUUUAACCUAAAGAUUUAUUUAUGAAAAAUUAAUGAUUAUAUUUUUGAAAUUAUUUAAAAUAUUAAAAAAAUUAAUAUUAUUAAUCUAUCAGGUAGAUUAAAUUAUUUAUAUUAUUUUGCAUUUAUUAAAAAAUUUUAAAAUCAAUCUUUUUAAUUACUAUUCUAAGGAUAUAAUAAUAGAGGCAACUCCGUUGCGUCAUGGUUUUGGUACCCCGUCGUUUGUCUUUUAGCACAGUCAUCGUUGGAUUUUAUCUCACGGCUGCAGAAGAGACACAGAGACGCUAGGGAGCAACCUGACAAAAAGGUCAUGGGCCGGUAAGCUGCAGGGAAAAUAUUUAAAAUACAAAAUCUUCCCUUAAAUUUUUUUUAAUAUUUAACAUGUUAUAGUUUCUAAUCUCAUGAAUAGUAGAGGAUAAAGUUUUAUCUUAAAAAAAGUAAUCCCAAGGGUCUCCUUGGGAUGAAAUUUUGCCUCUAUUAGAAUUAAGUGGUGGGCUCAUUAUUGUUACUUUUAUUUUUUUUAUACCAAACAUGAUAUAGGAUUAUUUUAUACUAAAAUUAUCCAAUCCUAUGAUAUAUAACUAAAACUAAACAGGCACUUAGGGUAUAUAUGAGCCACGGUGGAGAAGCUUUAUUUAAUAUUAUUGAUUUAAAUAAUAUCUCAUUAAAAAUGUACUGAGAAGAAAUUUCGGUGGGUAUUUUAGUCAAUCACAUGAUCAGCCUUUGGACUUGAAACGUCGGUCAGAAUGAUUUAUUCUAACAAGAAAAAACUAGGUAAUAUUCCACAAAAGUAAAAGUGACAAAACAACCAGCUGGAUUCUUUUAGGAAAUUACAAAGAGUAAUGAUACAGUCAUAAAUUUUUAUAUAAAUUUAUUUUAUAUAAAUUGAUGUGGUAUUAAUUCAUUAGUUGAAUGAAAAUAUAAAUUAAUAAAAAUAAAUUAUAUGGACCAAGUAAUAUUUAAUUCAAUCAAUCUUAUUAUGUCACAUCAAUUUAUAUAAAAUAAAUUUAUAUUUGUAUUAUUACUCAACUAUAAAUUAAAAUAAAUUUUUUCGAUAAACUACAAAUUAAAGUGGAUUCUUUUGAAUGCAAGUGGGACAGACGAUAAGGCUAAAAAUUAGUCAAGAAUCGAAUAGUCUUUUUCAAAUUCUUGUUUUAUUAUUUUUCAAAACCAGUUUUUGGUAAUUACAAUCGGGUCAUUAAUCAUUAUUCAGAGUUAUUGUUUCCUUCAGAAGUUAGUGGCUCAUGUUUGCAAGUGUGAAUAUGCGAUGCUCUUUUUCGAAAGCGCAAUGACAGUGGGUCCCGAAUCGGACGUCCCUAAAUCUUUUUAAAAUUUUUGCCGUAUAACGAACAGAGGUCAUUACUAAAAUUUCUCUUCCACAGCCUACAGCAGCUUCAGUUUAUCAAACUCAAUCAAUUUUCUUUCUUAACAAAAUUCCAAAGAUGUGUAGCAUUUUUCAGAUCACAUGCGAUGGUGCUCUUUUCAAUCGUUGCUUGGAUUGCUUUCUUGGAAAAGCAGCAUACAUACGUAACCUCCAAGAUAAUCUUGUAGCCUUGGAGACUGAACUGGGAAGACUAAUCGCAGCAAAGAACGAUGUGAUGAUGAGGGUUGUCAAUGCUGAACGGCAACAAAUGAGAAGGCUGGACGGAGUGCAAGUGUGGGUUUCGAGGGUGGACGCUGUUAAAACUGGAGCCGAUGAACUUAUCACAGACGGCUCUGAAGAAAUUGGCAAAUUAUGUGUUGGAGGCUACUGUUCCAAGAACUGCAGGUCAAGCUACAAAUUCGGAAAACAAGUGGGUAAAAAGCUACAAGAUGUGAAGACUUUAAUCGCCGAGGGAGUUUUUGAGGCGGUGGCCACUGAGGUGGUGCCCGAGAGAGCUCCGGAACCUGUAGCAGAUAAAAGACCCACUGAGCCAACAAUAGUAGGCCUGCAAUCACAGCUUGAACCAGUUUGGAGAUGUCUUGUAGAAGAAUCAGUGGGAAUCAUUGGCCUAUAUGGUAUGGGCGGUUUUGGUAAAACCACACUAUUGACCCAUAUCAACAAUAAAUUUCUUGAGAGUCCCACAAACUUUGAUUGUGUGAUUUGGGUCGUAGUUUCAAAAGACCUGCGACUUGAAAAAAUUCAAGAAGAUAUUGGGAAGAAGAUAGGUCUAUCUGAUGAUUCAUGGAAGAAUAAAAGUUUUGAAGAGAAAGCUGUGGACAUCCUGCUGAGAUUAGGAGAGAAGAGAUUUGUAUUGUUGUUAGAUGAUUUAUGGGAGCGGGUUGAUUUAACAAAAGUGGGCGUUCCACUUCCCAGCGCACAAAAUACUACCUCAAAAGUCGUAUUCACAACCCGUUCCAUUGGUGUUUGUGGCAGCAUGAGAGCUAGGCCGGUUAAAGUGGCAUGCCUAUCAGAAAAGCAAGCUUGGGAACUGUUCCGCGAAAAUGUUGGGGAAGAAACUCUUGAGAGUGAUCAUGAGAUCGUUGAGCUAGCCCAAACUGUGGCCAAAGAGUGUGGUGGUUUGCCACUCGCACUUAUUACUAUUGGUCGAGCUAUGGCCUACAGAAAGAAAGCGGAGCAGUGGAGACGUGCAAUUGAAGAGUUAAGAAGAUCAGCUUCAGAGUUUGCAGGUUUGGGAAAAGAGGUGUAUCCUCUUUUAAAGUUUAGCUAUGAUAGUUUGCAGAAUGAGACAAUUAGAUCUUGUUUCUUGUAUUGUUGUUUAUAUCCUGAAGAUUAUGGCAUUCUUAAAUGGGACUUGAUUGAUUGUUGGAUUGGUGAGGGAUUUUUUGGGGAAUCUGACAGGUUUGGUGCAGAAAACCAAGGAUAUGACAUUUUGGACACUCUUGUUCGUGCAUGUUUAUUAGAAGAGGUGGAAGAUGAUGAAGUAAAAAUGCAUGACGUUGUUCGUGAUAUGGCUAUAUGGAUAACUUGUGAAAUUGAGAAGGAGAAGAGAAACUUUUUGGUUUGUGCAGGUGCGGGACUAAAGGAG
rnacentral:lncRNA from 1 species